rnacentral:lncRNA from 1 species
UAUUUUUAGUCCCUAUACUUUUCCAAAUAUUCCACAUUCGAUCUAUAUUCGAAUGGUGCGAAAAAAAUAUUGGAUCCCUUCCAGCGGAGUAAAAAUUCCCCAUGUCUUCAAAUUAGGUUGCGUGUUAUCUCCGGUCCAUAAAUGAACCGGACCAUGUGGGGUCGUUUCGAUUGAACCGCCCCCUGGAUCUGGUUCAGUGCCAGCCCUGUAGGGCGAACCAAAGAACAACAGCGGUUUCUUGGAGUUGGAAACCAUCUGCCUAUACAUAAUUUUGAGGUUGGCUUCGAUUUGAGCAUCGUUGGACAUUGUUUCAUCCGUGCCGUUGAAGUCAAGAUCGAUGAGAGUCGGCGGCUGAUGGCUGGCAGCGCGAAGCUCGUCGUAAAGCGGAGAGUCCGGGUUAGCGAACAAGGCAGGGAGUUGCAUGCCAGCUGGCGCGUCCCAGUUCCAAAACGGCAACGCGAACGUCGGAUCGUCUAUGAGUUUGGCCAAGAUUCUUUCGUGGAAGUAUAGGUAGUAACGAUGGAAGGGGAAGAAAAGCCAGCAUUGAUGGAUUUGGAGCUCGAGGUUGGGGAAGCCGACUUGGUCGUACGCGCCGUCGCAAUAGGCACAGUGGAGAUCGGCUUGCUGGGUGAAGCUACGCGGAUCGUCGUCCGGGAGGGCUUUCAUGAGCUCGAUGGCUUUUGAAUAUUUUUCGAUGUAGGCUUUAUCCACGGUGUGAGCUGCCGGCCUGACGCGGAGUUUGGUAGGGGAGGGGAAUUUGAAGUCUACGAUUUUUUGGGACGUUGGCGGGCAACAGUUGGUCGGGACUGCUCCACUUGGAAAGUCCGCAGCUCCGCAUUUGGCUAGGUCAGGCGGCGACACUGGCUUUGCAACAGCGAAGGGGUCGCUGCCAAGACCAGCCACUCCACCGUAUAGGCUUCCGAGACCUAUAAGUACAUUUCUUCUGUCUAGGUUUACUGGAGAAGGGUUUUCAUGGUCGUGAUCGUUGGAGCUAGUGGAAGGGUUUUUGUUUUGGUCACUACUAUUAUUUGUGGCUUUGCAUGAGACAGCUUGUAAAUUGGAAUGCCUAGGGUUUCCAAAUGAGGAUAUUCGGUGAUACUUUUGGGAGAAAGGGGAGAGGAAAGUUGUGGGGAUGAUACUUGUGGCGGAGGUGACGAGUGGAGCUGACAUAGAAGCCAUGGUUACUUUUGACUCUGAAUAAUACGUUGUAUUGGCUUUGCUUUUAUAAUGUGUUCUAGGUUGUACUUUUCUUUGCACAGGUGGCAGGCCGUACACACGUGGUCGGUCCUUAAGGGUUUGACGAGGAAUACUACGUAGUCAUUUAGUACAGGACAACCAUACACUAUAGCAAGUGGCAUGUAUUUAGAGAUCGAGAGAGAAUUGGGUAAGGUUCACGAGGGAUUUGUAGUUUCAGAAGGUGAAUUGGUUUUGGUCUUCUUGUGUACCAAUAAUAUUUACUUAGUCAUUUAGUGCAGGACAACCAUGCACUAUAGCAAGUGGCAUGUAUUUAGAGAUCGAGAGAGAAUUGGGUAAGGUUCACGAGGGAUUGUAGUUUCAGAAGGUGAAUUGGUUUUGGUCUUCUUGUGUACCAAUAAUAUUUACUUAGUCAUUUAGUGCAGGACAACCAUGCACUAUAGCAAGUGGCAUGUAUUUAGAGAUCGAGAGAGAAUUGGGUAAGGUUCACGAGGGAUUGUAGUUUCAGAAGGUGAAUUGGUUUUGGUCUUCUUGUGUACGGCUGUGGGUCUGCUGUCCCGGACUCUCUGUCUCAUUUGUGUCUUAUUUUUUAUUUUUUCACACGUGUCUUUUACUUAACGUCAAAUCAUGAUAGCAAUGUUAUGCAAUUGGGAGCUAAACGACCGAUGCUUUUAUUUUUUAGUUUGCUUUUUUUCCAGAUCUGAUCAAAUCAUGAUAGCAAUGUUAUGCAAUUUUCAAGAGGGAAAGAUGCACCUGGGAGAGAAACGGUACGGUGACUUCUAAAUCACCGUCCAACAGAACAAUUCUCAGUAGAGACUACUAGAGAGAGAUGCACCUCACCAAUGAAAAAUUUAACUGCAAAAAUUCUGGGUAUUGGGUAAGGAAAUUCGGUGAUACUUUUGGGAGAAAGGGAAGAGAGAAGUUGUGGGGAUGAUACUUCUCGUGGAGGUGACGAGUGGAGCUGACAUAGAAGCCAUGGUUACUUGACUCUGAAUACUACGUUGUAUUGGGUUUGCAUAUAUAUAUAAUUAGGAUUGAAGGAUGUAGAGCUUAUUUUGUUAUGUAUUUUAACGAUUUAAGUGCUUAUCUUUUAGGUUUUCUCUUAAACAUCAUGUCUAUAAAAAAUCACCAAAAUUCAAACCAUAUGACCAUUAGAUCCAUAGUCAUUUUAGUGUUUAUUUGUAAAAUGUAUUCAUUCAUUUUCUUCACUACAAAUGAGUGAAUUAAUGAUUUUAGAAUUUGUCUAAUUUUUUACAUUGAUUAUUUAUGAAUGUUGAAUUGAAAUUUAGACGAUUCAAAAAUAGUUGAUAUGCAUUACAAAAUGAACUCCACAAAAUAAGUGUCAAAAUAUGUAUAAAAAAUGGACAGCGUGAAUGGCUUGGAAAUUGGAAUAGGUUUGAAAAUUGUGCUUUUUGUAGCAAAUUUUAGCAAAGUUUGCUUGGACUUUCACAACCGUAUAAAUUAAAGGGAAACUUGAUAUAACUCCAAUUUUUUGAGCCAAUAGUAGGAAUAGUCCAGUUUAUUAAAAUAAGUUCAAUUCUUUAAAUUUAAUUAUUUAGUUAUCAAUAAUUAUCUCUUAAAAGAAAAAACUUAUUGUAAAAAUCAAAUUUCUUCCUAAUUAUCUCUUUGAUUAUUUCUUUUUAUUUAUUUAUUUGUUAUUUCUUGUUCUUCCUCCUGCUUUAACCCAUUUAUAGAUUUUUUUUUUAAUUUUAUAAUCAACCUAUGUCACAGGUUAAUUGUAUUUAUCUACCUAUAUGACAUAUUCUUUUUCAUAGUCAACAUUUCACAGAUUAAUGUGUCUUGCUUGUAGAUAUAUUAUGUUUUUUUCUACCUUUUAGUUAGGUUUCAUAUCUCACUUAUAGGUAUAAUAUACAUUCAUAUAUUUGCUACUUGAGUUAGGGUAGAAUGUUUUGCAGAUAGAUUUAUGUUAGUAUAUUAAUUUUUUUUUGUUUAUAAGAUAUUAAUUAGAUAUUUUGGAGUUGAAAAAUGCAUAAUAUUAAAAGCUUUUAAUUGAUUUUUAAUAUUUUUAGAAAAUAUAAAAGGAGUAUAAAAGAAAUCAAAACAUAUAAUUAGAUAACGGGAGUCACUCCUAAAAACACUCUAUGUUUUUUGACCUGGAUCUUAAAGCCCCUAAAUUAAACUGUUCGCUUUGUUGGGAAAAAGAAGUGGCCCUAGUUUCCCUUUGAUUUUUCAAGCACGGUGGGAGACUGGUCAUAGUUUCUAGAUUGAUGCUCUAAUUCUAAUGUUAUACAACGCGUACGCUAUAAUAUUUUUAUCAAAAUAUUAGUUUUAGUGUUAUCAAAACAAUAUGUUAUUCUUACCAUGUUUUUGUAUCACAAUUAUAUACCACCUUAGAUGGUAUCUGAUGUGGACAGCCACAUCAUUUAAAUUAAUAAGCAUUUAAUUUCAAAAUGUUAAUCAAUAAUUAAUAAAAAGAUUGUUAAUUAAAUGAUGAUUGUGGUAUACAAGGAGUCUCCUUCUUCCUUCCUCUUUCCAUUCUGCUUUUUCUUCUUACCUCUUUUUUUUUUUUAAUGCCAGUUUUGUAUUGAUUUCUGUUGAUUUCCAUGAUUAUGGUCAAUCUUUAUAGAAUUUACUAGUAUGCCACAAUCACCAUUGAUUUCUAUCUCCAGACUCAUGCCCCGUAGCCCUAAUCCUCAUUCCCCUUCAAGUAUUUCUGUCUCCAAUCUUCUUUGGUACUCCAUGAUUGUUCAUCUCGUGAUAUUUUUUUUUUUGAUUAUUUCAUUAAGUAACGCUUAUUAGCUUUCAUGCGAAUUAGGAGUCAAAAUCAAAUUUGUCUAUCGGAUUAGGGUUCAUACCCAAUUAAGUUACUAACGCCAGAGGGAUUUUGAAGUAUGCAAUUUUCCUUAUUUAAGUGUUUUAAUUAAUAAGAAAAUUGAAAUUAAACAAUUUAGCUUGUCCAACUCAUCUGCCACCUAAGAUGGUAAAUAAAUGUGGUAUAAAAUUGUGGUAAGAAUAUCAUUACUCUUAUCGAAAUUACAAAAAAAAAAAAAAAAGCUGAUUCAAUAUUUAGUUAUUAAAAAAAAAAUGAUCAAGUAACUAUCCAAUACCCAUGUAUUGGGUGCUUUGUUUGAAAAUUUUCAAAAUGAUAUUGGGCUCGUUUGGAUAUGUUUUUAAAAUGACUGAAAGCAUUUUUAGAGAAAAUAUUUUUUUGAUUCCAAAAGCACUUAAAGUGCUUUCUGCAAGAAGCACCCGUUAUGUGCUUCUUCCUGGAAGCACUUUAAGUGUUUUUCCAGCAUUUACUUGCUUUUUUACUAAGGACUGGUUCCAAAAACAUUUUCACAAAAAGUGUUUUCAGUCAUUUUAAAAGCACAUUCAAACGAGCUCAUUGUUUUUCCUAUUUUAAUCGAGUGCGUCGUCCUCUGUUGAGAAUGAAUCUCAUAUUAUGGGAGGAGGGAUCUUGCAUGAAUGGGAGGAGGGACCUUGCAUGAGCUUAUAAGUAAGUUGGGUUACUCUCCAUAUUGCCAAAAGAAAUUUUAUUUGGACCCAGUUUUCCUCUCUCUAAACCCAACUUUAAUAUUUUGUUACCUAUAAACUCUCUAGUUUACCCUCAUAAAUUAUAAACAUAAAUAAACUAGAAAAAGAAAAACUCAUCAAACCCAUUUCCCAACUGUUCUGGCGUCUCUUCCCUGUAUUUGUUGGGUCUGUCUCCCUCCCGACUGUUUUUUUUUUUCUGAUAUCUCUGUGUGUUCCCCCACCUCUCCCACACCCACCAAUUCUUUGUGGUGGCUAUUCCACCAAACGUCCAGUGAAUCUUUCCAUUUUUCUUCUAUUGCGCGUGAUAGGGCCUUGCUAUUAAUAGGCAAAACUAAGCGGCAUCGUCGACUCCGUAAGCGACUUGUUGCAUAAGUCCAAAAUGGAGUCAAAUGGAUUUUGUAUUGGGUCGGGUUGUUGAAGGCGAUGGCUGAUUUAGCAAUCCCGCCUAACUAUUUCUAUAUGUAGGAGAAGGAAGAGGGAGGGAGGUCUGAAGUGGUGGUUGAGUGGUGGCGAUGUAUGUGGGUUCUCUCUCGGUUGAAUGGGUGUAGAAAGAUAUUUAAUUUUCAAUAUCUUAUUUUAUUUUGUAUAAGGGAUAAUAUAGGAAUUACAUAAAAAGUUUUUUUUAUAGCUAGGUGUAGAAAUAGUAUUGUUGGGUCUAAAUAAAAUUACCCUAUUGCCAAUUAGUUUUAUGGUGAAAUCUUAACUUUGUUCAUGCUUUCAUAGUAGGUUGUUCCACGUGUGAAGUCAAACAUCCACACGCGCUGCACGUCACCCCGUUGUGUUGUUCACGUGUUAAGCUUGAAAAUUCAUCACACAUGAGGGAGCGUGUUGAGAAUAAAUUCCACAGUUUAUAAGUAAGUUGUACUACUCCGUAUAUUACCAAUUAAUUUUGUGGAAUUCCGUCAAAGCUGAAUUUGACGGAAAAAAAUAACUUCAUGUUUGUUCUUAACUAUAAAGUCAGUGAUACACUAAUUCUGGUUUGUUUGUUUUUUCCUUCCUUCUUAAGGAAAUUCCCAAUCCAACCAAAAAAAUGAAAUUCCCAAGAGAAUAGUAGCACGAACAAUCGUAGCUUUCUUCUUCGAUAAGCCUUGGGGAAACAGAAAAGGGAAAACCGGACUUUAACCCUAAUUUCUCCCAAUGCCGCAGCACUCUCUAUUUUCUCUCUCGCUCUAUAUCGCGGUCCCUCUCUCUCGCCGUCCUCUAUUGCUCAAACUCAAUGUCUCCAACUUCCUCUGUAUGGUUCCCGAGGAAGAUGGUAAAACAGUAAGGGCAAGAAAUUGUGACAAGGUUAGAUUUGGGUAUUAAUCUGGUGGGGCUACAAUUCUCCAAUCCACACCCCUUUCAUCUGUGCUAGUGUUUGAACCCAAUAUUAGAUAACCGGUCCAUGCAAUCGAUGCCGUUGAAUGAGAAAAAUUCUAGGCCGUGGGAUCAAAUAUAAUGAUGUGGAUUAAAUAAGGAAAAUUUAAAGAGUAAUGAUAUUCAUACCAUGUUUUUGUACCACAUUUUCAUACCACCUUAGGUGGCAUUUGAUGUGGAUAGCCACAUCAUUUGAAUUAAUCAGAUUUUAAAAUUUAGUUGAUUAUUUAAUAAACUAAUAAUUAAGAAAAACUAAUUAAUUAAAUGAUGAUUGUGAUAUACGAGGAGUCUUUCUCGUUCAUUUCUUUGGGUUUUGCAAAUUUUUCAAAUGAUGUGGCUGUCUACAUCGGAUGCCACCUAAGGUGGUAUAGAAAUAUGGUAUAAAAAUAUGGUAUGAAUAUCAUUACUCAAAUUUAAAUGUUUAUCUUGGUUAAAUUACCAUGAUAAUAUUGUGGAAUUAUCUUUUGCAUAACGGAAGAGCGAGAAAAGUCCAAGGGUGUAGGGAAGUUGUGUGGUUGACUACCGCUAUUUUGAUGGUAUAAUCUGUAGAGUAAUAUUACAUUUAACAUCUAUUUGUAUCAUAUUUCUAAUAAAGAUAAGGACCAUCAAUGCAUAAAUAAUUAAACAAAUAUAUAAUAAGAGUAUCAUUUUUGUAACUAGAAUAGGAGAAGAAAGACUUCAAGAUGGGAUCAGCCAAAUAAUUAGCGUUAAGAUAAAAAUAUUGAAAGGAAAACUAAUGAAAAUGGCUUGAAAACUUUGAGUUUUAACGAUAAGGACAAGAUAAAGGGUAAAGUGAAUAGUACCAGGAUUGACUUUUUAAUGUAAAAAUAUAGUUUUUCGUUAAAGUGAACAUUACCGGGAACUUUUCGUUAAAGUUUCCAAUGAGAUAAUAUUGCAACAGCUGGCAUGAGACAAUGAUGGUAUAAAGAUGGCUACUACGGCCAAACUACUACAUAGGAUUCCAUACAUGCGGUCAUUAUUUCGACAAAUCAAUGGCUGCCGCAAUCAUGUGCUCAUUAUUCCGACAAAUCAGUAGCUACUUGCAUUGGAUUAGGAUUGCAUGCGUGUGGUCAUUGAAUGAGGAUUGCGUGCACGUGAUCUUUAUUCAAACAAAUCACUAUUGACCAUAUAUUGCAAUUGGUUAAUGGUAGGCAAAUUGAAUUUUUACAUCAAAUAAUGUGAUUGCUGAUAAUUGAAUUAUUAUUUAAAUGUUGAUUAAUAUGCUUAUUUUUUAUUUGUGAUAUAUCAUUUAAUUUGUACAUUUAGUUUACCUAACAUUACCAACUGUAAUUUGUAUAAAUGGACUGGUACCUAACAUAACCAGUUGUAAUUUGUAUAAAUGGGACUGUAAUUUGUAUAAAUGGACUGGUGCCUAACAUUACCAGUUGUAAUUUGUAUAAAUUUACUGGUCCCAAGAGCACAUGCUACUGCUCAAGAAGCAAAGUUCUUAUUUGCCCAAAAAAAAUCAUGGUUUUUUAAUUGAUGCUCUCAUUUUAAUUUACUAGCCCCUUACUUGGCCUUUUUUAUUUAUCAUUUUAUACAUAUUAAUAUUUUUUUGUAAAAUAUAUUAGUUUGAGUUUUAUUAAAAUUAAAAAUAAAUAAAAAAACUUAGUUUUAGUUUUAUCAAAUUAAAAAAAAAUGACUUAAUAUUUAGUUAUUGAAAUUGUAAAAAAGUGAUCAAGUAUUGGGUGCUUUGUUUGAAAUUUUUCAAAAUGAUAUUGUUUUUACCAUUGAAACCCUGUUAUAUACAGUGAUGGCUAAUUUGUCAAGUUCUACGAAGUUGGGAUACCCAGCGUUUUAGCAUAUAACAUAGCUUAGUAUUACAAGCAUAAUUAAUUAAAAUAAAGGCAAAAUAAGAGGAUAGCUUAGUAUUACAAGCAUAAUUAAUUAAAAUAAAGGCAAAUUGUAACAGCCCGUCCCUAAAAAUGACGAUUUUAUAAUCUUAACACGUGAGUUUAUGAAGAUGCCCUUCGAGGCAAAGUGUUGACUACCGCGUCGUGUCAUGUGAGACUCAUCUUCUUGGCGUAUUCUCGUUUUACUCGUCGCUACGGAUGCGUGGGCGCAAACGACACGUGAUUUGGAGCUAUAACAAAAGAGUUAUUAACAUUUAAAGUUAAGGACAUUUUAGUAAAUUAAUUAAUUUCAGAUUUUGUUGAGGGGAAAAUCUGGAGUGCCAUGUGGGUGGCCCAGAUUAAAGGAAAUGAGGAAUGGAUGGUGGAGGUGUAAAGGAAAGAAGAUAAAAGAAAAAUGAGAGGAAAUGUGUGACUAAUAGGGAGAUGAGAGAGUUAGGAUGGCCCAAUUAGAAACAAACGAAAGGAGGAAAAAGGAGAGAAGAGGGGAGCAGGGGAUCCCUUCAACCCGGUUCCACUUUCCGACCCGACCCGAUCCUUUUCAUCUUUUCCGGUGGUUUUUCGUCAGUUUUUCCGGCGAACCACGUUAUCUAACCCCGUUGAAAAUGUUCCACGACCUUCCCUCUACCAUUACAACCCAAAAUUGUAGAAAUUUAGCCAUGAAAGUAUGAAAACCGCACCGGUGGGUGCGGGAAACCUUUGUCGUCGAUUCUCCCAUUAUUGAAACGAUUUUCACCAAUUAUCACCACCUACAGCAUCCUCUUGAGGUCUGGAAUAAAGCCCAAACAAGUUUUGGGGCGUUGGAGUUCGUUUAAGGUCGAAUUGAGCACACCCAAAUUCAAGGGUUCCGUACCGUUCAUGGUGAUUUGAGGUGUUUCUCGGCCAAAUUGGCCUUAGUCACAAGUAUGAAAGUUGCUCCACUCGUUGAGAUCUUCAUUUAUGUGAAAUUUGAGAAUUUUUUGAAAUAUUUGGAUUUUCCAGCGAGUCGGGGUGGCGGACCGCCACCGGCAGCAGCGCAUGGCCAGUGGUCCACCAAUGUCAUUUUACGUUAAAUUGAUAUCUUGAUUUUAGAUUUGAUGUCUAUAUGUUAUGACUUGAUUAUGUGAACCUAGUUUGAUUAAGGUGCGUUAAUUGGUAAAAAUAUGAAACGACGAUCCGACCGUGGGAUCGUCACCAAACUUUAAUAUGUUAUAGUACAUAAUAUUUGAGAAUCAUAGGGACUGACAGAUAGGAAAUCCGAGAUACAGAUCUUCCCGAAAUGGAAUUGUAAGUUUGAAGAAUAAACGUUAACCGCCACUUUGUUUUGACUAUUGGUGGAGAUCCAACCGUUGGAUCAUAAUGAAAUUUUAGGAUGAUGUUUUAGAAGCAUAAUGUGGAUCUUUGGAAGUUACUGAUCGGAAAUCCGAGGAGUGAAUCUUCCGAAUUGAAUUACGUAGGGUUGUGGACCUUACCGUCGAUCGUUGACCGAUGAUCGACUUUUGGUCAAUGGGGCUUAAAUCAAUCUAAAACGUUUUUAGGGAUGUGUUUUACGUAAAUUACAUGAUCUAUUGAUAAGAAUUAUGAGAUGUGGUUUGAUAAUUGUCCUAGGUGCCGAUCGUUAGGAACGCUUCGAUGGUUAUGCUAGGAAAUUGUAGCACAGACUCCUUGUGAGUGAAUCUUUUCCUUCUUAUCAUAUAUAUAUAUAUAUAUAUAUAUAUAUAUAUAUGAUUGACAAUUCCACAAACGUUUAUAAAUUGAUUAUUGCAUAUAACUACUGUGAAUACUUUGAAGUACUUAUGCGAACUACGAAUGGCUUGAUCCGUGUUUAGGGUACGUAGGCAGUCUAACAAGACGUUAGAUGUAGUCAUACAAUAAUUGAGAUUAAACAAUUGAGAUAAAGCCUUGUUUGGGGAACUGGGCAAGGUGAAGGAAUUUGGUAAAAAGGUGAGAUUUAACCUUAUGAAUUGGUGAUUAAAUGUUGGUCAUAAAUCAAUGUGUAAAGAAUCAAGAAUUUGAAGUAAGGAAACGUAAGUAAUGAUAAUUAAUUAAACUAGUGUCUAGUUGGGCUUGUCACCUAUAAUUAUCCCCGAAAAUGAAUAAUUCGGGAGUAGGGCGUUACAGCUUCUGCAUUUUUAUGCCACAUUAUAUAUAUAUAUAUAAUUGGAAAUGCUAUAACAUGGUUGAGUAUCAGAUUUCAUCAUGGUUUAUCUAUAUGUAUAUUACCUGCACACAAUUAUUAUGAACGCGUUGAAGUGCAAAGGUGAAUGCACGACACCCAGGUAAGUUCAGGUGAGUUUAUGGUAUUAGUUGAAAUGAUGGGGUUAUGGUAUGACUACAUGUAUGUUUAGGUUGCAAUGAUAGGCAACUCCAACACUGUCGUACAGGUUGCCCAUGAAUUGUACAUGUUACAAUAGAUACAGUUAGAGCUCAUAAACCUACACCCCGGUGUUAGUACUCCCGCUCGUGGCCAGGGCACAGUCCUUCACGUGAUGUUCACCUCCCGCACCUUACGCUCACCUUGGAUCCAAGGUAGGUGCACAAUCAUGUCGUACCACUAUAGGUGGUUCCGACUCGUAGAUGACCCGCGAUUAUUUGCACAGUCUUCACGUGAUUGUAGCACUUGAGCGUAUUUAUUUACACCCAGUUCUAUUGUACAGACCACUUUAGGUGGUUCCGACUCGUAUGCAGGUAUACUUAUUAAGCUAUGGAUAAGUCGUACAGGUCACUAGAAGUGACUCCGACUUAUGAGCUAGCAUAUGUGAUGAGCUAGCAUAUGUGAUGAGAUAAGUGAUGAGUUAGUAUAUGUAAUGAGAUAUGUGAUGAGCUAGCAUAUGUGAUGAGAUAUGUGAUGAGCUAGCAUAUGUGAUGAGAUAUGUGAUGAGCUAGCAUAUGUGAUGAGUUAGCAUAUGUGAUGAGCUAGCAUAUGUGAUGAGAUAUGGGUAAGUCGUACAUGUCACUAUAGGUGACUUCGACUUGCGUGCUAGUAUGGGUUAUUAAUCACAUGAUUAUUGAUAUUACUGAUGAGAUGCUGUGUUGUGGUAUAUUUAUGAUCUUUCUGGAAACUAUGCAAGUGUUGUAACGAGGGGUUAUAAUGAGGUGUUGUAACGAGGGGUUAUAAUGUUUUAUAUGGUUUCUGUUAAAAUUUUAUUUCUAGGGUCACUCACCCUUAUUUUGUUUUCACCCUCUAGGUUUUAUUAGCUGAGCUUUCUUAUCGUCGAAGAUUCGUGGCGAUUCUUAGUAUUGGAGAUUAUUUCGAGAGUACGAUUCUUAAUUCACUUUACUGUACUUGCUUAAGCUGUAACGUCACGUGUGAAGUGGGUUCAUUUCCGCUUACCAGCGCAUUCUGGUAUUUAGGCACUCUUAGGUUUAAAUUUAUUCACAUUUUUCCACAUCAUCAAACUUUAUGGCUUUGUCACUCUUUAGGUGUCGGCCAGCACAGCUCGAUUUGGAGUCCUAGUGGACAUUCCGGGUCGGGGUGUGUCACAAAUGAAGAGGAUGGUUGAACUUGUUAAGUUUCUUAAGUGUGUCUACUUGAAGUGUGUUGCUAAUAAAUAUUUUGUUGUAGGCAUAAUUUACUGAACAAUUAUGGAGGCAGAGAGAGAGAGAGGGAAUAUGCGGCAUAGAGAGAGAAGAGAGAGAUGUGUAAUUGUGAGGUGUGUUCUAUUCCACCCCAUUGUACCUUUAUUAUAUUAGUAGGGAAAGUUAAUUCCUUACCCUUUUAGGAUUACAACUCUAAUAGGAAAAUAUCUAGUCUAAGAGAUAUGAUAGAAUCUCAUAAGGAUAUCCUAGAUAUGUUAGGAUUUACACAAUCAUAUUCCUAUUCCAAUAAGACUGCAACACAUUUGUAUUUUUUUAGAAUUUUUUUGAUAAUUUGUUGGUAUUCUCAAUUUUUGUUAACAUUGAAAAUAUAACGGUUCAGAUGAAAAACCUUUGGAAAUCCAACAGCUUGCAAGACGUUGGGCUGUGCUGAAGGAAGCUGGGCUGUCACGUGGAUGGGGCCCUCCCUCUCCCUCUUGUUGAUUCAAAGGGCGCAGGCCCGUGCAACAAUUGGCGAGGCAGCCCAUAGAGAUCCUGCGAUUCACCCAUUCGCCAUUUUUUCCACCGCUGGAGCACCAAAAUUCGGUCAAAAGGCAGGGGUAUCAAUGGCAAGGGCAAUUUGGCUUCCGCUGGAGGUGCUCUUUGUCGACUUUGUUUUUUCUCUCAUUUUAGCUUUUGCAGUAAUAUUGAAGUAAUCACUCCAAUUUUAUCCAAACUUUUGUUGUCCGUCAAUUUUUAUCAAAACUAUUGGUUAAUUUACAUAUUCAGACUAACCUUCUCAUUAUUUUUAGUAUUUUUAUCAUAAAUAAUAUCUGAAAUAGUCACAUUUUAUUCAACAACCACUCAAUUAAAAAUUAAUUAGUGUUGUUUCUAAACCAUUACAUCAAGCUUUUGUAGAUACACAUCAAUAUUGCAGCGAUCCGAGGCAUUGUUUUAGUGACGGUAGUACUUUCUACUCCUUGGAUUUGGUGAAUCGGAAAAGAGAAGAGUUACGAGUAAAAGUCCCUCGCAUUGUUUUGGGGAGAUGAAGAUGAUGAUCUUUUGUUUUUGUUUUUUAAUGAUUAAUCCACGCAGCAACAUAUAAUUAAAUUGUUGGGAUCUACUCAAGUUCCAUAUCACACACUAACAUAAAAUUUGACAAACGAAACGAAAUAUGUGUGUAGACAUCGAAAUUUCGUAAAUAAAUGUUGACCGAUAAAUCAAAGUGUCAACGCUCAUGUAUUACAUAAAUUUUACACGUAGCGUGUGACUCAACGAAAAUUGAAAUGAGUUGGAAAAGUCAUCAAAUAGGACACGUGUCAACACCUGGCAGAAACGACUUAUUUCAUCUGGGAUAUUAUAUUCAAAAUUAGCCAUUGGAAAAUUCUAUAAAUACAAGCCCAUUUCAUUCAUUUAAGGAGAGGAAUUCAUAUUACACCUUGAAGCUCUGAAGCUCUGAAACUCCGAAGCUCUCAAGCAUCCAGGUUCCCGAAGAAUCAAGAAAGUGUUCUUCGUUCUUCGUUCAUCGUUCUUCCAAGAUCAAGCCUCGACGGCCCUUGGAUCAACAAUCAUCCACCUUCAAGAUCAAGCCCCGACGGCCCUUGAAGAAAGCGUUCUUCGUUCUUCGUUCAUCGUUCUUCCAAGAUCAAGCCCCGACGGCCCUCGGAUCAACAAUCAUCCACCUUCAAGAUCAAGCCCCAAAGGCCCUUGAAGAACUUCCACCAAUUCAAGAUCAAGCCCCGACGGCCCUUGAAGAAAGCACCAUCGUUCAUCAUCCGUUCAUCCAAGAUCAAGCCCCAACGGCCCUUUAGAUCAACAACGUCGACAAAUCCACACAUCCAACCGUUCUUCAAGAUCAAGCCCAAAAGCCCUUGAAGAUCCGUUCAUCACUGUUCUUCAAGAUCAAGCCCAAAAGCCCUUGGAGAUCCGUUCAUCACUAUUCUUCAAAGAUCAAGCCCAAAAGCCCCUUUGAAGAUCCGCUCAAAUCCACCUUCAAGAUCAAGUCCACGGCCCUUGAAGAACGUUCAUCCUUAGAUCAAGCCCAACGCCCCUUUGGAUCAAUCGCACAUCCACAAAUCAACACCUUACGGAGAUCGAAUCAGAGGAUCAAAAUAGAGAGAGAUUGUAACCCAAAAUCAUCAAAUACAAAUAUUUGUUUGUGCGCGUUGUUCUUGUCUCUUUCGUUUCAGGAAUUUUCCGUGUUCACAAUGUGCUCUUGAAAUCAAAAUGAGGGCACUGCUCCAAGAACAAGAAGGGCACCUUGUCGAGGUCGCCAUCCGCCGUGAGGGAAAACCGGAAGAAGUUGGACAACAAUGAUAACAUCAAUUUGCGGCACCCAUAUCGGGACAUCACACUGUGAAAUAAAUAUUGAAAUAAAUACUCAAAACUCCUGGAAAGUCCUCGAGACAACAAACUUUCAUCUCCUUCAAACAUUUCAUUUUACUAAGUUUUAUCUUUGAAGGGAGGGAAAAAAAGAGAAGAGAGAAUCCUACUCCUUAUUCCUGAAUAUAUUCAAGAAUAGCUAUUGAAUAAAGAGAGAAUGGAGGGUGAUCGAAAGAGGAGGGAAGAGAAUUCUAGUUCCAAACAUAAAAAGGACCACAACUUUUAAAUUAUCAGCACAAUCAUCACCUAAUUGAAGAGACCAUUCACUGUGAAACAUAUUGUCAAUCAGUCUAUCUAUAUCUAUUUAUAUACCAUAUUUUUAGAGUAAGAUUCUCUCACCUCCUAUUACCAUCCCCUUCCAUCCUUUCAUCUCAUACUCUUUUUUUGUUGUCUUAUUCUCUAUAUAAAAAAAUUCAAAACAAGAUGUAUACGUGACGUAAUCGUAACCGUUUAAAUAAGAGGGGAUAGAAGAGAAGAGAGAUUAGGAGAAGGGAGAAUCCUACUCCCACAUUUUUCUUCUUCAUAAACAAAAGAGAGGUUCUAGAUUACUUGACUCUAUGCCUCAUUUUUUUCAUCAAGUAUUUGUGAUAAGUGGGUUCAUUUUCAAGUAUUUUAGUUUUUUUGUCAAAAUUGAGAAAACUGAAAAUCAAACAUUAAUAUGAAAAAUUAAAAAAUCAACAUAUAAUUAUUUAGAAAUCGCAAUAGAAAAGAAAAAAAAUGGAGGUUUGUGAUGAAAAAUCUUUUAUACUAAGUAAUUUAGUAUCCUUAUGCAUGAAGAUAAAUCAAUUUGUUCGUUACGGUCAUACUCUUUUUUGAAUUUUUGAACACAUUCUCCAUAGGGCCUUCUUAUAUGUUCCUUCUCCAAGCUCGGGUUAUGGAAGAAGUAAAAGAAGGAAUCGAAAAGAAAGUAUUGGUAACAACCGAUUUCAUUACGAGACAACUCUUGAUAUUCAUAUCAAUCUAUUAUGUACCUUUGCAUCUAGCAUUAGACAAUAAUUGUCAUAGCUUUACCAUAUUUUUUUGUUUCAUUUCUUCUGAAACAAUCUCACACACUUUUUUAUUAUGUGUCUACUACUAGGAAUUCAAUACGUAAUCUUAGCAUUCAAUAGUUAUUCCUAAAUAAUUUCAAUUUUCAAAUGAUCAACCAUUUCAUUUUACCAAGUUCAAUCAAUGUUAGUCAGAUUAGUCAACAUUUAUAUAUUUUGAUGCAACAACAAGAUGUUAUUUGUAACAAGUGAUUUUGUUAGUUGGUUAAUUGGUCACAAGUUAAUGUUCGGUUCAGUUUAGUUUUUCUCUCGAUUUUUUGUGAUUCGGUUUUUUCAAUUCUCUUUAGGGUCGGUUCGGUUUUGUUUUUUUAUUUAUACUUGAAUUUUAUUUUAAUUUAUUUUAAUUUAUUUUAUUUUAAAUCUGGAAACACCAAGAACAACACAAGCACAUAGUCAAUCAAACAACUAUCCUUCUCCACAAAUCAUAGUAAUAAUUACAUUCAUUGAGCUGAAAUGCAAAUAACUAACAAACUCACAAAAAUCAAAUAAAAACUACAAAUUGCUUACUCUUUUUCUUUGGGUUUCACUCGAAAAGUGUCGGUAAAAUUUAGGGUUUGCAAGAACGCAACUGAAAUCUAAAACGGAGGCCUUGUGGCCUAUGGGUUGCUAUUGAGUUCCAGUACAGAGAACCUUGCUUAAUCUCGAUCACGGUACAAAGUAUCGAGUACCUUUAGCACUGUAUUUUGGUAUGAUUGGUAGAACCAAAUUAAAAGCUAACAUCAACAACAACUACCAGAGACAAAAGCUCUUAUCAAUGCUUUGGAAACAUUUAUGUAUCUCCAAGUGUAAUGAUAUAAUUGGUUGGAAACUUGUGAUUUCGUAUCAAAUCAAUAAAAAGUUACAAUAUUGACAAUAUAUUAGCAAUUUUUAUGUUAAUUAUGAACAAGUCAAUCAUGUAGAACCAAAUUAAAAGCUAACAUCAACAACAACUACCAUAGACAAAAGCUCUAAUCAAUGCUUAGGAAACACAGUCCUGUAUCUCUAGGUGUAUUGAUAUAAUUGGUUGGAAAUUUAAAAGAAAAAUGGUGAUUUUGUAUAAAAUUGAUAAAAAGUUACAAUAUUGACAAUAUAUUUGACACACCCCGACCAAGAUCAAGGCAUGCUGGCCGUCACAUGAGAGUGACGUAACCAUGUGCACAGUGCGGAAGCAAUAAUGAUAAGAAAUAUAUGAAUAAUUAAAAACCGAAUCUACUAGAGUGCACUACUAAACAGGAAGUAUUAGGAGUAAGAUACAAAAGUAAAUACUCCUAAUCAGAGCAUAGAAAGUCUAGGUGCAAUCCAGUAGGACAAGUACUAAUUAUACAGUAUAAAAUGUCUUACAAUUAUUUAGAUAGGUCAGAACCGCCGAAGUCCUCACACCCAACAACUGCAAACUUACUUAAAACCUGAAGGGGCGCAAAAUAGAAAACGUGAGUGGGAAAAAACAAAUGUUUUACAAAACCAUUUCAUUUAUCAAUAUAUCUAACCCCUCGCUGUAAACAUGUAUAAUUUUUCCCAGAAUCAAGAUAUAAGCAUAUACAUAAAUAUAUAUAUAAAUAUAUCAAUUCAAAUCAUGCUUCACAUAAUCAUAUUCAUAUGUAUGUCAUGCCAAGAUAUAACAGAGUAAGCAACUCAGGUAAGAGUAAUUUCAUAGAAAUAUAACAUGUUAGCCGGAACCCCUGUAGUAGUCUGUACGGCUGAAUUCAUAGCUCAAAAGUCAAUCUAGCCGAAGUCACUACAAUGACCUAUACGGCAAUAUACUGCACAAGAGUCGGAACCAAAUGAAAAGAUCUGUACGACAAUAAUGGGUGUUGUUGAUGCACAAAAUCAGUGAGGACUUUGGUACAACAGAAAGUGUUAAGUUUGUGACAUUCUCUAGAUUACUCCGAUCACUAGUGUGGAUAAGUAUGUAAAUGGAUAAAGACAGGGAAGCAAACACAAGAUGUACGUGGUUCACCCAGAUUGGCUACGUCCAUGGAGUAAAUGAGUUCUUAUUAAUUGUGAAGGGUUUACACAAGUAUAUAGGUUCAAGCUCUCCUUUAGUGAGUACUAGUGAAUGAUUUAGUACAAAUGACAUUAGGAAAUAUUGUGAGAGAAUGAUCUCUAUUUAUAGAAGAGAGUUUCUAGUUUCAUUCUGACAUUGACACGUGUCAUGUUGUGAUUGGCUUCUGAUGUUGACAUGUGUUGCACUAUGAUUGGCUUUAGAUGUCAACAUGUGUCGCGUUGUGAUUGGCCUCCUGGUUUGAGGGAAACUCUUCUGGCUCCUUGACGGUAUAACGUUGAUCGAUGCUCAGUAGUUUCGGGAUUGGUCAAGUAUGGUACAAACAGGUGUAAUAUAAUCAUACUCAAUACUACUCUCACAUAAUAGCUGGGUGAUAAAUCGCUAGUCACCUAUGAGUCAGAACGAUAAUAAAGGUCUGUACGAAGACUGUGCACCUAAAUUGGAUCCAAUAUGACCAUAUGGUGCGGGAUGUGACAUUAUAUACAGGCUUGUGCCAUCACUGGCGGAGCUACACCCACGGCUACAGUAGGCUGUAGCCUAGGGAGGAUUUUAACAAACUGCUGGUAUAAUAGUUUAUAUAUGAGUUUGUUGUUGCUUAUUGUAUGUAUAAUAGCCCACAUAAAUCCUGCCAAAAUUAUUAGUUAAUGUGUUUCUUAAUUUAUAAAUAAUACUUUUAUUACCUUUUAUUAUUUUAUUAUUUUUAGGCUAAAAGUAAAAAUGGUAAAUUAAUACAUAAUUAGGUUUCUCCUAUUCCCCAUGCUUUUUACCUAUUCGUUCAAAACAAAAAAAUUAAACCCUCUACCCUAAGAAAAGAAAAACUAUGAAUCACCAUCAAAUUAUUUUCUAAUGAAAUUCAACACUAGAUAUGCUCUUCAUGUCUUCAUUUAACCUAUUUCUUGAUUCAAUUGUUCAUUCCAUAUAUCUACAGCACGACUUGAAUUGGUAUCCCCUAACCUUUUUUCUUUUGGGUACUUGUUAUCAACAAAAGUGAUAAUAUUUGUUCUCUUUCUAUUGCUUUUUUGUAUGCAUGUUUUAUUUGUGUAAAAAUUAGUUGGAAAGUAAUUAAUAAACUUGUUUGGAUUAUUAGUACUUCAUGUUCCUACUUUUAUGUAGAUUACUAUAUAAUUUUAUGUAGGCAAAAAAAAAAUUCAUAAGAUUAUAUGCUAAUGAUUUUAGUUAGCCCACCCAAGAAAAAUUUUCUGGCUCCGCUAUUAUGUGCCAUAACUCUGGCAAAAUCACAAUCACCCUAAGUGCAGUUUUAUGAGUUCAACGUUAUUCUAUCACAUAUCACAUCAUCGAUAAUUCACAUAACCAAACAUAACUCACAUGAGCUUACCUGAGCGUCCACAGUACCAUAAUUAUAUAUAAUGCAUCAUAUACGAAAUAUAAAUUCAUAUGCAUGGCAUUUAAGGUAUACUUUCAUUUAAACACAUAUUUCUGGGAAAAUAUCAAGUAUAUAAAUAUAUACUGAAAACCAAAAGCCCACUCAUUGGUAUGUCGAAGGGUCGUAGCCCCCGAGUCGCCUUUGAAUACUCUCGUCCUCGUGAUAAGUCUCACCUAUAUGCGAAUUAACUAUAAAAACGUUAUUUUAGAGCACAUACAAAAAAUUAGCUAAUAACUCUCAUACAAUGCUCAAUUUUUGUAUUUGAAUAUAUCACAGUGACCUACACAACCUCAAGAUCAUCCCUAAAUUUUUACAAUAUUUUUCUGACCCCUCACGCGCUGCCACGCACCGGCAAGGGCAACGCCUUACUCGCCCCCACGCGCGGCCACGUGACAAGCAUACUGAUGGCGUCAAUCAACAUCAUCAGGAAUAUUCUAGGGAAUAUUCUGUUAAAACCCAAUGGUAACUGUUAAAGAUGACUGACGGCAUGAGCAUAUUCUGUCAACCUUGACGGAAUAUACUCCUUUCUUCUCCGAUGAGUCGUCGGUCGCCGGCGACUUCGCCGAUUUCUUGGUAAAACUUUAAAUCGCUUAUUCUUCUUCGUUUCUUCGCCAUUUUUCAUGAAAUUGGUACCAAAAUGAAGCUAAUAACAUGUAGAAUCACUUUGUAUAAGUUUCAAGGCUUAAAAUCUACUAGUUUUUCCCUGAGAAAGCUCGAUAGUUCGGCUUACCUAGAUAUGCGUCGAUCUCAGCCCUCCGACGUCCAAUUCCUUCCAACGAAGUACCCCAAGACUCGUGAGGACCUCCUUAAGCUUCCUAUAAGCUUCAAAUUCCCUGAAACACAAGAUUUUACGUAUGCAUGAACAAUGCACAAAGUCGGAGCUAGGGUUUCCACGUGAAAUCGAAGGUUUCCUUACCUGAAAAUGGUUCCUUUGAAUUCGUAUGGUUCUCACGAACACAAUGGUGAUCUUAAAACCUUCGAUCUACAAGGUUUAAGAGGGUUUCUGGGUUGGUCCGUACGAAGAAGGGAGAGAGAGAAUGAGAAUCUGCGAGAGAGAGGGCACGGGAAGGAAAGAGAAAUAAGAUAGGUGUGUGUAUGGUCCAAAAGCCACCAAUCAAAACUAAGAAAAGUCUUAGUUGUAAUUGGGUCACCAAUCUAAAACAAUUUAACCCAAUAAUAACUUACACACAUCAUUUAACAUCCGAGGGUAAUUCCGUCAUUCUACGUCAUCGAGAAUAAUCUUCCGGGACGGGCUGUGACAAUAUCAGCAAUAUUUAUGUUAAUUAUGAAUAGGUCAAUCAUGUAUUUAAUACUUAAAUGUAUUUAAAAUAAACACCUUAUCAAUGUUUUCUGAACUGUGCUCGAUUUUUCUCCUUCGCUUUGGUUCUGUCCCAUUGGAUUUUUCAAGCAAGAUUUUAUCAAGGCAACUAUCAUUAACUGUGAACAUAAUUUAUCAUUGAGACACGAACAUCCAAGGGGGAGUGUCGUGGAAAAAAAUGUAGAUAUCUUUAUACGUUGUAUGGUAGUAAACCAUCAUAAACACCAUAAAUAUGUAGAAACGCCCUUGCGGUACCUUUGAAUGAUAACUCAUGUAUUUGUUGCCCUAUGUAAAGAUGGCUAAUGAUAAUGGAAGACUAAUUUUCUCAUCCCAAUCUCUCCUGUCUCUCUUAUUCUCUUUUCUCUAUAUUUUAUUUCCAACAAGUUGUGUUUUUUUUUUAGUAUUGUUAAGCAACCCAAUAGAUUUUAAUCGUAGUCUUUGUUUUUUUUCUUUUAUAUUUUUAAUCAAUUUCAGUUGCUUAUCAGUUCUAGCUAAUUGAGCUCUUUUACAGCAAUUUUUUUCUUUAAAUAAAAUUAUUAUUAUUAAAAAGAGUGAGAAAAUUCGAAAUUGUUACAAUAAUUUAAAAAAAAUAGGAGUUUCAAAUCAUGAAGGUAGAGGGAGUUAACAACAUUUUAGGGGGGGGUGUAGUCAAACUAGGAUUUUGAAGGAUUUUAAAAGUGAUAGAUUUGAUAGGAUUUAAGAUGAUUAAAGACUCUUACAAAAUUCAUAUGGAUUUUAAAGAAUAUGAAUGGAUUGCGGUGGAUUGUGGGGGAAGGAUUUGAAAUCCUAGGGGGUGAGGUUUGAUUCUUUUUAGUUUUGGUUAUAUAUGGUAUGCUUUCAAAUCCCAGAAAAUCCACAACUUUUUAAAAUCCUUUAAAAUCUUAAUUUUUUUAAUACACUUAGAUUUGGAUGGAUUCUAAAAUCCUUUAAAAUCUUUUAAUUGACUACACCUAGAUUUGAAUGGAUUCUAAAAUCUUUUAAUUGACUACACCUAGAUUUUAAUGGAUUCUAAAAUCCUUUAAAAUCUUUUAAUUGACUACACUAUGAUUUUAAAGUCUUUAAAAUCCUCUCAAAUCCAAGUUUGACUACACCCCCUAAAGAUUUUAAGGAAAACUAAUGAAAAUGGCUUGAAAACUUUGAGUUUUAACUAGGGGUGGGCAAACGGGUACAGGAACCGCGGGUAGGGGUGGGUAAUUCAAGUUCGGGGCAGGUAUGGGACAUGUCCAAUAUUUCUAAACACAAAACGGGGCGAGGCUGUUCGGGUAUAUGAAAUUAUCGGGGCGGGGCGGGUCUUAAAAUAGAAGGGAACGGGCCCCCAGCCUGACCCGUUUCUUUUCCUCAUCCCUAGUCUUCUCUAUCUCUCUUCCCCGACACUUUUCAUUUCACUCAAACCCGGCCCAUUUCUUUUCCUCAUCAGUCAUCCCUAGUCUUUUCAAUCUCUCUUCCCUAACUCCUUUCAUUUCACUCGUACCUCGAGACCUCCUCUUAACUCGCUCCCAGCCUCCCACCGUCCUAGCUCCGUACCUCGCCAUCAUCAUCGUCAGACCUCCAUCUCUCCUGAUUUACUCAUGUCUUCCUCGCUGCGUCCGCCGCCAUGUCUCUCUUUCUGUGACGAACUUAAAGGGACGGACGAAGUUGAACAACUCGAAACGACGCCUCUUCUGUCUGAAUUAGACCCAUAUUUGCAGCGCACGACUCUGCUCAUAGUCCUCUUCGGUUUUAAGGUAUUACGUUUUAGAGAUUUAGGAUUGAAAAUUAAAUUAGGGUUUUCUAGAUUUAGGGAUUUUGUUGGGUUCUUGAACCUUGACCUCUGUUAUGUUCCAAUUUCAAAUAUAUAUUGAAUUGAAUUUGAAUCGACUGUGUUUGAAACUUCUGUUGAAUUAAAUUGAAUUUGAGCAGGAGAAGAGGCAGAUGUGGGUUGGGCAAUGUCGAAUCUCAUUGUGGGUGGUGAGGUGGGCAUGGCGGGCGACAAUAUUGACUGGCAAUGGUACGGGCGGUGCUAUUAAGUUGCAGAAGAAUACGAAGGAGGGGGUGUGGGCAUGGGUGGAUAUCGCAAGCUCAAUUGAAUUUUUUCUGGUUUUGUUUGUGAUUAAUUGCUUGUAUAUGAUAGUUAUUGAUGGAUCUUGACAUGCCCAUUUAAUUGUUAUUGGCAAUGCUAGUUUGAUUGUAACAAAUUCAAACCGAUUGAAUUGUAUCCCAGAAAAAAAAAUCAAUAAAGGAACUGAGGACCCGGCCCGAACCAGCCCAUUUCAACCGGGCCAGGUUAGGUUCGGUUCUUAUAUUAGAAAAUGUUGUUCCCGGCCCGUUUCUCUUAAGCCCGGAUCCAGUCCGAUCACUUCGAAAUUGGCCCCAACCCGGCCCGGGCCCACCUCUAGUUUUAACGAUAAGGACAAAAUAAAGGGUAAAGUGAAUAGUACCAAGUUUGACUUUUUAGUGUAAAAAUGUAAUUUUUCGUUAAAAUAAGAUUUUAAUGGAUUCUAAAAUCCUUAAUUAAGAAAUUAGGCUUCAACCCAACUCAUCUUUGCAACGCCGGUUCCACUUCACAUCAACAGGCAAUGUUUUCUCCUCAACAAAUAGUAUUCUUUUAUGAGACAAAGACUAAUGAGGGUGAUAUAUAUAAUUAAUAAUAAUACUUGUGUUCCCUUUGUGAGUGAAUGCACUUAUUUUACCAUUCUCUAAUAAUGUAUCUUUAUUAUAUAAAUUUAUAUCAUGUGGAUAUCUUCCUAUAAAAAAGUUAUUCAAAUUGGAAAUCCUUACGUCAUCAAAAUAUAUAAAAAAAUGGACGAUCUCAUCGUAAAUAUGUUAGUUACUCACACUAUAACUUUGUAUAUUCCCUCACGUAGGAAACGCAAUAAUUAUCCUCUAAUUAAUUCUUCUUGAGAGUAGAAUUUUUAUUGUUGGUUUUUCGCAACCUUCAGACCUAAAGCUGAUAUGGACCUCUCAUUGUUUUUUGGGUUGCCGUUCUUAUUUUGCUUGGUCCUUUUACCUUUUCUAUAGUUGUUUAUCUAGUUCUUUUGAGCCUCGUACUAAUUUUUAAUGUAAUGAAAAUUAUCUUCGUGAUAAAAAAAAAAAUCAUUAGUCCUCGUAUGAACAUGCGAUGUAACACACUUUCAUGGAACAACAGAUGAUAAAGACGAUAUCCAAAUUUUCUCUGUGUUAUGUGGACUUUCCCAACCAAAUAAAUAAUAACCAAUAAACAAAUAAAUAAGAGUUUAACUUCAAACAUUGAGAAGCGAAAUUCCAACACUACGAGCCUAACUUUUGUCUUCAUCAUCAUCAUAGACUAGUCUCCUAUCCAUCAACUCCUACAUCAAUUUUUUUUUUUACUAGAUUGUAGCUCACUUUCAAAAGAGUUACGUAAAGUAUUUAAGCACCAUAAAAGAAAAUUAAACGACAACGAUUGACAUAAUAUUAGUAGUAUCAUGGUCUAAAAUAUUCAUAAUAUCUUGAUAUUUUUAUUGAAAUUUUCGUGUUUUUAGACUACCUAUAUUUUCAAUAUCAUCGAUAUUUUAAACCUUGCUAAGUCACUCAUGUAUCUUACCAUGCAAUGUAUAAAGUGUAAAAUAUUGUACUAAUUCAUUAUAUAUAAAUGAUUAUAGUGUGUUUAAACUUCUUUCAUUAAUUACUACAUAUUUUCUACACUCACAAUGUUUGCCAGCUCGCUAUAUAAUCAACUUAAAUCAAUUAUAUCUAUCAUGUAAUGCAUUUCCUUCCAAUUUUUUGUGAUAAACUAAUAGAUAAUUGACUAAAUAAACAUCCUGCAAAGUUUCAAUAAAAAUUUCCAAGUUUUUCUUACAAUUUCCGUAGUUUUUAUUCAAUUUUUAUCGAUAUCGAUAAUAUCCCGAUAUUUCCAUCGAAAUUUCCGUAUUUUUAGACUACUGAUAUUUCCGAUAUCAUCGAUAUUUUAUACCUUGGUAGUUAUACAUUUUAUCGGCCUCAUUUUUAUGCAACUUAUACAUUAAAUUAUUGUCAAAAUGUACAUAUAAAGUAGCUGAUCAACGAUGAGAUUUUAGGCAACCAUUUUCUUCUACGACGUCAAAGGUUGUAGAGGUGGCCAUGUGCACUACAUGCGUAAAUCAACUAGGGACUUGGAUCCUCUCUUAAGCCCAAGGAGAGGAUCCUCCUAACCAAAUGACUUGGAUUGUUGGAUGAAAAUCUAACGAUUACAAACAGAUGAUCUCUUUAAAGUUAUAAUAUUUAUUACCGUUGAAUUUUCAUCAAACGGUCAAAUAUCAUUGGUCAAAAGGGUCCUCUCAUUGGGCUCAGAGAGGACCCAAGUGCAUCAACCAGAACUAUUGCUAUUAUAACAAUUCAUGAAAUCAAUUAAACAAUAAUUUUCCUUCUGGCAGGCAUGUUAGUUAUUUCUUAUUUGGCCAAUUGCCUAGUGGAUUUGGUAGAUUUAACCUCUCCACCACAAACACAUUUAAAAAUUUCCAGAAAUCCGUAACGUAAAAUUUAAAAAUAAAUAUUAAUAACAGCAAGUUCUUUUCACCGACCGUGACCGAGAUCUGUCACAUAUCCAAAAUGUCACCUCCUUAUCGCAAAAACCAAAUUUGACUUGGGAUAAAUACCGUGUACAAAUUAAACGCGUUUCUCUAGCUUUUGCGUAAAGAGGCAACCCAACACUAAACUAGGAAAACGUUGGGUUGACAAAGAUACCAUGAAGAAUAAAGGGGUUAUGCAAUCCACUUUGCAAGAUAAUCAAAGUUUCCCGUUGUAGACUUGUCUUAACCCAACACUAAACUAAGAAAACGUUGCUUUCCCGUUGUAACAUGAAACAACAUUAAACAACAUUAAACAAUAUUAAAUAACAUUAAAUAACAUAAAAAUUAUACAACAUAAAAAAAACCAUUUAACAACAUAAAACUUAAAAUGCGUACUUCUUGCUUCUUGUGGCCUAAAGAUGUGCAACAAGAUCUUGAUGUAGGUACUUGUUUGUGGCACGAAAACGUAUCAUCCUAGCCGUUGGAUUUGAAUUUUUUUUGUUUUCGGCCAAAAAAUUUUAAAUUUAAAAGUUGAAGAUGGUGAGAAAUAUGAUCCUACACUGUUCAUUAAAAUAUUAAUUUCUUGAAUGACCAAAAGGCUAAAACAAGCCAUCCUUCGGUUGGAGAUGCCUAAGGAGAGACUAGAGAUAGAGAGUUUCCUAUAUAUGAUUUUCAUUAACAAGAUUGAAAUGAUUUCAGAGAGAAGAUCAAGUAUGGUUAUUUUUAUUUUGUAGAGUGUAGACAUUAUAACUAUACAUUCAUAAUAACAUGAGUAAUGUUAUAUUUAUCACAUUUGUACUCUUUCUCUGAUAAAGGUAGGGUUCAUCAACACAUGUGGGUUCUAUUUGCCCAUCAACACAUGCGGAUCUCAUUUUUAUUAGAAAAAUAGUACAAAUAUGGUACGGAAAAUAUGAUAAGAUCGCAAUUUUGUAAUAACAUAUAUACUCAACUAUUUAUAUACCGACCCAUCUCCUUUUAGUGUAGAUAAUAUCGUUUGUUAAAAAAAAUGUUGAACUUGUCAUAAUCAUUGAAUCCAUUUACCAUGAACAAACGGCAGUUUACUAAACUUGCCCUCAGAGUAUAUAUAAAAGGUGAAUCACAAUCUAUUGCAUUAAUAUAAGGAAACAAUUUAUAGGGUUUGACGGGUGACUUAAUAUGCUAUAUGGCACAAUGAAAAUUAAGUUCACACUUUAUCCCAAAUAAGGUGUUGCACCUUUAAUUUAUGGAUGCUGGUUUGACGUGUGACCGAAAUAAUCAAAUUGUAGCCAUUAAUCAUUUUACAAGUAAUAAUAUGUAGUUUUUACUGUUUACGAUUCACACAACAAUCUGCUAGGAAGUAGAAAAUGCAGUACUUGUCCCUCUCACAGAAGUCAUGAAUAAUUAUCAAAUUCAAAGAUAAAGAAAAACCACACAAUUUACAAGAGGAAAGAAAAUGAAGGGAUAAAGAAAGUAAGAAAGGAAUACCUCUAUGGGAGGACUCUUAUUUGCUUCAGAUGCCUACAAUAUUCAUCAUAUAAACACUGAUUAAGUAGUCAUCGAAAACCAAAACAAAUGUCGAACAUAGGGUGAAAAACAGAAAGAAUAACCGCAGCUCAUCAUACCAAUAGAGAUAGAACUGCCCGAUGCCCAAGUAUGACUGAAAAAUGGCAAUCCAAACAUGGCGCCUUCUAGCUCAUCAAACUGUCAAAACCUAGGUUCCACCAAAAAGAUACAAGUCACCUAGUUACUUGUAAAAUAAAAAUCUGUUUCAAAAUAGUGGAAAAUAUUAUUAACAUUGUUCAAAGUCCACAUUGUUGUACCUACCAAGAAACAAGAAGGAUUGUAUCUUAUCAUGAAAAAGAACAUAGGUACCUUUUCAAUUGUAAUUGUACAAAAAUGAGAGACCACUUCCGAACUUCUCUUGGAACUUCAAUCAAUUUCUGCCCACUUUUAAAUGCCUUGACAUACUUAAGCCUAUUUCUUUGAGCUUCAGUUUUGGCUUCUGAUGCCUUUAAAUUUCUUAAAGAUUCUUACCAAGUUUUACAAACUCACUUCUAUACAACCAUUUGUCAGUAUACAUACCAUUUUCUUUGAGCUUCAGUCUUUGCAACACCAAAACCCCCCAAAUAGACCCGGAAUUUUGCAAUGUGCAGGGAAUAUACAAAAAAAACCCUCCUAUCCAUCUAAAACGAAAUCAGAACCCAAACCACAAUCAAAAUCCGUAAAAUUAAUUUAGCCAACCCUAAAUCUAAUAAUUCUAACAAAUAUUAUAGUAUCAAUUGAGAGAGAAUUUGAGAAGAUACCUAGAGAUGAAAGGAAGAGCGUUUCCUCUGAUAGGGGUUCCGUGAAAGCAUCUGUUGACCAGAAAAGAAAAGGCAAAAAACCCCAAAUUACAUAUCAAGCAAUUAUAGAUAGAUCGAACCUUGAAAAUUGAAAUUUCAAACAAGAGAAAGGUUAUAAACUUACAACGAUCUGGGUGUUGGUUACUGGGUUUGGAUUUGGGUUUCUGAUAAGAGAGAGAAUCGUAUGAGGAACCGAUAGAGGAACUGCACCGGCAACAGAGAGCAACUGAUAUGGUGGAGAAUAGAGAUGGGCAAAAUAUCCCGGUUAUCCGCCCAUUUAAAGUUCACAGUUACGGUUAUGGUAAUUGAACGGUUAUGGGUACUACCCGUGGUUAUAACGGGUAUCUAUUGGUUAUGGGUAUUAUCCGCGGUUAUAACAGGUAUUCAUUUACCCAUUUAAUUUCAUAUAUGUAAAAUUUAUAAUAUUUUUAACAGUUAUAACGCGUUUUUGUAUUUGUUGCCAAACUUUUCGUAUACAAAAAAUUUGAAGCACAAGAAGCCAACAAGGAGAAAGAUCAAAGAGCUUACUUGAAGCUUAUGAUCUAUCCUGCGGUUAAUAGAAAGUACUGGUAUUAGUGUAGAAAAAUGUUUGUUUUUAGAAGCUUUAUUUUGUAAUCAUAUGAAUUAUAAUUAAAGACUUGCUUGGGUGUAGUAAAAAAAUAUCGUUUGUAAACUAUUAUUUCAAUUAUUAGAAUUGUAUGAUGACCUAAAUGAUUAAAAUAGAGAAAUGCAUGCUAAAAUGUAUUUAUAACAGUGUUUAAUUGUCAGAUUUUUUUUUUUUUUGUAAUUUUCAAGUUGUUAAAAAAAACAUGCAGAGAGGUGAAAAAAGGGAUUAAAAAAUGAUAAACGGGUUCAAAACGGGUAAACGGGUAAAUGAUUAUGGUUAAAUAGGUAAACGGUUAUGGGUAAAUGGGUACACGGUUAUGGGUAUGAGUAUAACCGUUUAUGCAAUUACCCAACGGGUAAACGGCUAUGUGGGUAUGAACAUAAAUGGUUAUGAGUAAAUAACCGCGGUUACCCGCCCGCUAUAACCAUUGCACAUCCCUAAUAGAGAACAUACGAGAAUAGCCGCUUGGAUGGUCAAUCCAAGAAGAGAAAAUCUUGCCACAAUCACGGUACUUGAAAAAAAAAACAAUUUUAAAGGAGGGAAACAAUCGCGCCUUUUUUUUAAUAGACUCUGUCGACGAUAUUCUUGACAAAUAGUCGGGUGAGCUUAUUUUUCACAACAUUUUAUUUAGGACUAGGUUCGGUUGGCAAAUCGUGUCAAAUUUCUUGUGCCAUUUGCCAGCCACAUAUACAUAAUUACCAAAAAUCAGUUACCGUUCGCCAACCAUCUUCUUGCGGUUGCCAAAAAUCGGUUCAACCAAAAUGAUUGGCUGGUUCGGUUGGUAAAUGGCACAACCGGUGGUUUCCACUUCUUCCUCGCUAUCUUCUAGUUGCAAGGGCUCAAUUUGAUUUUCAGAUUGGGAUGCUUGUUCGGUUGCAUUGUGUGGUUCAUUUUGGGUUAAUCCAUGUUGUGCACUAGCAAUUAAUUGGCUAGACUCCAUCAUCCUAAACAUAAGCAACACAUAUACAUUCAAAAUCAUAUAUAUGUACGUGUAUAUAUAGUAUCAGUAAUCAUCAUGUUAUCAAUUUUGUUAACAAUAUUUUCUAUAUUGAUUAUGGCAUGAAUCAUAUACAUAUACAUAUAUUUUUUAAACCCUAAAACUAAGGAGUUAUUUAUUUUCUAAGCCCUAAAAUUGAGGAGUCAAGCAUGUAAAAAAAUACUUAAAAUAUCUAAAUAGAAAAAGAAAAAAAAAAAAAAAAAUAUAUAUAUAUAUAUAUAUAUAUAUCGGUAGGUAUGGCAUACCGCCGACAUACAAAAUCAAUUACCAAAGCCAUGCCAUUAAUUGUCGGUUCGGUAAAAUGCCAACCGAUUAUGAAAAAAUGCCAAAACUAUACCAUACCAUUUUGAGCCAACCGGUAUGGUUCGGUCGGUAAAUCGGCUUAUGGCAAAAUUUCUCACCCCUAAUUUUAUUUGUCGCCUUAAACCUAUUGGUUUCUAGCCUACAAUUUGGAUAUUUUGUUGGGGAAAGAUUUUUGUACCAAUAAAAUUUUGCUUUGUCAGCUUAGGAUUUGUCGGCAAAAUGACAUUUUCUAGUCGUUAUAAUAUUAGGUAGAUCAAAUUUGUAAACUAUGUGAUGUGUCACCAAUAGGAAAAAAAUUCAGUGUGCUGAAAAUACAGUCUAGAACACCAAGUGUCAUAAUAUAUACUUGGUUGGAAAUUUUUUAUUUUCAAGUUUCCAACUAAUUGUAUUGUAACAGUUGGUGUUCCAAGCUAUUUUCUCGAUGCGUUGGAAAAUCUCUUCACCAAUUAAAAAUAAACAUAUUAAUUAACACUUAAGUAAUAAUCAAAGUAUCAACAACUACGUCAUAAAAUUUACGAAAUAUGAUCUUAAUUAAUGAUCUCCAUGGCAUUACCCUUUAUCUUAGCGUAUACGUACGCCUUCACAUGUUUAUUUGCUGAUAUGCAGCUUGAGUAAAAAUUUCUUUUUAAGAACAUAUAUGUGAAUAUAAACAUAUAUAUCUAGUGAUCCAUGUUGCGUUAUUUAAAAAUAAACAAAUUAAUUAAUUAAUAAAUGAACUGUGUGCAUGUCUGUGUAGAGUAAUCCAUAUGCAUGCUUGAAUCCUGAUCACCACGAAACCAUAAUAUAAGCUACUCAAGGCCCGGAAGCUAGGAUUGAAGAGAAAAACACCCAGUCAGAUUAAGCCAAUAUAUCAAAGUUAAUACUUCGAAAUGUAAGCUUUAAGAUAGAAAAAUCACUUACUACCUUGAGCAGUCGAGCUUCUUCAAUGGCAUGAAGCUUUUAGCAUGAGAUUGACUGCAUCACAACUAAAAUUUUCUCUUGGAAACUACAUAAGGAAUAGCAUGUAUACCUAUAACGUUGAGAAAGUACGCCAAUUUUUUCCUUCUGCACAUUCAUGUUUAAAAGUAAUCCUCAAAUGAACUUGCCCACAAUGAAAUGCAAUUUGAGGUAGUCGAGUGUGUUCCAUUUCCAUUCCAUGGGAAUUACUACUAAACUUUGAGAUGGUAAAGGAUUCAUGAAAUUUUUUACUUUUGAGAUAGCCUCUUUAACAUUUCUCGACUAUAACAAUGAGGGAAUACUUCACCUUGUAUCAAACAAGGGAGAGCGAAAAUCAACUACUAAUAGCAUCACAGAGCCAGCAGAAGAUUGAGGAGGCCAUGAAGAGGAGAGAGAAAAUACACUCUUUUUUUUUGUAAGGACAGAGAUAAUACAUUCAGUAAGGGGUACUGAUGUUUAUAUGCAAUGCUGAUUAGGUUUAAAUAGUCCUAUUUAUUCUGUACAGUGCCAAUAUUACCACCCGUUAGUACACUUUCAAGACACUGUACUCCAGUGUGUGCGCUAUGCAGUACGUAGUACUCCUCAUUUUUUGGGGAAAUUCAUUAUUGGUCUUCAUAUCUUCUUUAUUUUCCUUUUCCUCAUUGUGCCACGUGUUUAAAUCACUAAUUGUAGGUAAUCUUUCAAUUUAAUUAAAUCUUAUGUAAAAAAAGAUAUUUAAAUAUCAUUUAGUAUUACAAGAUAGUGAUAUUCCUCUUUAGUAUAAAAUUUUUAUAAUUAAAAGCGUUCAGUUUUUUAAUCUUCAUUUGAAUACUAUCUAUAAAGAAAAAUUAUUCGAAUAAGAGAUCGUUUAUGCAUUCAAAUGUACAAAAUGCAUCGACAGUGUGAGAACGAAUUAAUAUAUUUUUGAUGAAGUACAAUUAUUGAAUACAUUUGAAUGAUCAAAUGAUAUAUGAUUCAAAAUACAUAUUAAGAUAAUAAAUAUAAGUGAAUUGUUAUUAGCACUCCAAGAAUCUUAUUAUACACUCUAAAUUUUCUAUAUUUUGAAUGAAAAAUAAAUUUAUGAAGAGUGUAGAAUGAGAUUUUUUAAUGCUAAUAACACUUCUCUAAAUAUAAUUAUGAAAUUAAUAAAGUAAAGAUACAUGACCUCGUGAAUGAUGUAUGUAUUAUUCAAAAAAUUAUUAAAAACAAAUUGAAAAAGGACGCUGUUGUUGCCACCACUUAUGCAAUGAUCGUCGCUGCCAUCACCAACCCCCAACACCCCAUUACAGCUCAUAAAAGCACAUCAUAAGCAAUUUAUGAAAUAAAUUUACUGGAAUACUAAUUUCCCCCUUAGUUUAGGUCACCAAUGUUUAAAUUUAGGGGUGUGAUAUGCACAUACCUUUUUUUGCUUCUCUCACACUUUUUUUGUUGUUGUCGAAUCAGAUGAAUUGAAGAAGAUCAAUUGACAGAAAUUAACAAGGGGUGUAUGAAAAGUAAAAAUGGAUGUGUAGAUAACACAUCCCUAAAUUUAUCACAACUUUCAUUCCAAAUUUAAUUUUUAUGCGUAGUUUUGUUUGUUCAAAUUUACUUUGACAUUUCAAUUAGUAUUAAAAUCUAAUUUAAAUUUUAGCGUUCAAGCUAGAAAAAGUGUUCCAUUUAAUAUUUAAUCUCAGUUUUUCUCUUUAUUCUUUUAUUCCGAUUUGGUUGCAUCGUAUCUCCAUUUUUCUCGGUGUUGUAUGUUCAUAAGGCCUGGGAAACGUUGGCACGGAGUGAAGGGUACUCACUUUUUGGCCCAAAAUGCAUAAGGCAUGUAGAUAUGUUAAUCAAAUUUUGUAAACUAAAGGAUAUAGAAGUUGAUACUUAGAUUAUAAUUUAAGAUAAUACUAAAGAGACUAAAUUUGCAAACUAAAUGAUGUGUCACCAAUAAAAAUAAGCACGUUUAUCAACGCUUAAGUAAUAAAUCAAUCAUCAACUUUCAUGUCCUUUAGUUUCCAAAAUUUAAUAUACAAAUUUAGUCUCCCAAGCAUUACUCUAUUACUUAAGUAUUGAUUAACAGACUUAUUUCUUAUGGUGACAUAUUAUUUAAUUUACAAAUUUAGUCAACCCAACAUUACUCUUUUGAAAUUGUCUUGUCCACUGAUAUAAUUCUAUUUUUCUUGUGAUCAAAACUUCAAAUGUUAGCAAGUCGCACGUAAAGUCACUUCUGAGAGAAUGUGCUCACAUUGUAGUUGAAAGAUUAUGUGGCUAGCAACAUUACAAAUUUAAUUUGGUAUAAUUUAAAAUAUAGAUUGAGGAAAAAAUGAUCACAUUAACUAGAAACUGAAAAGGUUUCAGCACAGUUUGUUCAAGCAAGAAACUCAAUUUUGAUGCUACCGAUCUUAACAGCCUGAGCGCCGUACCUGGGCACUAAAGUCACCACCACACUCUCAUCAUCUUCAGCACCCAAAUCCUCCAACAGGUCCGUUAACCCCAACCUUAAACAACUCUUGCUCUUUUCCUUCUGCUUAUGUGGAACACUCACAAAACUCCCAGCAAACUCGCUCUUGUCGGGUCCACUCGGUGCCGCAUCCUCAUCGUCCACGUCAUUCACAUACACAUCAAACUUCACAGCCACAUCUUUGUCAAGCUCAAUCCCCUGAAUCACCAGUAUCUCCUCCUCAUCCUCUUUCUCCUUCUUGCUCCUCUUCUUCGGCUUCGGCCUUGACACCACCGUACUUAUCUUUGUCUCCAAAUUUAUUGGAAAAUCUUUACCCGCCACCACCUUCCCCGAUGACGUCGUCUCAGCGGCCUUCGCCACUCCAGCCGCCUUUGCCUUUCUCGCAAGCUUUGUCCGACGUGGCGUCGGUCUAGACUUGAGCCAUGGAAUCUCAACAUCUUCAUACGUAUACCCUAGCUUUUUAUUAUCAAGAGUGUCCCUCACCGUGACCCUAACAAGCUCAGCAUUCUCGUCAUAAAACAAAAACCCCGUAUCCAACCAAUCCUUAUCGUUAAUAUCUUUAUUUUUAGUCCCUAUACUUUUCCAAAUAUUCCACAUUCGAUCUAUAUUCGAAUGGUGCGAAAAAAAUAUUGGAUCCCUUGCAGCGGAGUAAAAAUUCCCCAUGUCUUCAAAAUUAGGUUGCGUGUUAUCUCCGGUCCAUGUAUGAACCGGACCAUGUGGGGUCGUUUCGAUUGAACCGGCCCCUGGAUCUGGUUCGGUGCCAGCCCUGUAGGGCGAACCAAAGAACAACAGCGGUUUCUUGGAGUUGGAAACCAUCUGCCUAUACAUGAUUUUGAGGUUGGCGUCGAUUUGAGCAUCCUUGGACAUUGUUUCAUCCGUGCCGUUAAAGUCAAGAUCGAUGAGAGUCGGCGGCUGAUGGCUGGCAGCGCGGAGCUCGUCGUAAAGCGGAGAGUCCGGGUUAGCGAACAAGGCAGGGAGUUGCAUGCCAGCUGGCGCGUCCCAGUUCCAAAACGGCAACGCGAACGUCGGAUCGUCUAUGAGUUUGGCCAAGAUUCUUUCGUGGAAGUAUAGGUAGUAACGAUGGAAGGGGAAGAAAAGCCAGGAUUGAUGGAUUUGGAGCUCGAGGUUGGGGAAGCCGACUUGAUCGUACGCGCCGUCGCAAUAGGCACAGUGGAUAUCGGCUUGCUGGGUGAAGCUACGCGGAUCGUCGUCCGGGAGGGCUUUCAUGAGCUCGAUGGCUUUUGAAUAUUUUUCGAUGUAGGCUUUAUCCACGGUGUGAGCUGCCGGCCUGACGCGGAGUUUGGUAGGGGAGGGGAAUUUGAAGUCUACGAUUUUUUGGGACGUUGGCGGGCAACAGUUGGUCGGGACUGCUCCACUUGGAAAGUCCGCACCUCCGCAUUUGGCUAGGUCAGGCGGCGACACUGGCUUUGCAACAGCGAAGGGGUCGCUGCCAAGACCAGCCACUCCACCGUACAGGCUUCCGAGACCUAUAAGUACAUGUCUUCUGUCUAGGUUUACUGGAGAAAGGUUUUCAUGGUCGUGAUCGUUGGAGCUAGUGGAAGGGUUUUUGUUUUGGUCACUACUAUUAUUCGUGGCUUUGCAUGAGACGGCUUGUAAAUUGGAAUGCCUAGGGUUUUCAAAUAAGGAAAUUCGGUGAUACUUUUGGGAGAAAGGGAAGAGAGAAGUUGUGGGGAUGAUACUUGUGGUGGAGGUGACGAGUGGAGCUGACAUAGAAGCCAUGGUUACUUGACUCUGAAUACUACGUUGUAUAGGCUUUGCUUUUAUAAUGUGUUCUAGGUUUUACUUUUCUUUGCACAGGUGGCAGGCCGUACACAUUGGCGGUCCUUAAGGGUUUGACGAGGAAUACUACGUAGUCAUUUAGUACAGGGCAACCAUGCACUAUAGCACGUGGCAUGUAAUAUUUACGUAGUCUCAGAAGGUGAAGCGGUUUUGGGCUUCUUGUGUACCAAUAAUAUUUACGUACUCAUUAUUCCACUGGAUGGAUUGCGUGCACGUGAUCUUUAUUCAAACAAAUCACUAUUGACCAUAUAUUGCAAUUGGUUAAUGUUAGGCAAAUUAAAUUUUUACAUCAAAUAAUGUGGUUGCUGAUUAUUGAAUUAUUAUUUAAGUUUGAUUAAUGUGCUUAUUUUUUAUCGGUAAUACAUCAUUUGAUUUGCAAAUUUGAUUUACCUAAUAUUACCAGUUAUAAUUUGUAUAAAUGGACUGGUACCUAACAUUACCAAUUGUAAUUUGUAUAAAUGGACUCGUACCUAACAUUACCGGUUGUCCCAAGAGCACACGCUACUGCUCAAGAAGCAAAGUUCUUAUUUGCCCAAAAAAAAUCAUGGUUUUUUAAUUGAUGCUCUCAUUUUAAUUUACUAGCCCCUUACUUGGCCCUUUUUAUUUAUCAUUUUAUACAUAUUAAUAUUUUGUUUGUAAAAUAUAUUAGUGUUAGUUUUAUCAAAAUUAAAAAUAAAUAAAAAACUUAGCUUUAGUAUUUAGUUAUUGAAAUUGUAAAAAAAGUGAUAAAGUAUUGGGUGCUUUGUUUGAAAAUUUUCAAAAUGAUAUUGUUUUUACCACUGAACCCCUGUUAUAUACAGUGAUGGCUAAUUUGUCAAGUUCUACGAAGUUGGGAUACCCAGCGUUUUAGCAUAUAACAUAGCUUAGUAUUUCAAGCAUAAUUAAUUAACGAAAAAUUAGUAUCCGGUCCCUAGUUUUUACUGUUCAUUGACUAAGACCUUAUUAGUUCUCAAAUUUUGAUUCAAGUCCCUAGCAUUAAUGUGAUAAUGAAUUUACAUGUUUAUUAUAUAAUUUUUUAAUAUAAAAAUUAGUAAUUAAUUUAGGGUUUAAUACUCACACCUCUAUUAAACUUCUAAUUAAUUUUCAAUUCAGACAUUUCCAAAAUAAUAAAAAAUUAAAUUAAAUUAAGUUUGUACCUAUUAGUUUUUUUUUAUAUAUAAAAAGAUUCUCAAUUUUUAAUCUUAAAUGUACAUCUUAAAUGUACCCAUUCUCAAAUAUAUCAAUUUGUUAUAUGUAAAAUGUACCCUUUUUUAAUAUAAAAUCCAUUCAAAAUUUUUAAUCCAUGUUUAAACUUAUAUGGGUACAUUCUUUUUCGUUGAUUUGAGAAUGUAUCCAUGUUUUGGUACAAUAAAUUUUUUGUUAAUUUUGGUUAAUGUACCCAUACAUAUAUGUACACACACACACACACACACACACACAAUAUAAUAGAGAGUAUAAUUUAUAUUUUAUUAUUUUUAAUCCCAUAAAUGAUGGGUUUUAUUUAAAAUCUCAUUAAUAUAAACAAUUAUAAAUUUCAAUUUUUAAUUUUUAAUUUAAAAAAUAUAGUAACUUACAUUAUUACAUUAAUGUCAGGGACCUCAAUAAAAAACUAAAAACUAACAAGGUUUCAAUCAAAGAAUAUUGAUAGCUAGGGACCACAUCCAAAGUGUCCCUUAAUUAAAGGGUAAAUUACAUAGUAACCCCUCAGGUUUGAUGUCUAUUACAACCCCAUACAACAUCUUUAAAACAUUUCACUUUCAUACCUCAAGUACUAUUUUAUUUCAAUAUAAUACAUCUGUUAGAUUUUCCAUCCAUUAAUCCGUUAAAUGCUGACAUGGAUACCACAUUUGUGCCACGUGGCUGCCAAAUGCGUGUCAUGUGGCAAAAAUAAUAAUUUUUAAAUUUAAAAAAAAAUGAAUCUUCAACCCAAAAAAAAAAAAAAAAAAAAAACCCCAAACCCAGAUCCCAUCAACCCCCCCCAAACGAUUAUCCCUUCCCCAUAUCCCCCAUCCCACCCCCCAACCCCCCCUCUGCGACCAACCUUACCAUAGCGCCCCCCAACCUCGCGACCCACCUCACUCAAGGCCCUAAUCCACACUACCUACAACCCAGAAACGAAAAAAAAAAACAAAAAACAAAAAACUCAUCUCCCUUUCCCUGCAACCCAAAUCCCAUCUUCCCUAAUGGGUAUGGAUUUAAGAAGUGGGGUGUGUAGAGGAGGGAAGAGGGUGGGUGCGGAGGAUGGGUAUGGUGGGUUGCAAGGAAGGGGGGUCGGGUAAGAUGAAGAUGGGUUUUUUUUUUCUCUCUCUCUUCUUCUUCUUCUGGGUUGCAAGUUGUAGGUUGGGGUUUUUUUUUGGGGGGGGGGGGGAGGGAGGGAGGGAAGACGACGUGGGGUUUGGUUUUUUUUUUUUAAUUUAUUUAGAAGAUUUAGGUUUUUUGAAAAAAAAAAAAAAAUUCCACGUGGCACAAAUGUGGCAGCCACGUCAGCAUUUAACAGAUUAAUAGAUGGAAAAUCUAACGGAUGUAUUAUAUUGAAAUAAAAUAGUACUUGAGGUUAGAAAGUGAAAUGUGUUGAUGCACAAAACCGAAGGUCUUUGAACAACGUAAAUCCGAUCGUGAAUAUGCAAGUAAUGUAAAUAACACAAGAUGUAUCGUGGUUCACUCCAAUGUUUGGGCUACGUCCACACUGAUUAUUGUAUUUCUCUGAGAGGUGAGGGGGAGAGCUUUGAGAAAGCUUAGAGCUUAGGGGAUGUGAGAAGGCUUAAGAAUUGGCCUCCCUUAUUUGUGAGGGUGAUGAGUCCUUUUAUAGAAUAAGGGAUCCUCACUUAUUACAUAUUUGCCCAUUCCUUUAUUACAUAAUUACAUUUAAGUCCCCUGAGUACUUGUACAAGGUCUAAAUACGGAGGCCCUAAGUAUGGUACAAACAGUAGUCCCCCAAGUCUUCAGUCAAGAGAGUCUUUUGGCUAGAGACUUGAAAUUCUGUCCAUGUGUGAGCCGAAAUAACUAGAUGUCGUCUAGAACUGAUAUUUGAUAUGCGGCAGUGCCCAUUUUGAAAUAAUGCUCAACUAGAAGUAGCACAUGCUGCGAGGCUGCUCUGCUUGUGUUGCCUUGGUUGGCUCGACUUGUGGCGUUGAAGGUGAGAGAGUCCCUUUUAUAGAAUAAGGGCUCGCUCCUCAUUACAAAGAUGAUGGGUUAGUUGGUGCUUGCGGUGAGGCGGAUGCUCAGCUGGCGGCGAUGCUCUCUAAUGAUAGUGAGGGAGUCCAUUUUAUAGAAUAAGGGAUCGCUCCUCAAUACAUAAAUAAUAGGUGCUCUCUAAUGAAAGUAAGGGAGUCCCUUUUAUAGAAUAAGGGCUCACUCUUCAAUACAUAAAUAAUGGGCUAAGUCCCCUAAGUAUUUUUUAUGAGGCCUAAUUGAGGCCCAAUAUAUGGUACAUAAUGUAGUCCCCCAAGUCUUCGGUCAAUAGAGUCUGUUGGCUGGAGACUUCAAAUUGAAUCCAUGUAUGGGCCGAAGUGGCGGUUGUUCGGAAGCGGUAUUUGUAUACCCUGCACUGAAGCUUUAUAGGUGAAGCUUUGCAAGUGAAGCUUUGAAGCUGGAGCUCAGUAAAUGAAGCUUUUGAAGCUAGAGCUUUUGUAAAUGAAACUUUUGAAGCUGGAGCUCUAUAAAGGAAGCUUUUGUAAAUGAAGCUUUUGAAGCUGAUUCACAUGAGUGAUGCUCAUGAAUGUUUAUGUUGAUUGAUAUGAGUGAUGCUUAUGGAUGUUGACAUGAGUGAUGCUCAUGGAUGUUGACGUGAUGCUCAUGAAUGUUAACAUGAGUGAUGCUCAUGAAUGUUUAUGUAUGAUUGAUAUGAGUAAUGUUCAUGAAUGUUUAUGUAUGAUUGACAUGAGUAAUGCUCAUGUAUAAUUUGAAGUACUGGGCAUACUUUUGAUUACCUGGUUGGCGAUAAUAGCGGCAGGGUGCCGAAUAAUUUUUUGUAGUACUGGGCGUACUUUUGGUCACCUGGUUGGUGAUAAUAGCAGCAGGGUGCCGAAUAAUUUUUUGUAAUACUGGUCGUCCUUUUGGUCACCUGGUUGGUGCUAUUUUGAGCUUAUGGGCCUUCGCCCUCUACACAACAUUCCAGCCUAUUUAUUUUGGGCUUUACCGUUUUUUUUAAUUACCCUAUGAUGGGGUUUAUACAGAUGUCUCCGAAAGAUAUGAAAAAUAAAUUACAUCAUUCAAAAAUAAAUCCGACCCUCUGCUCAAUGGGUCACGCCAAUAAUUCUUUUUUUUUAUGCAUGCCAUCACCACCGCAAUUAUGUCUGCUUCUUUUUAUCUUCUUUUGCUUUCUGCUUUUGCUUUUACUUUAUCUUUCUCUUUUGGCAUAUGGCAGACAACGCCAAAACGGAAUAAUGAAUUAUUAUGAGAACAUGAAUCUUAUCUUUUGCCUGGUUUUCCACUAGUGCUCGUGGUAUUCUCAGGAGAUUGGAUCUGGGGGUAGGCGACUACCCCAGCACCUUGCCCUGAUACGUAAUAGCCUGAUGUCCCACUGCCAUCUCCAUACUGGAAGGUGUACGAACAAUGGUUAUUCUGUGUGGAACAAAUAGAAUCCGAUUGAGAUUCAAGACUGCACCUUCGAUCUGAGCAAGAAAUGAAUUGUGACGUUGAUGAACUUCUAGGAGGAGAAGCAGAGGAUCUUUGACUAUGAUGAUCUUUGAAUUCCAGAUGAAACUGAAUAAAAUGCAGGUUGUGGAGCUUGAUGUGGGCCCAGAUCUGCUUGACAGCUUUGGGGCGGGAGGAUUCCUUGACACUGAGGAAGAUUCCCAGAGCUGGAGGGAUGAGAAUCGACUUCAUAAUCCCGAUGGUGGGUUUGUGCUUGGUCGAAAGAUCAUUUCUGGCAGGGGAAAACAUGUACCAUACCUAUUGCAAAUCUUGCAAAUUCUCUGCUUCUCCAUGGAAGAUGAAGAGCAUCGAAUCUCUGUUUUCUCUCUCUCUCUCUAAAACGUUUUCGUUAUAGAGUGCCCCAAUAGAAGUGGACGGGCAGUGAGCAUGCCAUUUAGUGCCUCCUCCAAGACAGUAACUGAUACGGUGGUCUUUAUUGGCACUCCAAGUUUACUAAAAAGGGCAGCAAAAAUAGUAUUUACAGCACCCAAACUUGAAAGAUCUAGCUCCAACUAGUGGCUUUCUGUUUCAACAGCCUGAAAGCCGGCAGUGUCAUACCGACGCCGUUUGUCUGGAUCAAAUAAUAUAUUAUAAGAAAACAUGACCUUCUUGAAGAUAUCAGCUGUUUUAGAGUCAUUAGCAUUUUUGUCAGGAUGGUACUUGAGAGCCAUUUUCCGGUAAGCACUUUUGAUUUCCUGGUUGGUGGAAUUCCUAUUGAGGCCGAGGACCGCAUAAGGGUUUUGUCGGAGCUGCUUCUUAGCUUCUUGCUUCUCCGAUUUUGAUCGGCUGCCCUGCAUUUUUGAAAUUGACGGUCAAUUUCUUCACAAAACCCUAGAAAUUGCCUCUCGAUUACCUCCGAAACACAUAAUUCACGACUCUUGGUUGAAAUUUUUUUUUUUCAUUUCAAAGAAGUGGCGGAGGUAAAUCAGUUGUCACAUAGCACCGGAGCAUGAGGAAAACCUAGAAAACCAAGAGGCAGAGAGACUCCAUGCACAUCUAACCUGGAACCUUGCAGGAGAGAGCAGAGAGAAAGAGACAAGAAAGAUUGAGGGAGAAGCGAUCUUGGUGCAUCGUCUGUGAUUCCUUGGUGAUUUGCUCGAUCGGGACUCUGAAUUCGUGCAAGUCAUUGCUGUUAAGCAAGAAUCGCGAGGAGUCGGAGAGCUUGGAAAUCGAGAAGGAGAGAGGGCCUUUAGUCAGGGCUUGGAGGGUGUCGGACUCCGUCGGCCAAGAUUGGUGCACGGUCACGGCGUCUGGGCCCAUGGCGGUUGUGUAAAUGGGGGAGGUUCUAGGAGUCCAAGAAAGAAGAAGAAGCAGCGACCAUAGAUCUGGGAGUCCAUGGCGCUUGAAAGAUACGGCGAACAAGUCGGACUUGCUGCUGGGCAGCUGGCGGUGAUAAUGUUGGUGCAUGGGUUUUGGAGUGGGAGUGUUUGGAAUGGGUUUUUUGUUUAGUUUCUAUGUGUUUUUUCACAGAGAGAGAGAGAGAGAAGUGAUGGUGUUUAAGGGAUGAGUUUUGGAGCUUAGUGAAUGCUUUUUCUGGAAAAGCCCAGUGAGGUUUGUGGGUUUUUGCAGAUUUUGCAGAUUCGCGGUGGAGGUGAAAGAAUGAAAGAGAACCGACACAACUUUUCGUAUUGAUUCCCACAUACGGCGCCAAAUGUUGAUGCACAAAACCGGAGGUCUUGGAACAACGCAAAUCCGACCGUGAAUCUGCAAGUAAUGUAAAUAACACAAGAUGUAUCGUGGUUCACCCCAAUGUUUAGGCUAUGUCCACACUGAUUAUUGUAUUUCUCUGAGAGGUGAGGGAGAGCUUUGAGAGAGCUUAGAGCUUAGGGGAUGUGAGAAGGCUUAGGAAUUGGCCUCCCUUAUUUGUGAGGGUGAGAAGUCCUUUUAUAGAAUAAGGGUUCCUCACUUAUUACAUAUUUGCCCAUUCCUUUAUUACAUAAUUACAUUUAAGUCCCCCGAGUAUUUGUACGAGGUCUAAAUACGGAGGCCCUAAGUAUGGUACAAACAAAAUGUUUUAAAGAUGUUGUAUGGGGUUGUAAUAGACCUCAAACUUGAGGGGUUACUAUGUAAUUUACCCUUAAUUAAAAUAAGGGCAAAUGAAGAGGAUGGUUGAACUUGUUAAGUUUCUUAAGUGUGUCUAAUUUAAGUGUGUUGUUAAUAAACAUUUAUUAUGGAGGCAAAGAGAGGGAAGGUGCGGCAUAGAAAGAGAAGAGAGAGAUAUGUAAUUGUGAGUUGUGUUUUAUUCCAUCCCAUUGUGCAUUUAUUUAUAUUAGUUGGGAAAGUUAAUUCUUUAACCUUUUAGGAUUACAACUCUAAUAGGAAAAUAUAUAAUCUAAAAGAUAUGGUAGAAUCCCAUAAGAAUAUCCUAGAUAUGUUAGGAUUUACACAAUCAUAUUCCUAUUCCAAUAGGACUGCAAAACAUUUGUAUUUUUUUAUAAUUUUUUUGAUAAUUUGUUGGCAUUUUCAAUUUUUGUUAACAUUGAAAAUAUAACGGUUCAGAUGAAAAACCUUUGGAAAUCCAACAUUGAAAAUAUAACAGUUUGACGUUGGGCUGUGGUGAAGGAGGCUGGGCUGUCACGUGGGUGGGGCCCUCCCUCUCCCACUUGGUGAUUCAAAGGGCGCAGGCCCGUGCAACAAUUGAGGCAGCCCAUAGAGAUCCUGCGUUUCACCCAUUUGCCAUUUUUUCCACCGCUGGAGCACCAAAAUUCGGUCCAAAGGCAGGGGUUCCAAUUGCAUGGGCAAUUUGGUUUCCGCUGGAGGUGCUCUUUGUCGACUUUGUUUAUUCUUUCUUUUUAGCUUUGCAGUAAUAUUGAAGUAAUCACUCCAAUUGUAUCCGAACUUUUGUUGUCCAUCAAUUUGUAUCAAAACUAUUGGUUAAUUUACAUAUUCAGACUAACCUUCUCAUUAUUUUUAGUAUUUUUAUCAUAAAUAAUAUCUAAAAUAAUCACAUUUUAUUCAACAACCACUCAAUUAAAAAUUAAUUAAUGUUGUUUCUAAACCAUUACAUCGAGCUUUUGUAAAUACACAUCAAUAUUGCAGCGAUCCGAGGCAUUGUUUUCUACGCCUUGGAUUUGGCGAAUUGGAAAAGAGAAGAGUUACGAGUAAAAGUCCCUCACAUUAAGAGGGCUCCUCCUCGGGGAGAUGAAGAUGAUGAUCUUUUGUUUUUGUUUCUUAAUGAUUAAUCCACGCAGCAACAUAUAAUUAGAUUGUUGGGAUCUACUCAAGUUCCAUAUCACGCACUAAUAUAAAGUUUGACAAACGAAACGAAAUAUGUGCUCUCGAAAGCAAAAUGAGGGCACUGCUCCAAGAACAGGAAGGGCUCCUUGUCGAGGUUGCCAUCCGCCAUGAGGGAAAACCGGAAGAAGUUAGACAACAAUGAUGACAUCGAUUUGCAACACCCAUAUUGGGACAUCAAACUGUGAAAUAAAUACUCAAAACUCCUGGAAAGUCCUCGGGACAACAAACUUUUAUCUCCUUCAAAUAUUUCAUUUUACCAAGUUUUAUGUUUGAAGGGAGGGAAAAAAAGAGAUGAGAGAAUCCUACUCCUUAUUCUUGAAUAUAUUCAGGAAUAACUAUUGAAUAAAGAGAGAAUGGAAGGGGAUCGAAAGAGGAGGGAAGAUAAUUCUAGUCCCAAACAUAAAAAGGACCACAACUUUUAAAUUAUCAGCACGAUCAUCAUCUGAUUGAAGAGACCAUUCAUUGUGAAACAUAUCGUCAAUCAAUAUGUCUAUAUCUAUUUAUAUACCACAUUUUUGGAGUAGGAUUCUCCCCCCUCCUAUUACCAUCCCCUUCCAUCCCCUUCCAUCCCCUCCUUUCAUACUUUUUUUUUUCUUAUUCUCUAUAUAAAAAAUUCAAAACAAGAUGUAGAUGUGUCGUAAUCGCAAUAGUUUAAAUAAAAGGAGAUGGAAGGAGAGAUAAAUUACGAGGGGAGAGAAUCUUACUCCCACAUUUUUCUUCUUCAUAAACAAAAGAGAGGUUCUAGAUUACUUGACUCUAUGCCUCAUUUUUUUCAUCAAGUAUUUGUGCUAAACGGGUUCAGUUUCAAGUAUUUUAGUUUUUUGUCAAAAUUGAGAAAACUGAAAAUCAAACAUUAAUAUGCAAAAUUAAAAAAUCAACACAUAAUUAUUUAGAAAUCGCAAUAGAAAAGAAAAAAUGGAGGUUUGUGAUGAAAAAUCUUUUAUACUAAGUAAUUUAGUAUCCUUAUGCAUGAAGAUAAUCAAUUCGUUCGUUAUGGUCAGACUCUUUUUGAAUUUUUGAACACAUUCUCCAUAGGGCCUUCUUAUUUGUUCCUUCUCCGAGUUGGGGUUAUGGAAGAAGUAAAAGAAGGAACCAAGAAGAAAGUAUUGGCAACAACCGAUUUCGUUACGGGACAACUCUUGAUAUUCAUAUCGAUCUAUUAUGUACCUUUGCAUCUAGCAUUAGACAAUAACUGUCAUAGCUUUACCAUAUUUUUUUGUUUCAUUUCUUCUGAAACAAUAACACACACUUUUUUAUUAUGUGUCUAAUACUAGGAAUUCAAUACAUAAUCUUAGCAUUCAAUAGUUAUUCCUGAAUAAUUUCAUUUUUCAAUUGAUCAACCAUUUCAUUUUUCCAAGUUCAAUCAAUGUUAGUCACAUUAGUCAACAUUUAUAUAUUUUGAUGCAACAACAAUAUGUUAUUUGUAACAAGUGAUUUUGCUAGUUGGUUAAUUGGUCACAAGUUAAUGUUCGGUUCAGUUCAGCUUUUCUCUCGAUUUUUUGCGAUUCGGUUUUUUCGAUUCUCUUUAGAUUCGGUUCGAUUUUGUUUUUUUAUUUAUACUUAAUUUUUUUUAAUCUGAAAACACCAAGAACAACACAAGCAUACUCAAUCAAACAACUAUCCUUCUCCACAAAUCACAGUAAUAAUUACAUUCAUUUAGCUAAAAUGCAAAUAACUAACAAACUCACAAAAAUCGAAUAAAAACUACAAAUUGCUUACUCUUUUUCUUUGGGUUUCACUCGAAAAGUGUCGGUAAAAUUUAGGGUUUGCAAGAACGCAACCGAAAUCCAAAACGGAGGCUCUGUGGCUUGUGGGCUGCUAUUGAGUUCCAGUACGGAAAACCUUGCUUACUCUCUAUCACGGUACAAAGUAUCAGUACCUUUAGCACUGUAUUUGGUAGAACCAAAUUAAAAGCUAACAUCAAUAACAACUACCAGAGACAUAAGCUCUUAUCAAUGCUUUGGAAACAGUCAUGUAUCUCCAAGUGUAAUGAUAUAAUUAGUAAGAAAUUUAAAAGAAAAAUGGUGAUUUCAUAUAAAAUCAAUAAAAAGUUACAAUAUUGACAAUAUAUCAACAAUUUUUAUGGGGUAAAUUACAUAGGACCCCCUCAGGUUUGAGGUCUAUUACAACCCCAUACAACAUCUUUAAAAUAUUUCACUUUCAUACCUCACCUACUAUUUUAUUUCAAUAUAGUACCUCCAUUACAUUUUCCAUCAAUUGAUCCAUUAAGAGCUGAAUUGGUUGCCACAUUUGACACGCCCCGAUCCCGAUAUCCUCGGGAUAUCAGGAUGGUCACGUGCUGGCCGACACCCGAGGGUGACGAAAGCCAUUUAUUGAGUGCAAUUGCUGAAAAUAAAGGAUAGAUAAAACUUAUAAAUGUAAAAGAAUAAGGAAUAUGCAUUUAAGGAACGUGUUCAGAGCAUACAACUAACUAGAACACUAAAAGAAUGAUAUAAAAUGGAAUGAAUAAAAGAAUGAGUCUUACACCAAGAGGACUCGAAGAUGCCGAUGCGGAAGUACCUUGAUUGUCGGGAUUGUACGCCUCGAUCCUAAAUCCUGAAGGGGGCGCAAAACAAACAUGAGUGGACCAAGUUGAUAUAUAUAUAAUAAAACAGUUAUCAAUAUACUAACCCCCAGGUUUAUGAAAACAAAUAUAUAAUGAUGAACAUAGGUUUUCCGAAACCUAGCAUGAUGUGCAGUAUCUCAAAUCAUAACUCAUAUAUAAUAAUCACUAGUGAAUUGUCCGAUAACCUGCAGGCCCCAUGCCGGCUCCCCGUCUCUGAGCAGACAGUCAGAGGAAAAUACACUUCAGGCCCCAUGCCGGCUCCCCGUCCCUGUGCUAAAUAGCCAGAGGAAACACACUCCAGGCCCUAUGCCAACACCAAACCGUCGCCCGGGACGGACCGGAAUCUAUUCCUACGUCCCGUAGCGGAAAUGACCACUAGGUAAGUACAAAACCAUUGAACAUACAUAUAUUGAAAAACAACUUCAUAGUAUAAAGUCAUCCAUCAUCUAUACUAUAAAGAGGUGUUCGAAACAUGUUCUAAAUAUCAUAUCGUCAUCCAUCAGAUAUUCUAUAAGAACACGGGUUAUAGGAAAAAUAGUAAUAAUUCAAGGUAGCCUCAGUAAGCAUGUUAUCUCAAAACGUUUCAUAAAACGUAAUCAUUAAAUCAUGCAUUUCAUGUAUGCAUUUCUACUAUUAAAACAUGCUUUUGAAGGGGUCCACUCACAGUACUUAGCCGCCGAAGAGCCACGCAAACUAACGUCACCAAUAUUGCCCCUAAGCACAUAAAUGGUCCAAUUAAUAAAACUAUAUAAUAGCAAUUGGAUUUGGGAAAACGGACGUUGGAAACGGAUUCAGAACGUCGAAUUACCCUAAGAAGGGUCCCGGACGAAAACCCGAAAAGUCAACUCUAAAGUCAAUGUUGACCGGAGGUCAACGGUCAAAUUAGGUCUAACGGGUUUUAGGCUUGAAAUCCGGAUUAGGGUUUAGGUUAAAUAGGAUUAGGAUUUAUUGGGUUUUGGAAUUCUAAGGUUUUUGGGUUAAAAGGGUUUAGGGUGAAAAUGGGUGGUUUGGGCUUAAUCCCAAACUCACACACAACACACACACACACUACACAAACCCUAAAACACACACACACACACGGGCUGCACUAGGGCAGCCCUCACAACACUUCACAAAGGCCCUAAGGCCUUAUUAAAGGACAGGGCUUUAAGCCCUUUAAAGGAUACUGGCCCAAGGCCCGUCAAAAUAAGGCCCGAGGCCUUUGGGUUUUAAAAAGAACAAGAACAAAUUUAAAAGAAAAGGGGCUGGGGUCUACUGGGCUAAGAUAUAACGGGCUUAAGGCCCGUGGGGUUUUCUAAAGGGCCUGAGAGGCCUGGGUUUGUCGAAGGAGAAGGCCGGAAUUUCGGCCGGAAAACCACCCAACUUUAAAUGGCCAUAACUUUGUCAAUACUCAACGAAAUCAAGCAAGACAAAAAUGAAAGUUGUAGCCCUUGAAGCGACGAAGAGAAUGGUUCCUCACACGACGUCUAACUCGCCGUGGUUUGGCCGGAAAAUGCCUCGAAAUCCGUCGGACUCGCCGGAAACUGGGUAAGAUUCAAAUGAGUAUAACUUCUUCAAUACUCAACGAAAUUAAGUGAAACAAAAAGGAAAGUUGUAUUACUCGACGAGACGAAGAGAUUGAUACCUUACACGCCGGCCAACUCGCUGUGGUUUGGCCGGAAAUGGCCUCGAAAGGGGCGGUGCUCGCCGGAGCUUACUCCGUGCCGUCGAACUCGCAGGGUAGGGUCCGGGGUUCGUUGCAAGCCUCUCUUCGAUGGUGACUCGGUCCUAGUGAGUCCAGGGGAAGAGAGAGAUGCGAAAGGUUGAGGGAGAGAGAGACGGGAGAGCUGAGAAAGAGAGAGCUACGGGAGGGAGAAACGAAGAAGAAGAAGAGAGAGAUCAGAAAACAUAAAAAAAAUAAACAAGGUGGGCCCCACGGGCUCACCAAUUAAGGCUUUAAAACAAUUUUAAAAUAUAAAAGAGGGUUGGGGUGUUUCAACAUUUGUACCACGUGGCAAAAAAAAAACCUAAAUCUUCUAUACAAAAAAACUAAAAAAACCAAAAAAAGCAAAAUCGAACACUCCACCCCGCAAAAAUCCUAGCAUCUUCCUUUUAUUCCCCACAACCCCAAAUUCCCCCCCAAAACCCCUAAAACCCAAACCCUAAUUCCUCCCCCACAUGAAGAAAAUCCCAGUCCAAUUCAAUCCCAAUUACCUCAAAUCCCACCAUAGAAACCCUAAAUUUUGGUUCCUCAAUCCCUAGAUUUCCCACGCCUCUGUUGCCUACACCUUAUCAAUCUUUAGCUUUCUCCCUCAUCCCCUCCAUGAACGACACUUUCUCUCAUCCGCUGUUCCCCAGCAACGGCACCGAUACCUACGAGGCCUGGUACGGCAACAUCCAGUACCUUCUCAACAUCUCCGCCAUCGGCUCAUUCUUAUGUGUCUUCUUUUUCACCUUGGUCAAGCUUUGAAGCGAUCGCCGCCGCAUGCCCGGCUCGUCCUCCCUCGUUGCUAAGCUCUUCGCAGUGUGGUAUGCUACCUGUCGAGAGAUUAUGCUCCCAUGUGGCGCUGAGGCCAUAAUACUCACGCACCCAUCUACACACCCACACCACCACUACCGUGGACUCUCUCUCACUCUCCCUCGUCUUUGUAGAGCUAGGUGAAGCCUAGAAACCGAGAACUAGCUCCAGCAAACCCCGUGAGUUUCGAGCCAGAUCCCUGCCGACUCCGACCAUCCCAUGACCAAUCUAAGGUACAAAACAUUUCCCCUUGACUCUAUGCUCUUUUUCGUAUGUAGAUCGUAGGGAAAAGCCCACAGAAUGAGAGAGAAUAGUGACCUGAGAGAGUCCACGGUGAUGGUGGUGUGUAGAUGAGUGCGUGCGUGGGUGUACUGUCGGGGAUAGAGUCUGAGAGAGAUAGAGAGUGAAAGAGUCUGAGAGAAGAGUGACUUGCGAGAGUGAGAGAUUCGAGAGAGACUCGGGAAAAGAUUUAUGGGUUUGGGUUUUUCUGGUUUUUUAUUUUUAUAAUAAUAGGGUUAAUAUUAUAAUAUUUUUAAUGUAUAAAAAUUUCUUUUUUGCCACGUGGCAGCCACAUCAGCACAAAUGUGGUAGUUGUAGAUGCAAAUUUCUUCCUCUUGAUCUUGGACAAUUUUGCACCUACAAAACAAUUAACACCUUAGGUUAAGGCCAAAAGCCUCACACACCCACAAUGAAUGGGGGGCUUUGGCCGAAGAACCUCUGUUGCCAAAGUUAGAAUUUAGAGAGAAAGAGUCUUUACAGAAUUUUGGGAUUUUUGCCAAAGUGUUGGAAUGGCUUUCUGGUGAGAACGGGAUCACUUUUAUAAGGAUAGGAAGUGGUCGGCCUAGCUAGGGUUUUUGGGUUUAAUUUAGGUUUAAUUCUUCAAUUUAUUUGGCUAAUUAAACCCUAAAGAAUAAAUUGGUGGUUACAAAAUUGAUUAUUUGUAUAAAUGGGGUAAUAAAAUGGAGAAAAGUGAAAAAGGUUAGGAAAAGGGAGGUAGCUAGCUUCUUAGUAGUUUUAGGUGUGAGUGGGUGUUUUAAUUGAUAAUUAAGGGAUUGAUUAGGUAAUUAAUCCCUUAAUUAAACAAUUUUUAGGGAAUAUGAAAGGAAAUUAUUAUUUAGCUAAUUGAUUAGCUAAAUAAUGGAAUACAAAAUAUAUAGAAUAAAUUAGGCUUUAGGUAUUACCUUAUAGAAAUGAUUUGAUGAAAUAGGCUUUAAAUUGUUAACUAUUUUGGGCACUUUUGACUUGGUUGAGGAUGAUUGUCUGCCGCUCGCACGUAGGAAUCUCGAUAUGCCUUAAGGGUAUUUUUGUCCUCUUUUACCCAAAAAUCCACGUGUCGCCUUGUGAUUAUUUUUGGCUCCACAAAUGCCCCCACACCUGUUGGGCUGCUCGCAGAAAAUGGCAGCAGGUGUAGAGAUCAUCUUGCUUUAGGAAACGUAGGACUACUUCCUCUUUAGAUGUAGAUUCUCUCUUUAAUAGGAAAUUAGGUUCUUCUAGGAAAGGGAAAUAAAUUUCUGUUAAAGCCUAUUUAAGUCUACCUUAAGUGGGUUAUUAAAUCAACUUUGGAGAGCGAUUUCUUAUACCCUACAAGAGAGAGGGAGCUUAGAGAAUAUUUGUUCCCCCUCUUCUAGCAAUCUUCUACAUCUUUCCCGUGCAAAGGAUCGUCUUUCGUUGAUUUCUUCGUCUUCUCCGUGCCGCACCGAUGUAAGAAAAAUUUAAUUUUUUGCUUAUCUUCUUCUUGGAUAGUACUAUUACAGGGCAACCGUUAAGGUAGUGCGGCACGUCUACUGGCAGGGGCUAGGAGUUGGCUCGGCAUCGGUCGAUGAGGCAUUAUGGCAGGGGCCACUGCUUAGGCUGUUUGGCUUGGCUAGAGCCAAUGGCAGCUUGUGCGGCUGGGGUCGCGGAUUGUGGCGUUGGGGCGCAAUGCUAGGCGAGCCACAUGGUUAAUGUCCUUUAGGCUCUUAGACCUUACUCGGGCCAGGCUAGCGACUGAAAGAAAUGAGGAGGUCGUGGGCCUCAUGGGUUGUUGGAAUGUUGGGCAUGCAGGCCUCCUGUCUGCUAGAAUGCUAGGUUGAGCUCCUCUGCUGAGUACCGUGAAUGGCGUUGGCUGCUUAGUUCUUUUUACAGAGAGAAAGGUGGGCUGCUCCCGAAAGAGGAAGUAAAGAGGAUCAAGGUGGAUGCAUUGGCUCGUCUAAUCGCUGUCGUGGAACCUCCUAUGAAUGAAGAUGGAAAUAAGAGAUCUUCCCUGCCUACUCAAGAGAUGCCGAUCGAGAAAAAUUGAAGACUUUCUCCACUGCUGCUCAUGAUGAUUUGUCUGCUGUCGAUAGGCCUGUGAUUGGCAUGACUUCUUCCAAUGGGAAGAAAAAUGAGGCUGCUAGAUCUGAUCAUGUGGUGCCUUCCAUGUUGAGAAUUGCUAGUACAAUUGUUGAUAAGAUUGCUUAGCGCAAAGGUUUUAUCAUGCCCCCAGUACCGAAGUCUGUACCAGGACUUUCGUUUGGAGCAAAGUCUGGUUCACCUUUGGAGAUACUUGCUAUUAUGAAAAGUGGUAAGGUGGACUCUGCUGCUAAAGUGGCGUCAAGGCCCACUCCCUUUGUUGCUGAGACUGAUUCGCCUGCUAGGAAGGAAGAUACUACUUGUAUGGGCAGCUGUGAGAAAUCCACUAAACUUGCUUCUGGGGAGGCUGCUGAGAUCAUUGUGCUUUUGAAACUAUAUCUGCUUGAAGACAUGGACGCUUGUGCCAAGUUUGUUGAUGGCGGUAGAAAGGUUGUUUACCUAAGUUCCUUUGCGAAACAUACGACCCAAUAUAAAAUGACUGCUCUGCUUACUAGGAUGCAUAAAUAGCAAGGUUGUCAAGGAGGUGGCGAAGAUUAUGGCAGCUAAAGCUUAUUCCUCAGUCGAGGAGAUCAAAAGGUUGAAUUAUGAGCUUGUUGCUUUGAAAGAAAUGGAAGAACUGCAACACGUUCGUGUUAGUCUGUUUGAGAAGAAUGAGCAGCUAAACGGUAAGAAUGAUGGGCUUGAGGUUUCUCUAUUUUUCCGGAAGACUUGCUUACUUUUACUUUUGAGGCUUCCAUUGGUGAAGUAGUUGGAGACGUUAGUGCCCAGGCUUAGGCAACCGGGGGUGAAGCACCGGAUGAUGCCGCUGCUAAGAACGUUACGGCUGCUGAAGGUGUGGAGACCAAGUAGUCGUGGGAUGUCCAAGCUGCUGUAGUGUAGUAUUUUAGGUAGCUUUUAUGAUUUUCUUUGUUUUUCCUUGUAGCUCUUGUUUUGCUUGAACUUCUUCGGCCUUUGCUAGUUGUAUAAACAUGUUUUCCUUCGCUUUUCUUCAUCUUCGCUUCUUUUGUUCAUGCCCUAACCUUUAGACUUGAUAGACCAAUGGCAGGCAUGCUACUUUUUUAUAAGCAGACAAGCUCGCGUAGCCUAUGCAGCCGUAAAUGUUGGUGUAGAACUUUGCAAAGUUGUUAGCCAUUAGGUUGGUAACCAGAUACCUUACUUACAGAAGUAGACAAGUCCGCAUAACCACUAGGCUAUUAACCUUGACUUUCUCCAAUUCUGUAGGUUGCGUAGCAAGUAUCACAACACUUUAGGAAUUGGUAUAGGUUGCUCCGCACUUGGCAGAGGUGAAGCCUAUCGACUACGUAGCAUGUCGGCAGUGGAUAAAACUUCCAUAUAUGCGCGCUAGCUUGUUUAACCUUUCACAAGAAUGUGCGGUUGUAUAAGUCUAGCACGGUUUUACUGCUUGAAGGGCAAGCCGUAGGCAGUCUUCCGGAAUCCGUAGGCUACCUUAAUGUACUCGGUAGCAGCUUUAGGGUUCCAGGGCAGCCGUCUAUAGAGCGUACUGCGUAAUGUGCCCCAUCCGUCUCUAGCUCCCGGUUCCCCACAGAUUAGACCAAGAGACCCAAAAUCCUUCAGUUAGUUAAGCCUUGAAAAAGACCAUUGUGGCUACUUCUAGGAAUCCCGGCUCAAGCCAUCGUACAUCUAGUUAUACUAGGGUAGCCAGGCUCAUCAGCGUCUGGAUAUUCGGAGUGUAAAGUUUAUCCUCCCGUCUUAGAGAGCUGACCCAUAUGAGUGUCGGGGAAUUGGUUUACCCUCUCACACUAGAGAGUAAUUAAUUUACCCUCUCGCACUGGAGAGCAAUUAGUUUACCCUCUCGCACUGGAGAGCAUGGUUGGUCCAUCGGGGGGCGCAAUUCCUGCGAUGAGUCCCUAAGAAGGGCGCAGUCUUCUUUUGAAGUGCAGGAAUGAUUAGUUGUUAUAAGCAUGUGAUCGAGUCAAGUUGUGAUUACUUCUAAAUUCCUCAUUGAAAAACGAGUGAAACGAACGAGAACUUAGCCGUAAGGUAGGAACUGCAUAACAACUGGAUAGUCCUCAACUUGUGUGGUGGUACCCAUCGAGCUUCUUGAGUCUUCGGGCUUUGAUGUAGUGGGAGGUUACACAUGGCACCUUUUCAGAUUGUAGGCGCUCUACUGCUUUUCGAACUUUUUUUUUGUUGUGUAAUUGCUCUUGCUGCCUACUCGGCUAAUCUUAUACAGACUUUCUCGGAUGAGAUUCAUCUUUUUGGAGCUUCUCUGCUGGCAGUGAUGAAGGCUUUUCUUAGGACUAGAUCUCUGGGCUGGAACUGCCAGAUUUUGGCCUUUUUGUUGUGGCUGGAAAAGAACCACUGCUGGUAAGUUGUAAUGCAGAUGAUAGUCUGCUCGCACUUCUCCUCUGCCAAAUUUAAGCUUGUGGCCAUCUCCUUUCGGUUGCUCGUCUUUUGGUGUUGCGAUGUGCCCAUAGACAUCCAGGGAGUUUGUCUGGCCAUUUUCUUUUCUUAUUGGUAGGGGAUUUCUUGUGGCAGUCGAGGAUCAUCUUAGUGGAUGUUUUGGCCAGCCUAUUGCCUUGAGGAUAUCUUGGCGUAGACAUGUGCUGCUUGAUGCCAUAUUUUUAGAAGAAUUUCGCCAAAUCUUUGCCCACGAAUUACGGGCCGUUGUUGGUGACGAUGGAUUAAGGUAUGCCAAAUCGGCAAAUGAUGCUCUUUCAUAUGAAGCGCUCUAUGUCCGUUUGAAUUGUGAUCGUCAUGGGCUCUGCUUCUACCUAUUUGGUGAAAUAGUUGGUUGCCACGAUCAUCAUGCAUUUGCCCUUAGUAGUCUGGCUGGUGAUUAGCUGGGAAUCAGAAUGAAUUGAAAGCUUUUUCACCACCAAGUCUUUUGUCACUCGAAGGCCUGCUAGUGGGGCUUUGUACUCUGCUUCGUUGUUAGGUGCUUUGACGCUUAGAGUGAUCGCUUACUCGAGCAUUGAACCGUCUGGGGUGGCAAGAACCACGGUUACUUAUAAGCCUUUGUAGUUGGAUGCGCCGUCGACAUGCAAAUGCCAGAAAUUUCCAUUGAGGGAGUAGGUAUGGCUAAAGUGUGCUCGGCUACCUUCGAAGCGUCGUUGGGCCGCUUUGUUACAUUGUCAAGGCUAGGUUUGAAGGCGCGGUAGAGAGUCGUGGAGCUGGGGCCAUGUUACAUGUAGCAGGAGAUGCUCAACUUCCGGUAUUAGGCCACUCUAGAGCUGAAUAAUGGAGCAAAGGUCGGCUAGGGUCGUAUGACGCGCAGCAGAAGGUAGUGCUCGACUGCUAGUACAUGUUGCUCUUACGUAGAAUCUUCUGAGGCGACGAGGACAAAACUUGCUUUUAAGUGUUCCUUCUAGUGUUCGUCUGCCCUUGGCGUGUCUUUUGGGCUGAGUUGUUGCGUUCGUCAGAAAACUUUGCAUCUGCCAGGGUUUACGUCUUUAUCAUCACGGGUUUGGAUUAGGCGGAAUAGUGCGUCAUGAUGAUGACUGCGUACAUUUGAAGGUAAAACUUAAGCUUUUGGGUUACAACAACUAUCACCAAAGUUAGCUUUUGAAUUUUUAAUAGCAUCGAGGAGAGCUUUUGAACUAUAAAAUACAUGUAGUUGGGCCCCCAACUCUUCUCGCAUGACGGUACAGCUUAUUUCUACUUUAGAUACCGUCAAACAUGCGAAUAAGUCCUCUGCUGCUUCUAGGGAGGUGAUGUUGGGUACUUCUUCAAGCCCUUGAAUGUGCAUUGGCGAGCCUCAUCCCAAAGUGCAUGCUUCUCUGCCAAAGAAAAAGAGUCUACCAGAGUUAGAUAUUCUUUCAUGAUCAAUUUUCUAAAUAGCGGUGGUCUGCUGGAAGGCCUUUUUGGAAGGCUGCUCUAGCUAUUGAGUCGCUGCAUCCGACUAUCAUUGCCUUCUCUGUUUUGAAUCUCUUCACAUAGUCACGAAGUGACUCCUUUGGGUUCUUUUUUACGUCAAACAAAUGGUCGGACUUCUUUUUGAUCGAGCAAUAAGAUGAAUAUUCUUUGGUGAAAACCAAAGAAAGUUCGUAGAAAUUCUAGAUAGAUUGUGGCGGCAGGGUGUAGAACCAAUCUUGUGCCUCGCCUUCAUAGUGGUGGCGAAUAUCUUGCACAUGAGAUCAUCGUUGUUUCGAUAAAGGAUCAUUGUGCUUCGGUAGCGCUUUAAGUGUCUCUUCGGGUCUUCAUCCCCUUUGAAAGAUAUGAAAUGUUGCAUACUGAACUCGCAUGGAGGCUCUGCCAGCUCGAUCUCAUCCGUGAAGGGUGACCUGCUUAUGUUGGUCAUGUUCCGUCGUAGUGCCUCGUCGGUGACCUUGUUGCGUUAGAAAUCAUGCAAUCGCUUGAUUAAAAGUCUCUCUACUUCUUCCUGAAUUUUCAUUUGUUAGGGUAGCAGAGCUCUCGGCUGCCCCUAGCCAUAACUUACUGGUCUAGGAUGCUCUUCCAUGUGUUUGGCUCGUAUACCGUGGAUGCAGUGUAUGUGGUGCGGUCCUAGUAGGUGAGCGAGUUCUUCGCAGGCUGCUAGUUGAACUUGAGCUGGAUUGAGUGACUACUUCUCUCCGUCCGUCGUGCUGCCUACUCCAAUGUGAGGUGAAAGAUGCUCCUUGCAGGCUUAGCCACGAAUGAACACUUUACCUGGAAGGUUGCUCAUGUUGACUAUCAGAGUAUGACCCUAACCGUGAAUGUAUAUUCACCCGUGGGCUUAGUCGAGAGUGCACGCUCCUCCGCGCGCUAAGACGAGAGUAUACGUUAUCUCGGGAGCCCAAUUGGGAGUGUACACUGCCCGAACGCUCGGCUCGUGGCUGGUCGAGUGGCUGCUUGCCGAAACGCUGCGGGAAAGGUUCGUCUGCCCUUGUCCUACUUCGGGAUACCUUGUUUGGGGCACGUUGGAUUCUGGUGCAUUGCAAAAGUUGAUUCACCAAGGUUGUCUGUUGUGCAAGGGUGCUCGUAAACGCUACGACUUGUCGAGACAAGUGUUGUUCGUCAUUUGGAUUGGAAUAGCUUGGAAGGAAUGUGCCUUCUUGGGCAGUGGAAGGGUGGUAGACUCCGGGCUCGAGAUUUGAGUUGGGAAAUGUCAAAUCUACGAAAAAAUGUGGUGAGAAUGCCCCCGGCUCGAUGGUAGGUCCGGAUGGUUGAGAUAGUCUUGGGCCGACUUGGGCUGCUUGGAAAGCCACGGGAGCAGGCUGGGCCACGAGAGUGAGCUGCUCGGCAGGAGUAGGCUGGGCUACGAGAGUGGGCUGCUCGGCAGGAGCAAACUGCUUGGAGUGUGAUGCACAUGGGUGCGAGGCUUGGGCUCGGCUUGGUAACACAUUGAGUUCGGGUUUGGCUUGGAGUGACAUGACUUGGGCCGUGGCCUUGGUGUCGUGAGCCUUGGAUGGCACGGCUCGGGCAGUGGUAGCUGUGCCAUGGACCUCGCCGCGGGUAGUGGUGACCGUGAUGGCCACCGCGGUGGUUGCCAUGGUGGAGCCCCGUAGUGAUGGUGCCGCUCCUAUGAUCACAUUUAGCCUCGUGGAUCGUCGUGGUCCCAUUUCUUGAAUAUUAGAAUUUUCACUUAUGGAAUUUUCUAAAUUUCUAGCCAUUAUAUUUUUCUUAUACGUUUUAUCAAAGAACCUUUGCAAAUAAAAAAUUCUAAUAAUAAGAACGUAUGAAAAAAUAUUCAAAUGGACUAGAAAAUAGAGAAAAACCUUUUUAUGCGAGAGUCUUCUACGAGUAUAGAUCUCAACUCUCAAUGAAAGCACCAAUUUGUGGAUGCAAAUUUCUUCCUCCUUGAUCCUAGACAAUUUUGCACCUACAAAACAAUUAACACCUUAGGUUAAGGCCAAGAGCCUCACACGCCCACGAUGAAUGGGGGGGCUUUGGCCGAAGAACCUCUGAUGCCAAAGUUAGAAUUUAGAGAGAUAGAGUGUUCAGAGAAUUUUGAGAUUUUUGCCAAAGUGUUGGAAUGGAUUUUUGGUGAGAAUGGGAUCACUUUUAUAGGGAUAGGAAGUGGCCGGCCUAGCUAGGGUUUUUGGGUUUAAUUUAGGUUUAAUUAGUCAAUUUAUUUGGCUAAUUAAACCCUAAAGAAUAAAUUGGUGGUUACAAAAUUGAUUAUUUGUAUAAAUGGGGUAAUAAAAUGGAGAAAGGUGAAAAAGGUUAGGAAAAGGGAGGUGGCCGGCUUCUUAGUGGUUUUAGGUGUGAGUGGGUGUUUUAAUUGAUAAUUAAGGGAUUCAUUAGGUAAUUAAUCAAUUUUUAGGGAAUAUGAAAGGAAAAUAUUAUUUAGCUAAUUGAUUAGCUAAAUAAUGGAAUACAAAAUAUAUAGAACAAAUUAGGUAUUAGGAAUUACCUUAUAGAAAGGAUUUGAUGAAAUAAGCUUUAAAUUGUUACCUAUUUUGGGCACUUUUGACUUGGUUGAGGAUGAUUGUCUGCCGCUCACGCGUAGGAAUCUCGAUAUGCCUCAAGGGUAUUUUUGUUCUCUUUUACCCAAAAAUCCACGUGUCGCCUUGUGAUUAUUUUGGCUCCACAACAACCACGUCAGCAUUUAACAGACCAAUGGAUGGAAAAUCUAACGGAGGUAUUAUUUUGAAAUAAAAUAACAAGUGAGGUAUGAAAGUGAAAUGUUUUAAAGAUGUUGUAUGGGGUUGUAAUAGACCUCAAACUUGAGGGUCCUAUGUAAUUUACCUAUUUUUAUGUUAAUUAUGAAUAGGUCAAUCAUGUAGAACCAAAUUAAAAGCUAACAUCAAUAACAACUACCAGAGACAAAAGCUCUAAUCAAUGCUUCGGAAACAUAGUCUUGUAUCUCUAGGUGUAAUGAUAUAAUUUGUUGGAAACUUAAAAGAAAAUUGGUGAUUUUGUAUAUAAUCGAUAAAAAGUUAUAAUAGUGACAAUAUAUCAGUAAUAUUUAUGUUAAUUAGGAAUAGGUCAAUCAUGUAUUUAAUACUUACAUGCAUUUAAAAUAAACACCUUAUCAAUGUUUUUUUAACUGUGCUCAGUUUUUCUCCUUCGCUUUGGUUUUGUUCUAUUGGAUUUUUCAACUAUCAUUAAUUGUGAACAUAACUGAUCAUUGAGACACAAACAUCCAAGGGAGAGUACCGUGGAACAAAAUGUGGAUAUCUUUAUACAUUGUAUGGUAGUAAACCAUCAUAAACACCAUAAUAAUGUAGAAACGCUCUUGGGGUACCUUUGGAUGAUAACUCAUGUAUUUGUUGCCCUACGUAAAGAUGGCUAAUGAUAAUGGAAGUCUAAUUUUCUCAUCCCAAUCUCUCCUGUCUCUCUUGUUCUCUUUUCUCUAUAGUUUAUUUCCAACAAGUUGUGUUAUUUUUUUUUUUUAGUAUUGUUAAGCAACCAAUAGAUUUUAAUUAGCAGUCUUUGUUUUUUUCUUUUAUAUUUUUAAUCAAUUUCAGUUGCUUAUCCGUUCUAGCAAAUUGAGCUCUUUUACAGCAAUUUUUUUCUUUAAAUGAAAUUAUUAUUAUUAAAAGAGUGAGAAAAUUCGAAAUUAUUACAACAAUUUAAAAAAAAGAAGUUUCGAAUCAUAAACACAGAGGGAGUUUACAACAUUUUAAUUAAGAAAUUAGGCUUCAGCUCAACUCAUCUUUGCAACGUCGGUUCCACUUCACAUCAACAUGCAAUGUUUCAGAAGGUCACGCGGUUUUGGGGUUGUUGUGUACCAAUAAUAUUAUAUAUAUAUAAAUUAGGAUUGAAGGAUACACGCAUUUUGUAGAGCUUAUUUUGUUAUGUAUUUUAAUGAUUUAAAUGCUUACGUUUUUCUUCACUACAAAUGAGUGAAUUAAUGAUUUUAGAAUUUGUCUAAUUUUUUACAUUGAUUAUUUAUGAAUAUUGAAUUGAAAUAUAGACGAUUCAAAAAUCGUUGAUAUACAUUACAAAAUGAACUCCACAAAAUAAGCGUCAAAAUAUGUAUAUAAAAUGGACAGCGUGAAAGGCUUGGAAAUUGGAAUAGGUUUGAAAAUUGUGCUUUUUGUAGCAAAUUGUAGCAAAGUUUGCUUGGACUUUCACAACCGUAUAAAUUAUGCCGCAGCACUCUCUAUUUUCUCUCUCGCUCUAUAUCGUGGUCCCUCUCUCUCGCCGUCCUCGAUUGCUCGAACUCACUAUCCUUUAUUGCUCGAACUCACCGUCCUCAAUUGCUCGAACCCACUGUCCUUUAUUGCUCGAACUCACUGUCUCCAACUUCCUCUGUUUGGUUCCCGAUGAAGAUGGUAAAACAGUAGGGGCAAGAAAUUAUGACAAUGUUAGAUUUGCAUAUUAAUCUGGUAGGGCUACAAUUCUCCAAUCCACACCCCUUCCAUCUAUGCUAGUGUUUGUACCCAAUAUUAGAUAUCCGGUCUGUGCAAUCGAGAUCGUUGAAUGAGAAAAAUUCUAAGCCGUGGGAUCAAAUAUAAUGAUGUGGAUUAAAUAAGAAAAAUUUAAAUGUUUAUCUUGGUUGAAUUACCAUGAUAAUAUUGUGGAAUUAUCUUCUGCAUAACGGGAUAGCGAGAAAAGUCCAAGGGUGUAGGGAAGUUGUGUGGCUGACUACCGCUUUUUUUUAUGGUGUCAUUAGUAGAGUAAUAUCACACUUAACAUUUAUUUGUACCAUCUCUCUAAUAAAGAUAAAGACCAUCAAUGCAUAAAUAAUGAUACAAAUAUAUAAUAAGAGUAUCAUAUUUGUAACUAGAAUAGGAGAAGAAAGACUUCAAGAUGGGGUCAGCCAAAUAAUUAGCGUCAGGAUAAAAAUAUGAGUAAUGAUAUUUGUAAACAUCGAAAUUUCGGUAAAUAAAUGUUGACCGAUAAAUCAAAGUUUCAACGCUCAUGUAUUACAUAAAUUUUACACGUAGCGUAUGUCUAAACAAAAAAUCGAAAUAAGUUGGAAAAGUCAUCAAACAGGACACAUGUCAACACCUGGCAGAAACGACUUAUUUCAUCUGGAAUAUUAUAUUCAAAAUUAGGCAUUGGAAAAUUCUAUAAAUAGAAGCCAAUUUCAUUCAUUUGAAGGAACCAAAAUCAUUAGGCAAAAUUCUUGAAGCUCUGAAGCUCUGAAACUCCGAAACUCUCAAGCAUCCAGGUUCCCGAAGAAUCAAGAAAGCUCUCUUCGUUCUUCGUUCUUCGUUCAUCGUUCAUCCUAAGAUCAAGCUCCAACGGCCCUUUAGAUCAACAAUCAUCCACUAAUUCAAGAUCAAGCCCCGACGGCCCUUGAAGAAAGUGUUCUUCAUUCUUCGUUCAUCGUUCUUCCAAGAUCAAGCCCCAACGGCCCUUUGGAUUAACAAUCAUCCACCAAUUCAAGAUCAAGCCCCAACGGCCCUUGAAGAAAGUGUUCUUCGUUCUUCGUUCAUCGUUCUUCCAAGAUCAAGCCCCAACGGCCCUUUGGAUUAACAAUCAUCCACCAAUUCAAGAUCAAGCCCCAACGGCCCUUGAAGAAAGUGUUCUUCGUUCUUCGUUCAUCGUUCUUCCAAGAUCAAGCCCCGACGGCCCUUGGAUCAACAAUCCACCAAUUCAAGAUCAAGCCCCAAAGACCCUUGAAGAACUUCUACCAAUUCAAGAUCAAGCCCUGACGGCCCUUGAAGAAAGUGUUCAUUGUUCAUCAUCCGUUCAUCCCGAAGAAUCAAGAAAGCCUUAUUCGUUCUUCGUUCAUCGUUCUUCCAAGAUCAAGCCCCGACGGCCCUUGGGUCAACAUCAUCAACAAAUCCACACAUCCAACCGUUCUUCAAGAUCAAGCCCAAAAGCCCUUGAAGAUCCGUUCAUCACCGUUAUUCAAGAUCAAGCCUUAACGGCCCUUGAAGAAACACUCAUCCUCAAGAUCAAGCCCCAACGGCUCCUUGAAGAUCCGCUCAAAUCCACCUUCAAAGAUCAAGCCCACGGCCCCUUGAAGAAACAUCCAACAGUUCAUCCAAGAUCAAGCCUCGACGGCCCUUGGAUCAACGAAACAUCUACAAAUCAACACCUUACGGAGAUCGAAUCAGAUGAUCAAAUUAGAGAGAGAUUGUAACCCUAAAUCAUCAAAAUACAAAUAUUAUUUUGUGCACGUUGUUCUUAUCUCUUUCGUUUCAGGAAAUUUUCGUGUUCACAAUAUUCUUACCAUCUAAAUAUACUAUAAUUUUAUACCAUCUUAUGUGGCAAUUGAGAUGGACUUCCACAUAAGUUUUAAAAAAAUCUCAUGUCAGCUAAGGUGGAUAUUUACGAUUUUACGAUUUUACUCAAUGAUUUUUAUUAAUAAAAUAAUUAAAAAAUAAUAAUGAAACCUACUUGCUCCCGUUUUCAAGCCUCAUCGCUGGGCCUCCUCCCUCUUCGCUCUCCAAUUUCACCUUCCUUCACCAACGAUCGAUGGUGCUCGACCCCCUUCAUCAUUGCCAACUGGCCGAAUAUCUUGAUGGUGCUCCCAGUGAUUGUUUUGCUCUGCCACCAAAUCAAGUUUGCAAUUUUAAUGGUUUAUGCCUUCUGGCCAAGUGUUGGAUUUGAUAGGUUUUUAAUUCCAGCAACAUUGAACAAAAAUAUGAAAAGGAUUGGAUACGAUAUUUUCCUCUGUUCUACUGCUGAGGAUUUUCCGAAUAGAAGAAGAUUUGGAAGACAACCUCUUUUCUUUUUUCUUCAUGGACUUUUGGUUAGCACCAAAAUCUUUUCCUAAUCCUCUAUAGGAAUGAAAAUUUCAUUCCAUGUUAUAUCCCGAUGUUGUCCAAGGUUUUGGCUUGAAUUUUCAUUGGAAUUAUCAUAUGUUGGAUCAGAUCAGGUGGAGAGAUGAAACGUAUCUAACAAGGAAGUUGAACGGGUAGGGUUUGAGCAAAAAUAAACAGAAAUUCCACCUAGGUUGACACCUAAGCUUCCACAUCAUGUGGUAUACUAAAUGUGGUAUAAUAAGAUGGUAAGAAUAGCAUUAUUGAAUGGGUAAUGUUAAGAGAAAUUUUUAGUUGUGACGGGAACACGGAUGGUACACCAUGCGUUUUUAUGUAAAUGGUGGAAAAUUUUAAUUUUUAAAUUAUUAACCUUUUAGCACACAUAUCCCACCAUUUAUAUGAAAACACGUGAUGUAUCACCUCGUGUGAUAGUCACAUUGAAAAAUCUCUCGUAAUGUUAGGAAAACUAAAUUUAUAAACAAAAGUUACAAAUUAAAUGAUGGGUUACCAAUAAGAAUGAUUACGUUUAUCAAUGCUUAAAUAAUAAAUCAUUCAUCAACUUCCAGUCCUUUAGUUUUUAAAAUUUUGUCUAACAUUACCCUUUCAAAACUCAUGAAAAUAAUUUUCAAUUUUUUUAACUGAAAAGUGAAAGUUACUAAACAAGAUUUCAGUUUUUAGCUUUCAAAAAAAUAAAAACAAAAGCUAAAAAUAAAAUGGUUAUCAAACAUCCCUAGAAGUCAUUCUUAGUGAUAGUAAGGUCAUCUCCAACCGAAAGAUCCAGGGGGCUAGAGGGCCGAAAAUAGUCUGAAAACCAUUUCCAAUCAAAGGCCAUGCCAAAGGGGUCGUGGACCCCAUUAGACAAAAAAGGGCCAAAGGGCCAACUGGCUGGCCCCAGUUCCAACAAUAACUAGAUGACGUCAGUUAACCGUUAUUUUUGAAUUUUUUUUUUAACAAAUUUUAACUUUCUAAGCCAUUAAACAACAUUAAAUUAAGUAAAAAAGAAAAUUCCUAUAACUUCCUAAGUCAUUAAACAAUAUUAAAUUAAGUAACAUGAAACAACAUUAAACAAUAUUAAACAAAAUUAAACAAUAUUAAACAACAUUAAAUAACAUUUAACAACAUAAAAAUUAUACAACAUAAAAAAAAACAUUUAAGAACAUAAAAUUUAAAUGCCUACUUCAUGCUUCUUUUGGCCCAAAGAUGUGCAACAAGAUCCUAAUGUAGGUACUUGUUUGUGGCACGAGAGCGUAUCAUCCUAACCGUUAGAUUUGAUUUUUUUUUGUUUUCGGCCAAAUUUUUUUAAAUUUAAAAAUAAAUUAUGUUUGACCUUUUGGCCCUCGAUUGGAGAUAGUUUUUUUUGUGACAUGACUAUGUUUAGCCCUAUGACCCUUUGGCCCUCAGUUAGAGAUGGUAAGAAAUAUGACCCAACAAUGUUCAUUAAAAUAUUAAUUUCUUGAAGAGCCAGAGGGCUAAAACGAGCCAUCCUUCGGUUGGAGAUGGCCUAAGAAGAGACUAGAGAUAGAGAGAUUCCUAUACUUAGCUGUGAGAGUUUCCUAUAUAUGAUUUUCAUUAACAAGAUUGAACUGAUUACAUAGAGAAGAAGAUCAAGUAUGGUUAUUUUUAUUUGGGAGACUUUGGAUGUGGUCCUUAGUUAUGAAUAUUAUUUGAUUGAAAUCUUGUUGGUUUUUAAUUUUUUAUCAAGAUCCCUGAAAUUAAUGUGAUAAUUUAUUUCUAUGUAAGUUACUAUAUUUUUUUAAUUAGAAAUUAGAAAUUUUAGUUGUUUAUAUAAAUGAGAUUUUAAAUUAAAAAAACCAUAAUUUGUGGGAUUAAAAAUAUUAAAAUAUAAAUAUACUAUUGUGUGUGUGUGUGUGUGUGUGUGUGUAUAAAUAUGGGUACAUUCAUCAAAAUUAACCAAAAAAUUUAUUGUAUCAAAACAUGGGUACAUUCUUCAAAAUCACAAAAAAAGAAAGAUAUUAGGCUUAAUAACAUUAGUAAAUUUCUUCGAUUAAACUUGACAUGGAUACAUUUUAAAAUCAAAGAAAAAAAAUGUACCCAUAUAAGUUUAAAAAUGGAUUAGAAAAAAAAAUUGAAUAGAUUUUAUACAAAAAAAGGGUACGUUUUACAUAUAACAAAUUGGUAUAUUUAAGAAUGAGUACAUUUUAAGAUUAAAAAGUUUUACAUGAAUGGGUUCAUAUAAUUAGCAUGGGUACAUUUAGCAAAAUAAAAAGUACAAAUACAAAAAAAUAUAUGUGUACAAAUACAAAUAAACUUUAAAAAAUAUGGGCACAAAAAGAAAUUAAUAUAUGGGUACAAAUUAAAACCGAAAAGAAAAUUGGUACAAGUUAAAAAAGAAUUACAAAUUAAAAAUGGGUACAAACUAAAACUAAAAAUAUAUGAUAAAAAAUUUAGUCAUAAAUAUAAAUAUACUAAUUGUAACAUUUUUAACAUUAAAUGAAUAUAUUUAGACAUAAAAAAUAUAUUUUAUUAUUGAAAUAAUUAAUGAUGUUAUUAAUACCCAAGGACCUUGAUAAAAAAUUGAAAAGAAAUAGAAUUUUAAUCAAUGGAGUAGCAAAAGAAAAGAUGAGAACCUAAUUUCUCCUUUGUAUUGUGUAGACAUUAUAACUAUACAUUCAUAAUAACAUGAGUAAUGUUAUAUUUAUCACAUUUGUACUCUUUCUCCAAUAAAGAUAGGGUCCAUCAACACAUGUGGGUUCUAUUUGCCCAUCAACACAUGCGAAUCUCAUUUUUAUUAGAAAAAUAGUACAAAUAUGAUAUGGAAAUUAUGAUAAGAUCGCAAUUUUGUAAUAACAUAUAUACUCAACUAUUUAUAUACCAACUCAUCUCCCUUUAGUGUAGUUAAUAUUGUUUGUUCAACCAAAAAAAAAAAAACUGAACUUGUCAUAAUCAUUGAAUCCAUUUACCAUGAACAAACGGCAGUUUACUAAACUUGCCCUCAGAGUAUAUAUAAAAGGUGAAUCACAAUCUAUUGCAUUAAUAUAAGGAAACAAUUUAUAGGGUUUGACGGGUGACUUAAUAUGCUAUAUGGCACAAUGAAAAUUAAGUUCACACUUUAUCCCAAAUAAGGUGUUGCACCUUUAAUUUAUGGAUGCUGGUUUGACGUGUGACCGAAAUAAUCAAAUUGUAGCCAUUAAUCAUUUUACAAGUAAUAAUAUGUGGUUUUAUUGUUUACGAUUCACACAACAAUCUGCUAGGAAGUAGAAAAUGCAGUACUUGUCCCUCUCACAGAAGUCAUGAAUAAUUAUCAAAUUCAAAGAUAAAGAAAAACCACACAAUUUACAAGAGGAAAGAAAAUGAAGGGAUAAAGAAAGUAAGAAAGGAAUACCUCUAUGGGAGGACUCUUAUUUGCUUCAGAUGCCUACAAUAUUCAUCAUAUAAACACUGAUUAAGUAGUCAUCGAAAACCAAAACAAAUGUCGAACAUAGGGUGAAAAACAGAAAGAAUAACCGCAGCUCAUCAUACCAAUAGAGAUAGAACUGCCCGAUGCCCAAGUAUGACUGAAAAAUGGCAAUCCAAACAUGGCGCCUUCUAGCUCAUCAAACUGUCAAAACCUAGGUUCCACCAAAAAGAUACAAGUCACCUAGUUACUUGUAAAAUAAAAAUCUGUUUCAAAAUAGUGGAAAAUAUUAUUAACAUUGUUCAAAGUCCACAUUGUUGUACCUACCAAGAAACAAGAAGGAUUGUAUCUUAUCAUGAAAAAGAACAUAGGUACCUUUUCAAUUGUAAUUGUACAAAAAUGAGAGACCACUUCCGAACUUCUCUUGGAACUUCAAUCAAUUUCUGCCCACUUUUAAAUGCCUUGACAUACUUAAGCCUAUUUCUUUGAGCUUCAGUUUUGGCUUCUGAUGCCUUUAAAUUUCUUAAAGAUUCUUACCAAGUUUUACAAACUCACUUCUAUACAACCAUUUGUCAGUAUACAUACCAUUUUCUUUGAGCUUCAGUCUUUGCAACACCAAAACCCCCCAAAUAGACCCGGAAUUUUGCAAUGUGCAGGGAAUAUACAAAAAAAACCCUCCUAUCCAUCUAAAACGAAAUCAGAACGCAAACCACAAUCAAAAUCCGUAAAAUUAAUUUAGCCAACCCCUAAAUCUAAUAAUUCUAACAAAUAUUAUAGUAUCAAUUGAGAGAGAAUUUGAGAAGAUACCUAGAGAUGAAAGGAAGAGCGUUUCCUCUGAUAGGGGUUCCGUGAAAGCAUCUGUUGACCAGAAAAGAAAAGGCAAAAAACCCCAAAUUACAUAUCAAGCAAUUAUAGAUAGAUCGAACCUUGAAAAUUGAAAUUUCAAACAAGAGAAAGGUUAUAAACUUACAACGAUCUGGGUGUUGGUAACUGGGUUUGGAUUUGGGUUUCUGAUAAGAGAGAGAAUCGUAUGAGGAACCGAUAGAGGAACUGCACCGGCAACAGAGAGCAAUUGAUAUGGUGGAGAACAGACGAGAAUAGCUGCUUGGAUGGUCAAUCCAAGAAGAGAAAAUCUUGCCACAAUCGCGGUACUUGAAAAAAAAAAAAACAAGUUUAAAGGAGGGAAACAAUCGCGCCUUUUUCUAAUAGACUCUGUCGACGAUAUUCUUGACAAAUAGAUGCUUCGUCGGGUGAGCUUAUUUUUCACAACAUUUUAUUUAGGAUUGGGUUCGGUUGGUAAACCGUGUCAAAUUUCUUGUGCCACUUGCCAGCCACAUAUACAUAAUUACCGAAAAUCAGUUACCGUUAGCCAACCGUCUUCUUGCGGUUGCCAAAAAUCGGUUCAGCCAAAAUGAUUGGCUGGUUCGGUUGGUAAAUGGCACAACCGGUGGUUUCCACUUCUUCCUCGCUAUCUUCCAGUUCCAAGGGCUCAAUUUGAUUUUCAGAUUGGGAUGCUUGUUCGGUUGCAUUGUGUGGUUCAUUUUGGGUUAAUCCAUGUUGUGCACUAGUAGUUGAUUGGCUAGACUCCAUUAUCCUAAACAUAAGCAACAAAUAUACAUUCAAAAUAAUAUAUAUGUACGUGUAUAUAUAGUAUCAGUAAUCAUCAUGCUAUCAAUUUUGUUAACAAUAUUUUCUAUAUAUUGAUUUUGGCAUGAAUCAUAUACACAUACAUAUAUUUUUAAAACCCUAAAACUAAGGAGUCAUUUAUUUUCUAAACUCUAAAAUUGAGGAGUCAAGCAUGUAAAAAAAUACUUAAAAUAUCUAAAUAGAAAAAGAAAAAGAAAAAAAAAUAAAUAUAUAUAUAUAUCGGUAGGUAUGGCAUACCGCCGGCAUACAAAAUCAAUUACCAAAGCCAUGCCAUUAAUUGUCGGUUCGGUAAAAUGCCAACCGAUUAUGAAAAAAUGUCAAAACUAUACCAUACCAUUUUGAGCCAACCAGUAUGGUUUGGUCAGUAAAUCGGUUUAUGGCAAAAUUUCUCACCCCUAAUUUUAUUUGUCACCUUAAACCUAUUGGUUUCUAGCCUACAAUUCGGAUAUUUUGUUGGGGAAAGAUUUUUGUACCAAUAAAAUUUUGCUUUGUCGGCAAAAUGACAUUUUCUAGUAGUUAUAAUAUUAGGUAGAUCAAAUUUGUAAACUAUGUGAUGUGUCACUAAUAGGAAAAAAUUUCAGUGUGCUGAAAAUACGGUCUAGAACACCAAGUGUCAUAAUAUAUACUUGGUUGGAAAUCUUUUAUUUUCAAGUUUCCAACUAGUUGUAUUGUAACAGUUGGUGUUCCAAGCUAUUUUCUCCAUGCGCUGGAAAAUCUCUUCACUAAUUAAAAAUAAACAUAUUAAUUAACACUUAAGUAAUAAUCAAAGCAUCAACAACUACGUCAUAGAAUUUACGAAAUAUGAUCUUAAUUAAUGAUCUCCAUUACCCUUUAUCUUAGCGUAUACGUACGCCUUCACAUGUUUAUUUGCUGAUAUGCAGCUUGAGUAAAAAUUUCUUUUUAAGAACAUAUAUGUGAAUAUAAACAUAUAUAUCUAGUGAUCCAUGUUGCGUUAUUUAAAAAUAAACAAAUUAAUUAAUUAAUGAACUGUGUACCUGUCUGUGUAGAGUAAUCCAUAUGCAUGCUUGAAUCCUGAUCACCACGAAACCAUAAUAUAAGCUACUCAAGGCCCGGAAGCUAGGAUUGAAGAGAAAAACACCCAGUCAGAUUAAGCCAAUACAUCAAAGUUAAUACUUCCAAAUGUAAGCUUUAAGAUAGAAAAAUCACUUACUUCCUUGAGCAGUCGAGCUUCUUCAAUGGCAUGAAGCUUUUAGCAUGAGAUUGACUGCAUCACAACUAAAAUUUUCUCUUGGAAACUACAUAAGGAAUAGCAUGUAUACCUAUAACGUUGAGAAAGUACGCCAAUUUUUUCCUUCUGCACAUUCAUGUUUAAAAGUAAUCCUCAAAUGAACUUGCCCACAAUGAAAUGCAAUUUGAGGUAGUCGAGUGUGUUCCAUUUCCAUCCCAUCGGAAUUACUACUAAACUUUGAGAUGGUAGAGGAUUCAUGAAAUUUUUUACUUUUGAAAUAGUCUCCUUAGCAUUUCUCGACUAUAACAAUGAGGAAAUACUUCACCUUGUAUCAAACAAGGGAGACCGAAAAUCAACUACUAAUAGCAUCACAGAGCCAGCAGAAGAUUGAGGAGGCCAUGAAAAGGAAAGAGAAAAUACACUCUUUUUUUGUAAGGACAGAGAUAAUACAUUCAAUAAAGGGUACUGAUGUUUAUAUGCAAAGCUGAUUAGGUUUAAAUAGUCGUAUUUAUUCUGUACAGUGCCAAUAUUACCACCCGUUAGUACACUUUCAAGACACUGUAAUCCAGUGUAUGCACUAUGCAGUACGUAGUACUCCUCAUUUUUUUGGGGAAAUUCAUUAUUGGUCUUCAUAUCUUCUUUAUUUUCCUUGUCCUCAUUGUGCCACGUGUUUAAAUCACUAAUUAUAGGUAAUCUUUCAAUUUAAUUAAAUCUUAUGUAAAAAAAGAUAAUUAAAUAUCAUUUAGUAUUACAAUAUAGUGAUAUUCCUCUUUAGUAUAAAAUUUUUAUAAUUAAAAGCGUUCAGCUUUUUAAUCUUCAUUGGAAUAUUAUCUAUAAAGAAAAAUUAUUCGAAUCAGAGAUCAUUUAUGCAUUCAAAUGUAUAAAAUACAUCGACAGUGUGAGAACCAACUAAUAUAUUUUUGAUGAAGUACAAUUAUUGAAUACAUUUGAACGAUCAAAUGAUAUAUGAUUCAAAAUACAUAUUAAGAUAAUAAAUAUAAAAGAAUUGUUAUUUGCACUUCAAGAAUCUCAUUCUACACUCUAAAUUUUCUAUAUAUUAAAAGAAAAAUAAAUUUGUGAAAAGUGUAGAAUGAGGUUUUUUUAAAUGCUAAUAACACUUCUCUAAAUACAAUUAUGAAAUUAAUUAAGUAAAGAUACAUGACCUCGUGAAUGAUGAAUGUAUUAUUCAAAAAAAUAUUAAAAACAAAUUGAAAAAGGACGCUGUUGUUGCCACCACUUAUGCAAUGAUCGUCGCUGCCAUCACCAACCCCCAACACCCCAUUACAGCUCAUAAAAGCACAUCAUAAGCAAUUUAUGAAAUAAAUUUACUGGAAUACUAAUUUCCCCCUUAGUUUAGGUCACCAAUGUUUAAAUUUAGGGAUCGUGAUAUCCACACACAUUUUUUACUUCUUUCACACUUUUUUUUUCGGUUGUCGGAUCAGAUGAAUUGAAGAAAAUCAAUGAACAGAAAUUAACAAGGGGUGUGUGAGAAGUAAAAAUGAAUGUGUGGAUAACACACCCCUAAAUUUAUCACAACUUUCAUUCCAAAUUUAAUUUUUAUCCGUAGUUUUGUUUGUUCAAAUUUACUUUGACAUUUCCAUUAGUAUUAAAAUCUAAUUUAAAUUUUAGUGUUCAAGCUAGAAAAAGUGUUCCAUUUAAUAUUUAAUCUCAGUUUUUCUCUUUAUUCUUUUAUUGGGAUUUGGUUGCAUCGUAUCUCCAUUUUUCUCGGUGUUGUAUGUUCAUAAGGCCUGUGAAACGUUGGCACGGAGUGAAGGGUACUCACUUUUUGGCCCAAAAUGCAUAAGGCAUGUAGAUAUGUUAAUCAAAUUUUGUAAACUAAAGGAUAUAGAAGUUGAUAAUUAGAUUAUAAUUUAAGAUAAUACUAAGGAGACUAAAUUUGCAAACUAAAUGAUGUGUCACCAAUAAAAAUAAGCACGUUUAUCAACAAUUAAGUAAUAAAUCAAUCAUCAACUUUCAUGUCCUUUAGUUUCCAAGAUUUAAUAUACAAAUUUAGUCUCCCAAGCAUUACUCUAUUACUUAAGUAUUGAUUAACAGACUUAUUUCUUAUGGUGACACAUUAUUUAGUUUACAAUUUUAGUCUACCCAACAUUACUCUUUUGAAAUUGUCUUGUCCACUGAUAUAAUUCUAUUUUUCUUGUGAUCAAAACUUCAAAUGUUAGCAAGUCGCACGUAAAGUCGCUUAUGAGAGAAUGUGCUCACAUUGUAGUUGAAAGAUUAUGUGGCUAGCAACAUUACAAAUUUAAUUUGGUAUAAUUCUAAAAUAUAGAUUGAGGAAAAAAUGAUCACAUUAACUAGAAACUGAAAAGGUUUCAGCACAGUUUGUUCAAGCAAGAAAUUCAAUUUUGAUGCUACCGAUCUUAACAGCCUGAGCGCCGUACCUGGGCACCAAAGUCACCACCACACUCUCAUCAUCUUCAGCACCCAAAUCCUCCAACAGGUCCGUUAACCCCAACCUUAAACAACUCUUGCUCUUUUCCUUCUGCUUAUGUGGCACACUCACAAAACUCCCAGCAAACUCGCUCUUGUCGGGUCCACUCGGUGCCGCAUCCUCAUCGUCCACGUCAUUCACAUACACACAUCAAACUUCACAGCCACAUCUUUGUCAAGCUCAAUCCCCUGAAUCACCAAUAUCUCCUCCUCAUCCUCUUUCUCCUUCUUGCUCCUCUUCUUCGGCUUCGGCCUUGACACCACCGUACUUAUCUUCGUCUCCAAAUUUAUUGGAAAAUCUUUACCCGCCACCACCUUCCCUGAUGACGUCGUCUCAGUGGCCUUCGCCACUCCAGCCGCCUUUGCCUUUCUCGCAAGCUUUGUCCGACGUGGCGUCGGUCUAGACUUGAGCCAUGGAAUCUCAACAUCUUCAUACGUAUACCCUAGCUUUUUAUUAUCAAGAGUGUCCCUCACCGUGACCCUAACAAGCUCAGCAUUCUCGUCAUAAAACAAAAACCCCGUAUCCAACCAAUCCUUAUCGUUAAUAUCGUUAUUUUUAGUCCCUAUACUUUUCCAAAUAUUCCACAUUCGAUCUAUAUUCGAAUGGUGCGAAAAAAAUAUUGGAUCCCUUGCAGCGGAGUAAAAAUUCCCCAUGUCUUCAAAAUUAGGCUGCGUGUUAUCUCCGGUCCAUAAAUGAACCGGACCAUGUGGGGUCGUUUCGAUUGAACCGCCCCCUGGAUCUGGUUCAGUGUCAGCCCUGUAGGGCGAACCAAAGAACAACAGCGGUUUCUUGGAGUUGGAAACCAUCUGCCUAUACAUGAUUUUGAGGUUGGCGUCGAUUUGAGCAUCCUUGGACAUUGUUUCAUCCGUGCCGUUGAAGUCAAGAUCGAUGAGAGUCGGCGGCUGAUGGCUGGCAGCGCGGAGCUCGUCGUAAAGCGGAGAGUCCGGGUUAGCGAACAAGGCAGGGAGUUGCAUGCCAGCUGGCGCGUCCCAGUUCCAAAACGGCAACGCGAACGUCGGAUCGUCUAUGAGUUUGGCCAAGAUUCUUUCGUAGAAGUAUACGUAGUAACGAUGGAAGGGGAAGAAAAGCCAGCAUUGAUGGAUUUGGAGCUCGAGGUUGGGGAAGCCGACUUGGUCGUACGCGCCGUCGCAAUAGGCACAGUGGAGAUCGGCUUGCUGGGUGAAGCUACGCGGAUCGUCGUCCGGGAGGGCUUUCAUGAGCUCGAUGGCUUUUGAAUAUUUUUCGAUGUAGGCUUUAUCCACGGUGUGAGCUGCCGGCCUGACGCGGAGUUUGGUAGGGGAGGGGAAUUUGAAGUCUACGAUUUUUUGGGACGUUGGCGGGCAACAGUUGAUCGGGACUGCUCCACUUGGAAAGUCCGCAGCUCCGCAUUUGGCUAGGUCAGGCGGCAACACUGGCUUUGCAACAGCGAAGGGGUCGCUGCCAAGACCAGCCACUCCGGCUUUGCAACAGCGAAGGGGUCGCUGCCAAGACCAGCCACUCCACCGUAGAGGCUUCCGAGACCUAUAAGAAGAUAGAAUUCAGUUCUUGGCAGUAGAGGACUCUAUUGCAGGGAAAAACUGAUUUGAAUUAGGAAGGCUUAAGUAGUUUUCCAUAAGGAUUUUAAUAGGGAAUCCAUAUUCUAAUAUGAGAAGGAUAUGUGUGUACAUAUAUAUAUAUAUAUAUGGCAAUCUCUUCUCUCACAGGUGUGUGCUCUUUUGGAACUAAGCCCUAUUCUUAGUUUGAGUGAUAAAUACCCUGACAGAGAGAAGAAGAAUUGAUGUGCUUUUCAGGUUGAUCGAGAUCCACCAUGACUGCAUCAAACGGGAGUUCUACAGGUUAGUAUAAUUAGGUUUUAUUUGGAUUGAUGUUUUGUGUCUACUUGGUUGUAGUUUAAGUAACUGAAUCUUGCAGCUAGAUUUUGGUUUACAUGUGGUAUCAGAGCCAUAGAUUCAUGUUCUUAAAUUCAAUCGAUAAAAUUGAUUGAAUCCAAAAUAAAAUUCCGAUCUUCAGACUUCGAAACAGGUUCUGGUAGUUAAAAUUAGGAAAAGAAGAAACGGUGCGUUUUGAUUAAAAUAUGAUGAUUAAUACUUGACCGUUAAGAGCUAAUAAACUAUCUUCUCUUCCGAAUUGGGAAUACAAAUCGACAUCUAUCGAUUUCGAUUUCGGGGUUUGAAAAACUGGGUUAUAUGACAUCUAUCGAUUUCGAUUUCGAGGUUUGAAAAACUGGGUUAUAUGAAUUGUUAUUGAGUAUCCACAAUUUAUAUUAAUUGCUUCCGCUGCUGGGUGUUGAUGCUCAUAGAACAAACGGGUAUGUCUCCUGAACAUUGAAUUGAAAUUUGUUUUUUAAUCAAUCUUAUCUUGAAUUUCAUUAUGUUCUACAGCAUGAUUCGAAUAGUGAGCAUAAAAAUAUGCUUAUUUAUGCUGAUUAGUCCUAUGUUUAUGCGUUUUUCUCUAACCAUCUAUGGAAGGGAGUUCUUCGAUAAGAACCUCUGCAGAUUUCACUUGUUUUAUGCAGAAAGUUUUAUGAAGAACUGUUCAUUUGAUAAAGAUCUGCUAAAACUGUGUUCUUAAAUGGAAAAAUCUUUUAUUCUAUAUGUGCUUAUCAAUUCUUCAUUGUUAAGAUUAUAUAUAUGGAUAAAAGGUUUUGAUGAUAUGAUGUACAAAGGAUUGUGAGAUGAAAUCUGGAACUCUAAACGUUCUUCUGUGAUUCAUUGUGAUUUCAUUGUGCUACAGUGUCUGCAAUAUCAAUGAAGACUCUGAAUUUGGCUAACAUCCCAAUUCUUACUGGUGGGGGAAAUUACAAGAAGUGGAGAAGGGAAAUCAGUUUGCUGUUGACUCUAAACGAGUUUGAUAUAGCAAUCGAGAAUCCCAAACCCGUGGUCAAUGAUCAGAGCAGCACAAGGGCUGAAAAGGCAGAUUUUGAGAGAUGGACAAGGGCUAAUAAGGUAGCAUUGUCCAUCCUUGAGAGUGGCAUGACUGAUACAAUCAGAUGAGGAAUUAAGAAGCACGAUUUGGCUGCUGAUUACCUAAAAGCUAUUGAAAAGAAAUUUCAAGAAUCUGAAAAAGCUGAAGUGAGUCAGUAUAUGUCUUUAUUAACUACUUACAAGAUGGAGGGUACAAGCUCUAUAAGGGAUCACAUAAUGAAGAUGACAUAUGCUGCAGAAAGACUCAAUGCAAUGGAUAUAAACAUAGGUGAAAAGCAGUUAGUAUUCAUGAUUCUUCAAGCACUUCCCAGUAAAUAUAGUCAGUUGAAGAUCUCCUACAAUACUCAAGACAAAAACUGGGAUAUUGAUCAGUUGAUUGCACAGUGUGUGCAAGAAGAAACUCGUCAAAAACAAGAAAGAGGCAAAGAAGUUGAGGACAUCAACUUUGUGCAAACUAUAAAUGACAAAAAGCAGUUCAACAACAGAAGCUUUUCUGGUUCUGGUAAGAGUUCUAAGCCUUUUAAAACUUCUAAUAAGUUCAGUAAUUCUGCUAAAGUAGUUGACUCCCCUAGAAAAUCUAUCAAGUUUAAAGCUAAACCUAAAGAUGUGUCUAAAUUAAAAAUGUUUUUGGUGCAAAACUAAGGGCCAUUUAAAAGUUAACUGUGAAAUUUUCAAAGAUUAUGUAAAGAGCAAAGAAAAGGAACAAGUACUUGUCUGUAUUGAAUCAAAUUUGUGAAGUAUACCUGUUGAUUCUUGGUGGUUUUGAUAUACCGGAUGCUCAGUGCAUAUAACUAAUUCUUUAAAUGGUUUUCAAAAACAAAAGGAAUUUGGAAAUGCUACAUAUAAUGUUUUUGUUGGGGAAGGAACUAAAGUUGCAGUAGAGUCAAUUGGGAUAGUCAAAUUAGUCUUAUGUUCUGGUUAUGUUUUAGAGUUGAAAGAUGUGUGCUAUAUGUGCCUAAGAUGAGAAGAAACUUAAUUUCUGCCCUCUAAAAUUGUAAAAGAUGGUUUUUCUUUUCUUGGUGAUGAUGAGUGCCUCAAAAAUUUUCAAGAAAAACUGUCCUUGUCCUAACACUAUUUUAGGGACUGCUUUUUUGUCUGAUAAUUUAUGGAAUCUAAAUUGCACUGUUAAGGCACUCAAUCACACGAUUUUCAGCAUUAGUACUAAGAGAAUGAUAGGUCAGGAUACUUCAUACAUUUUAUGGCACAAAAGACUAGGACACAUCUCUAAAGAAAGGAUAAUUAAGCUGUAAAAAACUGACUUGAUUCCAAAAUUAGAUCUUUCUACUGCAACUGAAUGUGUUGACUGCCUAAAGGGUAAAAUGACCAAUUUUAGAAAAACAGAUGCCAAAAUGAGCCAGGGGUUACUUGAAAUCAUACACACUGAUAUCUGUGGUCCUUUUCCAGUUAAGACAAUAUGUGGAAACAAGUAUUUCAUUAAUUUCAUAGAUGAUUUUUCAAGGCUGGGAUAUACCUUUCUGAUUAAUGAAAAAGCUGAUGCCCUUAAGUGUUUUAUAAUUUACAAAACUGAGGUUGAAAAACAGUUAGGCAAGGUUAUUAAAAUUGUUAGAUCGGAUAGGGGAGGUGAAUACUUUGGCAGGUACACUGAAUCCGGGCAGCAAAAGGGACCAUUUGCUCUCUAUCUCGAGAAGAAUGGUAUUGUGGCGCAGUACACCACACCUGGAACGCCUCAACAGAAUGGUGUUUUUGAAAGAAGAAACAGGACUCUUAUUGGUAUGGUUAGAAGCAUGAUGUCCAGAUCAAAAUUGCCAGGAUUCUUGUGGGGAGAAGCUUUGAAAACAGCUAAUCAUAUAUUGAAUCGAGUUCCAAGCAAGGCAGUAUCUACCACACCCUAUGAGUUAUGGCAUGGGAGAGUUCCUAGUUUUACUUAUUUCCAUGUUUGGGGUUGUAAAGCAGAAGCUAAGUUAUAUAAUCCUAAUGAAAGAAAGCUGGAUUCAAGGACUCAGUCAUGUUAUUUUAUUGGCUAUCCUGAGAAAUCAAAAGGAUACAGGUUCUAUAUCCCUCAAGGUCACACUCGGAUCCAAGAGACACACAAUGCAGUUUUCCUAGAAGAUGAAGAUGUCUCUCAUUUGUCAAGGGAAAAUUUCAUAUUUGAAGAGAUGCAUUCAGAUGGUGGGGACCAUGUGACAAUGGAUUAUAAUAUCGGUCUCAUUGUUUCCCAAUCAAUCAUCAAUUGCCAUUGAAGAUAUGAGUGAAGAUUUAGGAGUUCCUGAUGACAACUCUGUAGGAGUUGAUUCCACAACAUAAGCUGCAACAAUUCCUUUUGCAGAAGCAUGUGAACCAGUUGCUGUUCCACCUCCAGUUGAAAUCAGAAGGUCACAAAGAGCUCGGAAAACCACUGCAAGCAAUGACUAUGUGUACUUAUAAGAGACUGAGUUCGAUAUUGGUGACAUUUGAUGAUCCUCUUACAUAUACUCAGGCAACUGAAAGUCCUCAAGCAGUUCUUUGGAACAAUGCAAUGAAGGAUGAGUUAGAUUCAAUGUCCAAAAACCAGGUUUGGACAUUGGUGGAAUCCAACUCUGAAAUUAGGCCAAUAGGCUGCAAGUGGGUAUAUAAAACCAAAAGGGAUGCUGCUGGAAGAAUUGAAAGAUAUAAAGCAAGGUUGGUUGCUAAGGGGUUUACUCAAACGGAGGGGAUCGACUAUAAUGAUACUUUCUCUCCAGUUUCCUCCAAAGACUCCAUGCGAGUUAUCAUGUCUUUAGCUGCCUACUUCGAUCUUGAAUUACAUCAAAUGGAUGUAAAAACCGCUUUUCUUAACGGAGACUUACAAGAGGCUAUAUACAUGAAACAACCUGUUGGAUUUGUUGAAAAGGGGAAAGAGAAUUUAGUAUGCAAGCUCAAUAAGUCCAUAUACGGCUUGAAACAAGCAUCAAGGCAAUGGUACCUAAAGUUUGAUCAAAUUGUCUCUGCAUAAGGUUUUGUAGAAAACAAACUGGAUGAUUGUAUAUACAUUAAGUUCUCAGGUUCCGAGUUCAUCUUCUUAGUACUUUAUGUUGAUGCCAUUCUCCUAGCUAGUUCAUGUCCCCAAUUGCUUCAUAGCAUUAAGAGAAUGCUAAGUGAUAACUUUGAGAUGAAAGAUCUUGGAGAAGCACAUUAUGUACUAGGAAUAGAGAUUGUUCGAGAUAGGAAAAUGAGGCUCCUUGGUUUAUCUCAAAAGGGGUACAUUGACAGAGUGUUGGAGAAAUUUCAUAUGGCAAAUUGCAAUUGUGGUCAGGUUCCAGUCAAUAAAGGUGACAAGUUUUCGAAGAUUCAAUGUCCAAGAUCUGAUUUGGAGGUGAAGAAAAUGCAAGCUAAGCCUUAUGCCUCGUUGAUUGGAAGUCUUAUGUAUGCAACUAUCUGUACAAGGCCUGAUAUUGCCUUCAUAGUUGGUAUGCUAAGACGAUUUCAAGCAAAUCCUGAGAAGCACAUUGGGGGUGGCAGCCAAGAAGGUUCUUCGAUACUUGCAGAGAACCAAAACUCACAUGUUAGUAUAAUGGCCGAACUGAUUCUUUGGAGCUCAGGGGGUAUAUACUCGGAUUUAGCUGGAGAUGUGGAUGACAGGAAGUCCACAGGGGUUAUAUCUUCAUACUCAAUGGAGGGGCAGUUUCGUGGAAAAAUGCAAAGCAAACUAUUAUAGCCACAUCAACUAUGGAAGCUGAGUUUGUAGCCUGUUUUGAAGGCAUGAAACAGGCAGCAUGGUUGAAGAAUUUUUUGACAGAUUUAAAGAUUGUGAAUUCGGUUCAGAAACCAGUAACAAUGUUCUGUGAUAAACAACUCGGCUGUGUUUUUUGCUAAGAAUAAUAAAAGGACUUCAGCAUCUAGAUUUGGAUGGACGAAGUUUCUUAAGGUCAGAGAACAAGUCAAGAAAGGAGUUAUUGAAGUACAGCACAUUAGCACUACUAUGAUGAUUGCUGAUCCCUUGACUAAGGCACUGCCAAUUGGAGAAUUCAAGAAACAUGUUUCUUCAAUAGGAGUACUAGAAGGUUUUGAUCAGUGGGAGUAAUCACGUGUGUGUUAAAGGCUUGGGAUUGCAGAAGCAGAAGUAUAUAUGUGUUUCAAGAACUGUAUGUGCAAUUCUGACAAGCUGAACUAAGGAUGCUUUAUGUUUUAACUUGCUUUAGUUAGUUUGUUAAGGUUGUUUGUGUUUUAAUAAGUGUCCUUGUCUGCUACUCAAUACUUUGGCUUUCAGGUGUUGAGGUACGGAUACUGGACUGAGUUAGAAUUUAGUUUCAUUAGUAACUUUGAAAGAACAGUUUGUCUGUUUUUUAAGUUUGUGGUUAAUGAUGUUAUAUAGUCAAUUACUAUGUUGCUUUUCUGUGAAGAUUAAUGUGUGUUGUGAUCUUUUGAAAAGUGGGAGCAUAAUGUUUGACGGUUUAUGUUAGUCAUGAGUCAUAUUUACAAAUUGAAUAUAUGUGAGCCUUGAAUUAAUACUACAAUUUGGUUGUGGUCUGAGAUUCUUGGUUUCUAUAUUUUGAGAUGUAAUGGGACAGUGGUCAUGAUGGUUAAAUCUUAGAUGAGGUUAUGUGAUCACUUCUUAUGAUUGGUGACGGCAAGGUUUGAUCUUUGUCUCAUGUUCAAGUGGGAGAAUGUAAGAAUGUGAACAUGAGAUAAGAUGAUCGGAUAUUAGUUGUUUGAGUCCAAUCCGAAUAAGAAAGCCUCUAAGAAGAUGGAAUUCAGUUCUUGGCAGUAGAGGACUCUAUUGCAGGGAAAAACUGAUUUGAAUUAGGAAGGCUUAAGUAGUUUUCCAUAAGGAUUUUAAUAGGGAAUCCAUAUUCUAAUAUGAGAAGGAUAUGUGUGUACAUAUAUAUAUAUAUAUGGCAAUCUCUUCUCUCACAGGUGUGUGCUCUUUUGGAACUAAGCCCUAUUCUUAGUUUGAGUGAUAAAUACCCUGACAGAGAGAAGAAGAAUUGUUGUGCUUUUCAGGUUGAUCGAGAUCCACCAUGACUGCAUCAAACGGGAGUUCUACAGGUUAGUAUAAUUAGGUUUAUUUGGAUUGAUGUUUUGUGUCUACUUGGUUGUAGUUUAAGUAACUGAAUCUUGCAGCUAGAUUUUGGUUUACAUAUUUUUCGAUGUAGGCUUUAUCCACGGUGUGAGCUGCCGGCCUGACGCGGAGUUUGGUAGGGGAGGGGAAUUUGAAGUCUACGAUUUUUUGGGACGUUGGCGGGCAACAGUUGGUCGGGACUGCUCCACUUGGAAAGUCCGCAGCUCCGCAUUUGGCUAGGUCAGGCGGCAACACUGGCUUUGCAACAGCGAAGGGGUCGCUGCCAAGACCAACCACUCCGGCUUUGCAACAGCGAAGGGGUCGCUGCCAAGACCAGCCACUCCACCGUAGAGGCUUCCGAGACCUAUAAGUACAUUUCUUCUGUCUAGGUUUACUAGAGAAGGGUUUUCAUGGUCGUGAUCGUUGGAGCUAGUGGAAGGGUUUUUGUUUUGGUCACUACUAUUAUUUGUGGCUUUGCACGAGACAGCUUGUAAAUUGGAAUGCCUAGGGUUUCCAAAUGAGGAUAUUCGGUGAUACUUUUGGGAGAAAGGGGAGAGAGAAGUUGUGGGGAUGAUACUUGUGGCGGAGGUGACGAGUGGAGCUGACAUAGAAGCCAUGGUACUUGACUCUGAAUAAUACGUUGUAUUGGCUUUGCUUUUAUAAUGUGUUCUAGGUUUUACGUUUCUUUGCACGGGUGGCAGGCCGUACACACGUGGUCGGUCCUUAAGGGUUUGACGAGGAAUACUACGCAGUCAUUUAGUACAUGACAACCAUACACUAUAGCACGUGGCAUGUAUUUAGAGAUCGAGAGAGAAUUGGGUAAGGUUCACGAGGGAUUGUAGUUUCAGAAGGUGAAUUGGUUUUGGUCUUCUUGUGUACCAAUAAUUUUUACUUAGUCAUUUAGUGCAGGACAACCAUGCACUAUAGCACGUGGCAUGUAUUCAGAGAUCGAGAGAGAAUUGGUUGGGUAAGGUUCACGAGGGAUUGUAGUUUCAGAAGUUCAAGCGGUUUUGGGCUUGUUGUGUACGGCUGUGGGUCUGCUGUCACGGACUCUCUGUCUCAUUUGUGUCUUAUUUUUUAUUUUUUGACACGUUUUAACGUCAAAUCAUUAUAGCAAUGUUAUGCAAUUGGGAGCUAAAUGACCGAUGCUCUUAUUUUUUAGUUUGCUUUUUUUCCAGAUCUGAUCAAAUCAUGAUAGCAAUGUUAUGCAAUUUUCAAGAGGGAGAGAUGCACCUGGGAGAGAAACGGUACGGUGACUUCUAAAUCACCGUCCAACAGAACAAUUCUCAGUAGAGACUACUAGAGAGAGAUGCACCUCACCAAUGAAAAAUUUAACUGCAAAAAUUCUGGGUAUCGGGAGUUGUGGGGUGGGUCUUGGCAGUUUUCUUAUUUCUUUGAAUUUUUUAUAAUUUAUUUUAUAAAAGUAACAGUGUUUUGUGGGGGUUAAAUUGUAAAACACGUGUCAUCAAACUAAAUAAAGAGACACCAAAGAGACAUGGAAUUCGGGACAACAGACCCACAGCCGUUGUGUACGGAGGCAGACUCUCUGCUCUCCUACUUUCUGUGUCCUCCUGUUUUGUGUAGUCACGAUUAAAUCACGUCAAUAUUUUAUAUUAUUAUUUUAUAGAUAUAAUAAGACAAAAAAGAAUAGUAAUUUAAAAUAUUAACGUGACUUAACUGUGACCACACGAAUAGGAAGGCAUGAGAAGUGGGAAGGCAAAGAAUAUGCCUCCGUUGUGUACCAAUAAUAUUAUAUAUAUAUAUAUAUAUAUAUAUAUAAUUAGGAUUGAAGGAUGUAGAGCUUAUUUUGUUAUGUAUUCUAACAAUUUAAGUGCUUAUCUUUUAGGUUUUCUCUUAAACAGCAUGCCUAUAAAAAAUCACCAAAAUUCAAACCAUAUGACCAUUAGAUCCAUAGUCAUUUUAGUGUUAAAUGAACUUCACAAAAUAAGUCUCAAAAUAUGUAUAAAAAAUGGACAGCGUGAAUGGUUUGGAAAUUGGAAUAGGUUUGGAAAUUGUGCUUUUUGUAGCAAAUUGCAGCAAAGUUUGCUUGGACUUUCACAACCGUAUAAAUUAAACUGUUCGCUUUGUUGGGAAAAACAAGUUUGCCGCUGGUCUUGGGUUCCAAGAUCGGCCAAUUUGACGGCACACUUUUUGGCGUUGAGAAGCAGUACGGAGAUGUGCAGAUUAACUUGGAUUGAUACUCCUCCAUCUUCGUUGGUUCGUGUAUUGAACAAAGAUGGCCUUCCUUGCCCUCCUUAAUAUUUUUUGUUCUUCCUGCAGUGGAGGCGGUGACGCCUUGCUCUUGGUGCAGCGUCUAGUGUUCUGUACCCUCCUCUUCUGCAUAUGUUUGUAUUUCCCCUCGUUGCCCCUUCUAAGUGGGCUUCCUAUUGUUUUGGCUUCGGCCCUGGUUAUGAAAUAUUUCCAAUCUUACCCAAAAAAAAAAAAAAAAAGAAGAAGAAGAAGAAGUCAAGCACGGUGGGAGACUGGUCAUAGUUUCUAGAUUGAUGCUCUAAUUCUAAUGUUAUACAACGCGUACGCUAAAAUAUUUUUAUCAAAAUAUUAGUUUUAGUGUUAUCAAAACAAUAAUGUUAUUCUUACCAUGUUUUUGUAUCACAAUUAUAUACCACCUUAGAUGGCAUAUGAUGUAGAUAGCCACAUCAUUUAAAUUAAUAAGCAUUUAAUUUCAAAUGUUAAUCAAUAAUUAAUAAAAUGAUUGUUAAUUAAAUGAUGAUUAUGGUAUACAAGGAGUCUCCUUCUUCCUUCCCCUUUCCAUUCUGCUUUUUCUUCCUACCACUUUCUGUUUUUUUUUUCAUGCCAGUUUUUGUAUUGAUUUCUAUUGAUUUCCAUGAUUAUGGUCAAUCUUUAUAGAAUUUACUCGUAUACCACAACCACCAUUGAUUUCUAUCUCUAGACUCAUGCCCCGUAGCCCUAAUCCUCAUUCCCCUUCAAGUAUUUCUGUCUCCAAUCUUCUUUGGUACUCCAUGGUUGUUCAUCUCGUGAUUUUUUUUUAUUAUUUCAUUAAGUAACGCCUAUUAGCUUUCAUGCGAAUUAGGAGUCAAAAUCAAAUUUGUCUAUCGGAUUAGGGUUCAUGCCCAAUUAAGUUACUAACGCAAGAGAGAUUUUGAAGUCUACAAUUUUCCUUAUUUAAGUGUUUUAAUUAAUAAGAAAAUUGAAAUUAAACGAUUUAGCUUGUCCAACUCAUCUGCCACCUAAGAUGGUAAAUAAAUGUGGUAAGAAUAGCAUUACUCUUAUCGAAAUUACAAAAAAAAAAAAAAAAAAAAAAAAAAGCUGAUUCAAUAUUUAGUUAUUAAAAAAAAUAUAAAAAAAGUGAUCAAGUAACUAUCCAAUACCCAUGUAUUGGGUGCUUUGUUUGAAAAUUUUCAAAAUGAUAUUGGGCUCGUUUGGAUAUGUUUUUAAAAUGACUGAAAGCGUUUUUAGAGAAAAUAUUUUUUUGAUUCCAAAAGCACUUAAAGUGUUUUCUGCAAAAAGCACUUAAAGUGCUUUCUGCAAAAAGCACCAGUUAUGUGCUUCUUCCUAGAAGCACUUUAAGUGUUUUUCAAGCAUUUACUUGCUUUUUUACUAAGGAUUGGUUCCAAAAACAUUUUCACAAAAAGUGUUUUCAGUCAUUUUAAAAGUACAUUCAAACGAGCUCAUUGUUUUUCCUAUUUUAAUCAAGUGCGUCGUCCCCUGUUGAGAAUGAAUCUCAUAUUAUGGGGAGAGGGGUCUUGCAUGGAUGAGAGGAGGGACCUUGCAUGAGCUUAUAAGUAAGUUGGGUUACUCUCUAUAUUGCCAAGAGAAAUUUUAUUUGGACCUACUUUUCCUCUCUCUAAACCCAACUUUAAUAUUUUGUUACCUAAACUCUCUAGUUUACCCUCAUAAAUUAUAAACAUAAAUAAACUGGAAAAAGAAAAACUCAUCAAACCUAUUUCCCAACUGUUCUGGCGUCUCUUCCCUGUAUUUGUUGGGUCUAUCUCCCUCCCGACUGUUUUUUUUCCCUGAUAUUCUCUGUGUGUUCCCCCACCUCUCCCACACCCACCGAUUCUUUGUGGUGGCUAUUCCACCCAACGUCCAGUGAAUCUUUCCAUUUUUCUUCUAUUGCGCGUGAUAGGGCCUUGCUGUUAAUAGGCAAAACUAAGCGGCAUCGUCGACUCUGUAAGCGACUUGUUGCAGAAGUCCAAAAUGGAGUCAAAAGGAUUUUGUAUUGGGUCGGGUUGUUGAAGGCGAUGGCUGAUUUAGCAAUCUCGCCUAACUACUUCUAUAUGCAGGAGAAGGAAGAGGGAGGAAGGUCUAAAGUGGUGGUUGAGUGGUGGCGAUGUAUGUGGGUUCUAUCUCGGUUGAAUGGGUGUAGAAAGAUAUUUAAUUUUCAGUUUCUUAUUUUAUUUUGUAUAAGGGAUAAUAUCGGAAUUACAUAAAAAGUUUUUUUUAUAGCUGGGUGUAGAAAUAGUAUUGUUGGGUCUAAAUAAAAUUACCCUAUUGCCAAACAUAGUAUUGUUGGGUCUAAAUAAAAUUACCCUAUUGCCAAUUAGCUUUGUUUGAAAAUUUUCAAAAUGAUAUUGUUUUUACCAUUGAACCCUUGUUAUAUACAGUGAUGGCUAAUUUGUCAAGUUCUACGAAGUUGGGAUACCCAGCGUUUUAGCAUAUAACAUAACUUAGUAUUACAAGCAUAAUUAAUUAAAAUAAAGGAAAAUGAAGAGGAUAGCUUAGUAUUACAAGCAUAAUUAAUUAAAAUAAAGGCAAAAGUAACAGCCUGUCCCUAAAAAUGACGAUUUUAUAAUCUUAACACGUGAGUUUAUGAAGAUGCCCUUCGAGGCAAAGUGUUGACUUGUGUUGACUACCGCAUCGUGUCAUGUGAGACUCAUCUUCUUGGCGUAUUCUCGUUUUACUUGUCACUACGGACGCAUGGGCGCAAACGGGACAUGAUUUGGAGCUAUAACGAAUGAGUUAUUAACAUUUAAAGUUAAGGACAUUUUAGUAAAUUAAUUAAUUUCAGAUUAUGUUGAGGGGAAAAUCUGGAGUGCCGGUGGGUGGCCCAGAUUAAAGGAAAUGAAGAAUGGAUGGUGGAGGUGUAAAGGAAAGAAGAUAAAAGAAAAAUGAGAGGAAGUGUGUGACUAAUAGGGAGAUGAGAGAGUUAGGAUGGCCCAAUCAGAAACAAACGAAAGGAGGAAAAAGGAGAGAAGAGGGGAGCGGGGGAUCCCUUCGACCCGGUUCCAUUUUCCGACCCGACCCGAUCCUUUUCAUCUUCUUUGAUGGUUUUUCGUCGGUUUUUUCCGACGAACCACGUUAUCUAACCCCUUGGAAAAUGUUCCACAACCUUCCCUCAACUAUUACAAUCCAAAAUUGUAGAAAUUUAGCCAUGAAAGUAUGAAAACCACACCGGUGGGUGCGGGAAACCCUUGUCGUCGAUUCUCCCAUUAUUGCAACGAUUUUCACCAAUUACCACCACCUACAACAUCCUCUUGAGGUCUGGAAUAAAGCCCAAACAAGUUUUGCACUACUACAAUAUUAGCUUUAGAUGGCAGAUGAUGGUGGCGGAUUUAGAAAAAUAUUGUCGGAUAAAUUAUAUCUGACACAUUAUUUAAUUAGUGGUGAAUAUAAGAAAAAUCAUGUCGGUUAUAACCGACAUAAAUUCGUGGCAGAUACUAGCAGAUAUUAAAAAACUCAUGUCGGUUAUAACCGACAUAAAUUCCUAGCGAAUAAUUACUGACAGAUAUUAUAAAACUUCUGUCGGUUAUAACCGACAAUAUUUUUGAAUUGGGGGAAUUUAAAAUUUUGGGAGGGAAUUUAAAAUUUUGGGAGGGAAUUUAAAAUUUUGGAGGAAAUUUUGGGGGGAUUUUUACCCAUAUUAAUUCAUGGCGGAUAAUUACUGACGAAUAUUAUAAAGCUCAUGUCGGUUAUAACCAACAAUAAUGAAAAUGUUUAUGUCGAUUUUUAUUAAAAAAAUGUUUCUGUCAGUUUUAACCGACAUUAAUGAAAAUAUUCCACAGUAAAACCCCUACUUCUUCUCCUUGUGCUGGUGCCUUCUCCCUUCCCCCUUCUUUCCCCCUUUUCUCUUCUCCUCAUUUCCUUUUCCUUUGUAUUUUUGAUUUUGACAAGGUCUCUCCUUUAUUUGAUUCUUUGUUGUUCAUCUCUCACAAAUGUAGAGAGAGUAAAGGAGAUGCUUAGAGCGCUUUCUUUGUUCCUUUUUUUUUUCUUUUCAUUUUUUCCCUUUUCAAACUCCGACUAUGUCUUACAUGGCCGGUCCCAAGCCCGGAUAAAGGAGGAGGGGGAGGGCGUCAGGUAGUCGACAGCCGGCACUCCAUGAUCACGUCGAAUCCUUAUGAAAAUGAAUCCAGAACAAAAUCGCGCUAAAGCUAGGGCGCCACCCGUAAGUGGCGCGCUGUGUGGCCCGAGCACAGUGAUAAGUGAGCAAGGGUCGCUGUAUCUCCAUCGGCACUCGGAUGCAGUGUUAAAUGAGCAAGGGGGCCAUAGAAACUUCUUUUCGAACGACUCCACUCAAAGUUGUUUGGGAGCAUAUGCUCCUAUCAACUUUACCCGGGACACACAAAAGAAGUACUUUGAUCCUAUUAGACGGGGGAGGGUGAAGAAGCUAGGACAGAAGGGUAGAGUUCAAGAGAGCAAAAUGCGUUUAGGAACGUGGAAUAUAGGAACCUUAACGGGAAAAUCUAUGGAAGUAGUGGAAGUUAUGGUGAGGAGAAGGAUAAAUAUUAUGUGCCUACAAGAAACUAAGUGGGUUGGUAGUAAGGCAAAGGAUCUAGAAAACUCAGGGUUUAAACUUUGGUAUUCGGGCACAAAUAGAACGAGAAACGGUGUUGGCAUCAUCGUGGACAAGACCUUGGUACAAGAUGUUGUAGAUGUCAAGAGUGUAGGAGAUAGAAUCAUGGCAAUCAAGAUUGUAAUAGGACAAGAACUUAUCAAUGUGAUUAAUGCGUACGCACCUCAAGUAGGGUUGGAUACGAGUUCGAAGGAGAAAUUUUGGGAAGAUCUUGGAGACUUGGUGCAAGGAAUUGCUCAGACGGAGAAGUUAUUUAUAGGAGGAGAUUUAAAUGGACACGUGGGCAGGGAGACAGGCAACUAUGGAGGUUUUCAUGGUGGCCAUGGUUUUGGGGAGAGAAACGAGGAUGGGGAAGCUAUCUUGGAUUUUACAAUGGCAUAUGAUCUCUUCUUAGCCAACACCUUCUUUAAGAAGAGAGAAGAACAUGUGAUCACCUACAAGAGUGGGUCGUCAAAAACACAAAUAGAUUUUCUUCUAAUGAGGAAAGGGGAUCGUAUAACUUGUAAGGAUUGCAAAGUUAUACCAGGAGAGAGCGUGGCUAAUCAACAUCGCUUGUUGGUGAUGGAUGUACAUAUCAAAAGAGUAAGACAAAAGAACAAGACUUGGAAGUGCCCAAGGACUAGAUGGUGGAAUCUAAAAGAAGAAAAACAAGUCAUUUUCAAAGAGAAGGUAAUCACCCAAUGUGUGUGGGAUAGAGAGGGGGAAGCUAGCCAAAUGUGGGAUUUCAUGGCUAGUUGUAUCCGAAAAGUAGCAAAAGAGGUAUUAGGAGAGUCUAAGGGCUUUGCCCCACACUAAAAGGAAUCUUGGUGGUGGAAUGAGGAGGUACAAACAAAGGUGAAGGCUAAGAAGGAAUGUUGUAAAGCCUUAUACAAGGAGAGGACCGAUGAAAAUGGUGAAAGGUAUAGAAAAAAAGCGAAGCAAGAGGCGAAGAAAGCUGUCAGAGAAGCUAAGUUAGCGGCUUACGACGAUAUGUAUAAACGACUAGAUACCAAAGAAGGAGAGUUGGAUAUCUAUAAACUAUCUAGAGCAAAGGAAAAGAAGACAAGGGACCUAAACCAAGUGAGGUGCAUCAAGGAUGAGGAUGGAAAGGUUCUUGCUACAGAGAACGCGGUUAAAGACAGAUGGAGAGGUUAUUUUCAUAAUCUUUUCAAUGAAGGACAUGAAAUGAGUGCUUCUUUAGGGGAGUUGAGUAACUCAGAAGAGUGUAGAAACUACUCUUUUUAUCGUCGAAUCCGGAAGGAAGAAGUGGUUGUAGCUUUGAAGAAGAUGAAGCAUAAAAAAGCAAUAGGCCCAGACAAUAUACCAAUCGAAGUGUGGAAACUUUUGGGAGAGACAGGUAUAACAUGGCUCACUGACCUUUUCAAUAGGAUUUUGAAAACGAAAAAGAUGCCAAAUGAGUGGCGAACGAGCACUUUGGUGCCUAUCUACAAGAAUAAGGGCGACGUACAAAAUUGCAUGAACUAUAGGGGUAUUAAGCUAAUGAGUCAUACAAUGAAGCUCUGGGAGAGAGUCAUUGAGCAUAGAUUGAGGCAAGAGACACGGGUUUCGGACAACCAAUUCGGGUUCAUGCCAGGGCGCUCAACCAUGGAGGCAAUCUAUCUCUUACGAAGAUUGAUGGAAAGAUAUAGAGAUGGGAAAAAUGAUUUACACAUGGUCUUUAUAGAUUUGGAAAAAGCGUAUGAUAGGGUCCCAAGAGACAUUCUUUGGAGGAUUUUAAAGAAGAAAGGAGUACGAGUAGCAUAUAUCCAAGCUAUAAAGGACAUGUAUGAAGAAGCAAAGACUGCCGUAAGAACUCAUGAAGGACAAACCGAAAGCUUUCCCAUAACUGUAGGAUUACAUCAAGGCUCAUCCUUAAGUCCUUACCUUUUUGCGUUGGUAAUGGAUGAGUUAACAGGACAUAUUCAAGAUGAUAUUCCUUGGUGUAUGCUUUUCGCAGACGAUAUAGUGUUGAUAGAUGAAACUCAGGAAGGGGUAAAUGCAAAGCUUAACCUUUGGAGAGAAGUGUUGGAAUCUAAAGGUCUUCGCCUAAGCCGAUCAAAGACAGAAUAUAUGGAGUGCAAGUUCAGUGCAAAUGGAGGCCAAAACGAGUUAGGGGUGAGGAUCGGAGAUCAAGAAAUACCAAAGAGUGACCGUUUUCGUUACCUAGGAUCUAUCUUGCAAAAGAACGGAGAAUUAGAUGGAGAUCUCAACCAUAGAAUACAAGCUGGAUGGAUGAAGUGGAAGAGUGCAUCUGACGUGUUGUGUGACCGUCGUAUGCCACUGAAGCUCAAAGGAAAAUUUUAUAGGACGGCAAUAAGGUCGGCGAUGAUUCAACUUGGCGGGUUCGAGCAAAUAGGCGUUGGGCCAUAUUAGACACAGAACCUGCACACUGAACACUGAGAGCUAGCGAAUCCUUAACAGCUAACUCAUCAGACCGUUUGGAAAGUAGUCUGUUAUCUUUGGGAGUGAGAAGGUUCCUGGCCACCACCGCAGCGGUCAUAUCAUUCUUCAUCACGGAAUCCCCAACGGUAAGAGGACCAGUAGGGGAGACAAAGGAUGGGCGCCAUAUGUUGUCUGGAGAAGGCGGGGCUGCCUCUUCAACAAGGUUCAAGUCAAAAAACGACGGUCGGAGGGCCAGACAUUUUCAAAGGUGUUGAAGAGAGAAGAGGUCGGACACAAAUCAAGAUCUUAGAAGUGCAAGAAUGAAGCUUCUACUGGUGGAGAUUCAAGUGUGCUUUGGAACUUAAUGCCAGCCCCUAUAAAAAUCUGCACUCGACGGAGCUUCAGAAAUCGAAGAGGCGUUUGCUUUCUCAAAAGCUGGGCUGCUUAGAGAUCACGAGGGUUGAUCUCAGGAAUCGAAGAGGCGUUUGCUUUCUCAAAAGUUGGGCUGCUCAAAGACCACGAAGGCCGAUCUCAGAAAUCGAAGAGGCGCUCACUUUCUCAAAAACUGGGCUCCCCAGAGACCACGAGGGCCGAUCUCAAAAAUCGAAGAGGCACCUACUUUUCCAGCCUUGUCAGCACCUGUCACACGCACACUCAGCUUUGCGGAAAUUAUGGGCAUUCUGUCGAAGACUUCUGGGGAAGUAGAAAACACAUGAAUCUUACUGUUCAAUCACCCACUUCCCACACGCAAUAAUAGCUCAUGGGUACCACAGAUAACUUUGCCAAAGUUCUCUGCCAAAGUUGAGCACGUGAAGCUUGCAGCUCCCACUACAUCGCUCUGACCAAGAAGGGUAAAAAGAAUAGCAAAGAAACAGCACUAACAAAGUUUAGACCCAUAAAUUUUGAAGGUCUAGCUACCAUAUUAUUACCCACAAGGGUAAAGGAACAGUACCACUGCUGGAUAAUUGGAAAGUCCCUAUGUGUCAACCUCUGUGCUUCGUGGCAAGGUAGACUAGCAAACAUGCCCAACCUUUACUCACAUUCGAGAAAACACUCCCAAUAAGAUUGCUUGCUCCAAAAUCGAAGAGGCACCGUCCUCCGAAUCUCGAGAGCCAGACUCCCAACAUGACUACUUUCUUAAAAAUCGAAGAGAGGGUAAAGGAACAGUACCAUUGCUGGAUAAUUGGAAAGUCCAUGUGUGUCAACCUCUGUGCUUCGUGGCAAGGUAGACUAGCAAACAUGCCCAACCUUUACUCACAUUCGAGAAAACACUCCCAACAAGAUUGCUUGCUCCAAAAUCGAAGAGGCACCGCCCUCCGAAUCUCGAGAGCCAGACUCCCAACAUGAUUACUUUCUCAAAAAUCGAAAGAGACACUGCUCCCCGAAUCUUCGAGAGCCAGACCCCCAGCAUGAUUGCUUUCUCAAAAAUCGAUGAGGCAUCGUUCUCCGAAUCAAUCGAAGAGGCGCUCGCUUUCUCAAAAGCUGGGCUGCUCAGAGACCACGAGGGCCGAUCUCAGAAAUCGAAGAGGCACUUACUUUUCUAGCCUUGUCAGCACCUGUCACACGCACACUCAGCUUUGCAGAAAUUAUGGGCAUUCUGUCGAAGACUUCUGGUGAAGUAGAAAGCACAUUAAUCCUACUGUUCAAUCACCCACUUCCCACACGCAACAAUAGCUCAUGGGUACCACAGAUAACUUUGCCAAAGUUCUCUGCCAAAGUUGAGCACGUGAAGCUUGCAGCUCCCACUACAUCGCUCUGACCAAGAAAGGUAAAAGAAUAGCAAAGAAACAGCACUAACAAAGUUUAGACACAUAAAUUUUGAAGGUCUAGCUACCAUAUUAUUACCCACAAGGGUAAAGGAACAGUACCACUGCUGGAUAAUUGGAAAGUCCCUGUGUGUCAACCUAUGUGCUUCGUGGCAAGGUAGACUAGCAAACAUGCCCAACCUUUACUCACAUUCGAGAAAACACUCCCAACAAGAUUGCUUGCUCCAAAAUCGAAGAGGCACUGUCCUCCGAAUCUCGAGAGCCAGACUCCCAACAUGACUACUUUCUCAAAAGCGAAGAGAGGGUAAAGGAACAGUACCAUUGCUGGAUAAUUGGAAAGUCCCUGUGUGUCAACCUUUGUGCUUCAUGGCAAGGUAGACUAGCAAACAUGCCCAACCUUUACUCACAUUCGAGACAACACUCCCAACAGGAUUGCUUGCUCCAAAAUCAAGAGGCACCGCCCUCCGAAUCUCGAGAGCCAAACUCCCAACAUGAUUACUUCCUCAAAAAUCGAAGAGACACUGCUCUCCGAAUCUCGAGAGCCAGACCCCCAGCAUGAUUGCUUUCUCAAAAAUCGAAAAGGCAUCGUUCUCCGAAUCUCGAGAGCCAGAUACCACAGACCACUUUUUCAAAGUGCUCUGACAGAGUUAAAACAUGUGAAACUGGCAGCUCCCACUACCGUGCUAUGACCAAGCAGGGUAAAGGAAUAGCAUUACUACUUGUUGUUAGGGAGACUCCUAUAUAUGUCGACCUCCAUCCCCAACGGACAGGCAGACCUGCAAAAAUGCUCAACCCUUCAUCAUAUCUGAGUGGGCACUCCCAACGAAGCCUUUCGAAAUAUUCAGCUUUCUUUCCCCCCGAUAAUACCUCUGCAAACAAGCUAUACUAGAGCAAGAAUAUCUCAUAUCAUCAGGGUUAAAAGCAAGAGUAUCCCAUAUCAUGCUUUUUCCCUGUCUUUUCCUUUGGCCUUGUUUUUACCUGCAAGACAAGGAGAAAGAGAGCAAUCAGUCAGCACUUGGAAUCAAGCUUCCAACCAGGAAAUGACUGCCUGGAACCCCUUACUUGGCAUUGCUCUCGAGUACUCAUCUUCAACAUCUUAUGUUUCCAGGGAAGAUUCUGCAUCUGCUUGAGGAACAGAUAGGGCAAGUGCGAAGGAUACAAGGAAGCAUGCGGAGACAAGCGUAACAGCACACGUGCCGAUACAUCCAUUACUCUGUCAAAAGCAAAAGUAUCCCAUAUCAGCAGGGUGGAACGUACUCUAGAUUUGAUGGACUUGUUUUGACCCUCAAAUUCUUCAGUCGGCCUUAUAUUCUGGAGGAAACCAGAAAACCCUCCAGCUCAGUUCAAGAAUAAGCCUGUGGAAAGUUACUUCUUCAAAAGCAAAAGUAUCUCAUAUCAUCUCUUCUCAUUUUUCUUCUCUCUUUAUCCUUCAUGCUGCUGCAAGAUGGGGAGAAGGUGAACAAUCAGUCGGAGCUCUGAUUGCUUACCUUGUCUGUCACCUCUUUCAGCAGACCCCCUAGCUCGGCGACUUGGGGGACUCCUACUAAAUGGUUUGUAUCGCGCUUGACCAAGCCUGAAACUACAAGUAAGCUUCAAGUGAAAUUGAUACAUUACCUUGUGCAUCUCCACCAGUUAAAGAUACCACCCCUGGAUGGAGGAAGAGUACUUCCAGAGAAGAUGCCACAUCUACCUAUGAGACAGAUAAGGCAAGUCAAGACGACACCACACUCCGAUACUUAGAAGUUUCGUGAUUAUGAGAUCAUUCUCCCACAAUAUUUCCUAAUGUCAUUUGUACUAAAUCAUUCACUUGUACUCACUAAAGGAGAGCUUGAACCUAUGUACUUGUGUAAACCCUUCACAAUUAAUGAGAACUCUUCUAUUCCGUGGACGUAGCCAAUCUGGGUGAACCACGUACAUCUUGUGUUUGCUUUCCUAUCUCUAUCCAUUUAUAUACUUAUCCACACUAAUGACCGGAGCAAUCUAGCGAAGAUCACAAAAAGCGACCGUUUUCGCUACCUAGGAUCUAUCUUGCAAGAGAACGGAGAAUUAGAUGGAGAUCUCAACCAUAGAAUACGAGCUGGAUGGAUGAAGUGUAAGAGUGCAUCCGGCGUGUUGUGUGACUAUCGUAGGCCACUGAAGCUCAAAGGAAAAUUUUAUAGGACGGCAAUAAGGCCAGCGAUGUUGUAUGGCACAGAAUGUUGGGCGGUGAAGCAUCAACACGUACACAAAAUGGGUGUAGCGGAGAUGAGGAUGCUUCGUGGGAUGUGUGGGCACACGAGAAAGGAUAAGAUUGGGAAUGAGGAUAUCCGAGGUAAAGUAGGAGUAGCCGAAAUUGUAGGAAAGAUGAGAGAAAAUCGGCUCCGGUGAUUUGGACAUGUGCAAAGAAGGCCGACUGACGCUCCGAUUCGAAGAUGUGACUACGGGACAGAGGUUCAGGGCCGAAGGGGUAGAGGAAGACCUAGGAAAACUUUGGAAGAGACUCUAAGAAAAGACUUAGAGUACUUGGAUCUAACGGAGGACAUGACACAAAACCGAGCGCAAUGGCGUUCUAGGAUUCAUAUAGCCGACCCCACUUAGUGGGAAAAGGCUUUGUUGUUGUUGUUGUUGUUGUAUUUUUUCCCUUUUCAAAAUCGAAAUGUUCUAAAUUAUUUCACUAAUCCUUGCUAGUUUGAACUGCAGGAGUCUGUCUCUGGAUUUGAAAGAUUAUCUGGACUUACAGUUUUGAAGAAUUGGGAUUCUAGUGUUACACAUAUUAUUGCAUCGACAGAUGAAAAUGAAGCAUGCAGAAGAACCCUUAAAAUUUUGAUGGGUAUCUUGGAGGGGAAGUGGAUUCUGAGUGUGGAGUGAGUUUUACUGUUUUCGUUUUAAUUGUUCUUCCUCAAGUGCUUGGACUUUACAAUUGUAAUGAGUACAGAAGCCGAAAUGAGAUAUUGAUAUACAUGUUCACAUUGCUGAUAAUUCGUUAUCCGUCUGUUUGUGUAGGAAUUAAUGCUUGCACAUAAGUAAUGAAACUAGUUAAUGAGGAGCCUUAUGAAAUCAACGUUGACAUUUAUGGAAUCAGGGAUGGUCCUCGACUUGGUAGACUAAGGCUGCAGAACAAGGUUAGCUUUUCCUCGAGUUUAACUAUCAUCACGAAAACUUUAGAUUUUCAUGGAUUCACCAUAGGCAUUGUUAAUCUUGUUCAGUCCAUAAAUAGGUUACACACUUAUCUUAACAAAGGUGAGACCUUCUCAAUUCCUCAUCGAGAUGAAUCAAGAGCAUAAUUGUAGCAGUGAUCAAGAGCAAUUUUUUUAUGUUUCUUCCAAAUUGUUGAGAUGAAUCAUCUGUGUUUUGUUCUAAUAAUCUUACAAAUUUGUUGAGCAAUUUUUGUAAAGUCAGAAUCUUUGGUUUCGGUUGUGAGGUAUCUGAUUUGGGUAUAUGUGUUUUGCAGGGCACGGUGGUUGUGGCGGAGGAAGAUUAGGAUUGACGACAGAGCUCUGGCCAUGAACUAUCAGCUCUGUCUUUCUCUCUCUAACUAUGAAUUGAAUACAAAAGUCUGUGUUGAUAUGGAAAAUGUAGCUCAAAAUUAUUACACAAAUGGCAAAAAAAAAAAGUUCGAGUGUGGAGUUUCACUUACUGAUACAGGGCUUUUGAAACAGGGUUGUCUAGACUGUAGAAGAAAUCCAUGGCUUUUGGAAGAGGGGAUGUUCCAAAUCUAUCUUUUCUCCCUCUCUAAUGUUCUUCGAGGGGUUCUUGUGAUGCAAAAAGUGGUUUAUAUAUAUUUUUUAUUAUUAAUAAAUUUUCUGUCGGUUUUAUCAGACAAUAAUUCUUUUAUUUAUUCUUAUUAAUAAUUUCUCUGUCGGUUAUAUCUGACACAAUUUCUGUCGAUUUUAGAGUAUUUUCUAUCGAAAAUUUCAUUUCCUGACGCAUCAAUUAUGUCGCUUAUUAUAUCCGCCACUGCACUCAUUUCAUGUCGGAUUUUGCUUAAUUUCCAACAGUAUUAUACAUUUCUUGUCGGUUUUUAAACCGACACUAAUGGGUACUUUUGUAGUAAUGUUGGGGCGUCGGAGUUCGUUUAAGGUCGAAUUGAGCACACCCAAAUUCAAGGGUUCCGUACGGUUCAUGGUAAUUUGAGGUAUUUCUCAGCCAAAUUGUCCUUAGUCACAGAUAUGAAAGUUGCUCCACUCGUUGAGAUCUUCAUUUAUGUCAAAUUUGAGAAUUUUUAGAAAUAAUUGGAUUUUCCAGCGAAUCGGGGCGGCGGACCACCACCGGACAGCGCAUGGCUAGUGGGCCCCCAAUGUCAUUUUACGUUAAAUUGGUAUCUUGAUUUUAGGUUUGAUGUCUAUAUGUUAUGACUUGAUAUGUGAACCUAGUUUAAUUAAGGUGCGUUAAUUGGUAAAAAUAUGAAACGACGAUCCGACCGUGGGAUCGUCACCAAUCUUUAUUAUGUUAUAGUACAUUAUAUUUGAGAAUCAUAGGGACUGACGGAUAGGAAAUCCGAUAUACGGAUCUUCCUGAAAUGGAAUUGUAAGUUCGAAGAAUAAACGUUAACCGCCACUUUGUUUUGACUAUUGGUGAAGAUCCAACCGUUGGAUCAUAAUGAAAUUUUAGGAUGAUGUUUUAGAAGCAUAAUGUGGAUCUUUGGAAGUUAUUGAUUGGAAAUCCGAGGAGCGAAUCUUCCGGAUUGAAUUACGUAAGGUUGUGGACCCUACCGUCGAUCGUUGACUGACGAUCGACUUUUGGUCAAUGGGGCUUAAAUCACUCUAAAAUGUUUUUAGGGAUGUGUUUUACGUAAAUUACAUUAUCUAUGGAUAAGAAUUCUGAGAUGUGGUUUGAUAAUUGUCCUGGGCGCCGAUCGUUAGGAACGCUUCGAUGGUUGUGCUAGGAAAUUGUAGCAUAGACUCCAGGUGAGUGAAUCUUUUCCUUCUUAUAUAUAUAUAUAUAUAUAUAUGAUUGACAAUUCCACAAACGUUUAUAAAUUGAUUAUUGCAUAUAACUACUGUAAAUACUUUGAAGUACUUAUGCGAACUACGAAUGGCUUGAUCCCUAUUUAGGGUACGUAUGCAGUCUAACAAGACAUUAAAUGCAGUCAUACAAUAAUUGAGAUUAAACAAUUGAGACAAAGCCUUGUAUGGGGAACUGGGCAAGGUGAACGAAUUUGGUAAAAAUGUGAGAUUUAACCUUCUGAAUUGGUGAUUAAAUGUUGGUCAUAAAUCAAUGUGUAAAGAAUCAAGAAUUUGAAGUAAGGAAACGUAAGUAAUGAUAAUUAAUUAAACUAGUGUCUAGUUGGGCUUGUCACCUAUAAUUAUCCCCAAAAAUGAAUAAUUCGGGAGUAGGGCGUUAUAGCUUCUGCAUUUUUAUGCCACAUUAUAUAUAUAUAUAUAUGUGUGUGUGUGUGUGUGUGUGUGUGUGUGUGUAUAAUUGGAAAUGCUAUAACGUGGUUGAGUAUCAGAUUUCAUCAUGGUUUAUCUAUAUGUAUAUUACCUGCACACAAUUAUUAUGAACACUUUGAAGUGCAAAGGUGAACGCAAGACACCCAGGAAAGUUCAGGUGAGUUUAUGGUAUUAGUUGAAAUGAUGGGGUUAUGGUAACUACAUGUAUGUUUAGGUUGCAAUGAUAGGCAACUCCGACACUGUCGUACAAGUUGCCCAUGAAUUGUAUAUGUUACAAUAGAUAGAGUUAGAGGUCAUAAACCUGCACCCCGGUGUUAGUGCUCCCACCCGUGGCUAGGGCACAGUCUUUCACGAGAUGUUCACCUCUCGCAUCUUACGCUCACCUUGGAUCCAAGGUAGGUGCACAGUCAUGUCAUAAAGACCACUAUAGGUGGUUCCGACUAGUAGAUGACCCGUGAUUAUUCGCACAGUCUUCACGUGAUUGUAGCACUUGAGCGUAUUUAUUUACACCCAGUCCUGUCGUACAGACCACUUUAGGUGGUUCCGACUCGUAUGCAGGUAUACUUAUUGAGCUAUGGAUAAGUCGUACAGGUCACUAAAGGUGACUCCAACUUAUGAGCUAGCAUAUGUGAUGAAAUAUGUGAUGAGCUAGCAUAUGUAAUGAGAUAAGUGAUGAGCUAGCAUAUGUGAUGAGAUAUGUGAUGAGUUAGCAUACGUUAUGAGAUAUGUGAUGAGUGAUAUAAUCAUAAUUGCAUACAUUUUCAUGCCCUUUUAGUUUAGAUUUUUGUUAUCCUUUUGAGUGAAUUUAGUUUGUUUCACUUAGUUUUAUGUUUUUCUUAGAUUUGAAGUGUGAAGAUGAAGAAAGAAGAAAAAAGAGCAUUUUUAGCGAUUGAAAUGAGUUUGGCAUGCUGGAAGCAGAGGCUAUUUGUGCGGAUCAGCCAACUUUACGGAUUAAACUGUACUUCCUUAGAAUGCCAGCUGUUGAGUCUUAUACCAUUGGAAAGAUAUGAAAGUUAGCUUUCAGAGGAAUUUUACGAUUCGUGAUUCCGAGUUUCCUAGAAGACGUUAUAGUGGUUUUUCUACCAGAUGUCUGCCAGCAAGGUUUUACGCGGGAUUUGCAAAGAGAUUCCAGAUUUACAAAGUUUAAUUAAAGGAAACAAGCAGAGAAAAAAGAAGAGGAAGCUUUUAGAAAAGUUCAGGACUAUUCUAAACGGUGCAUAGUUAAUAUAUUUAAUAGUUUAGUGUGCCACAUCAUCAAUAAACUAAUCUAAGUCAGAAGAGAAAUUCAAGAGUCCCAUUCAAGUAAGUAUUCCAGCAGUUUUAUUCAGGAAUAAAGGAGGGCAGACCGUCGGACUUUAGGAGCGGACAGAGAGAGUUUUUGGGUUUUCGAAGGUGCAGAGAAGAGGUCGCAGCAAGGAGUGAAACAGAGUCGCCGAUCAUCUGGGCAAUCCAUCACCAUCGUGUGGAAGUAUUUUAUGUUUUUCAGAUUUUUAAUUAUGUUUUCAGAUUUUAUGAGUAACUAAACUCUUUUUCUAAGGUUAGGAUGAUGCCCUAGCAUGGAUGUUUAUGGUUUGUAAUGUUAUUCAUUGGAUUUCCAGUUUCUUUUAGAUGAAUGCUUAAUCACUGUUUGAAUUGUUACUGUUUGUUUGAGUUCUUUGAUUGAUCACCUUAGGACUUUGCAUCUAGUAAGAUUGGAAGAUGAAUUUGAGACUGAACUAACAAUAUAAUUCAAUUAGCUUCUUGUGGUUAAGUGUGGUAAAUUACAUUAUUGCUUGAAAAAGAAUAAUGGUUUGUUUGGGUCCCUUGUUUUCUAGAGGGUAAAGAGUCCUACUUGUUAAAUUUAUGCCUUAACUAGGAUAGACUGCUUGUUAGGAUAUACGACCUCUGCCUAAACUAGGAGAGAAUCAUUCACAUAAGGAAAACUAUGGUCUAAUAUGCCUGACAAGGACUUAGAUACGGGAAUUAUCAUCUAAAGAAUUGAAAGAUCCAUUGAAUGCAUUGAAACCUAAACUAGAUUGCUUGUGGUUGAUUCCGAAUCCCUAGAUUUUCAUCACUUGCCUUAAAACACAACCGUUUCUUUUCUUUAAUUUCAGUUUUUACUUAAGGUUCUGUUUUUGUUCAUUUAUAAAAUCAUCACAACAAAUUUUUUACAUCUUUGAUUGACUUAUUAAUUAAGAUCGAGUCUAGUUCGUUGUUUGGGUUUGUGUGUCUUUAAUAUAAUUAGAUUUGGUUUAGUUUAUCAAAUUGGAGAUUGAAUUAGAAUCCUCGUGGGAACGAUACUUGGACUUGCAAAACGUUAUAUUACGACUAUCUUGUGCACUUGUAAGUUUACACCAAGUUUUUGGCGCCGUUGCCGGGGACUCUAAUUGAGUCCCCCAAUUUGAUAUCAUAUUCCAUAUCUAAUAAGUAGUUUAUUGUAGAUUAUUCAAUUUGAUUUUGUUUUGUUCUCUAGUUUCGAGUAAGAGUCAUAACUAUUAAGAUAAGUAAAAGUAAUUUUCGUCACUGUUUUAUUUCAGUUUUGUAUCACUGUUUCGACACAGUUUUGGACUAAACUAUUCGAUUUUUUACCAGGAAUAUUGUGUAUCGUUGGAAAGCCCCAGAAGUCUAGUUUUCAACCCAAAAAACAGAUCAAUGAUUGGAUUUUUGAGCUGCAAGAAAUGUACAAAAUACUGAGCAGUGGUCAAACAAGGAGCACAGUCUGGUCGUAUAUGCAAGGUAGACGUUCGUUGCAAUUUGAGUUGAUUCAUAUAGACCAAGAACUUGUGCGUACUUUAAGAGAACAGUGGAGGCAGCGAGUGUGUCAAGAACCAGCCAUGGAGGAAGUAGUUAAUAAUGGUGGAAAUAAUCCUCCACCAUUGCUACCACCACAACCAAGGCUCAUGCGUGAUUAUACAAAGCCAACGGAGUACAACGCACCGUCAUGCAUUGUUUUGGCUCCAAUUGCGCAGCGAUUUGAGAUUCGUCCACAAAUCUUUCAGUUGCUGCCUAUAUUUCUUGGGAAGGAGGAAGAAAAUCCAUACCAUCAUAUCAAGGCGUUUUUCAAGCUAUGUUCCACAUUCACAUUCACCAAUGUUACUGAAGAGCAAAUUCGACUUCGGUUAUUCCCAUUCUCUUUGAGGGAUAAAGCAAGCAGUUGGUUGGAUUCUCUUCCCGAAGCAUCUAUCGACACAUGGACAAAAUUAUCGAAGAAGUUUUUGUCCAAGUUCUUCCCCGCUCGAAGAACCAAUGCUCUGAUCAAUGAAAUCAUGAGCUUUCGACAACAAGAAGGUGAACAGUUUCAUGAAAGUUGGGAGCGCUAUAAGGACUUGUUUCUUCAAUGUCCUCAUCAUGGUUUCAACACUUGGCAAAAGGUUCAUUAUUUUUACAAAGGUUUGAACUCUCAAUGUAGGAGUUUGGUUGAUUCAACGGUUGGUGGAACCUUGAUAGACAAAACUCCAGAAGAUGCCAUACAUGCCUUUGAAACUAUAUGUGAAAAUUCUGAGCAUUGGGAUUUUCCUACAAAAGAUUUGAGAGUUCCAACUGCAUCGUCAACAAAAAAAGGAGGCAUUUAUGAAGUUAAUACAAGGACGGGCUUAGAGGCACAAGUGGCAGCCCUCACCAAGCUUCUCACACCACUUGUAAGCAAGAUAGCCACGCAGCCAUGUACUUUAUGUGCGAGCAUCGCCCAUGACAUGGAAAAUUGUCCAACAAAUGCUAAUCUAGAAGGCAUCCAAGAGGUCAAUGCAUUUAGUGGGAGGCCCCGGAAUGAUCCAUAUUCUAAUAAUUAUAACCCGGGAUGGAGAGAACAUCCAAAUUUUUCUUAGAGAGAUUCACAAAAUAGCAUGGGAUCAUUCACUUCAACAAAGCAAUAUCAGCAACCUUAUCAAGCUCCUCCAAUUCAACAAAAAGACUCGUCUAUCAAGGAUAUGUUAUCUCAACUCUUAAAGAAAACUGAUCGGUAUGAACAUGAAGUUGUGUCGCUUAGACAAAGUCAGACGGUGUUGGAAAAGGCUCGAUCUAAUUUUGAGACUCAGUUGGGACAGAUAGCUACUACUUUGAACAAGCUGGAGUGAGCACAAGGGCAAUUUCCAAGCCAAACUGAAACAAAUCCUAGGAAUCAAAAGCAUGUUCAAGCUGUCACCACUUUGAGGAGUGGAAAGACGAUUGGUAAUAAUGUGGAAAGUUCAAAAAUUAAUAAGGAAGAAGAUGAAGGGGUCAGCACAUAUCGGGCAGCAGCUUGACAAGACAAGCUAAAAAAGAGAAGUAUAUGGGAGAUAUUUUAGAGCAAUUUAGAAAGGUGCAGAUUAAUAUUCCUUUUCUCGAUGCCAUCAAACAAAUUCAAUCAUAUGCGAAGUUUUUGAAGGAACUUUGUACUAACAAGAGACGGUAUGAAGAACAUGAGGAGGUGAAGUUAUCAGACACGGUUAGUGCGGUUCUUCAAAGAAAAUUGCCACCAAAACUUCAAGAUCCUGGUAGCUUUACAGUCCCAUGUGUCAUUGGAGAAAGAAAAUUCGAAAAAGCUUUGCUUGACUUGGGAGCCAGUGUGAAUUUGAUGCCCUAUUCUGCUUAUAAACACCUCAAAUUAGGCGAACUAAAGCACAUAUCCAUUUCUCUACAAUGCACUGAUCGUUCUGUGAAAUAUCCAAGAGGGAUUGUUGAAAAUGUACUUGUGUGUGUUGAUCAAUUUAUUCUUCCUGCUGACUUCAUCAUUUUGGACAUGGAAGAAGCCGAAAUUCCUGGUCGUGACUUGCCUCUCAUUCUUGGCAGACCUUUCAUGGCUACUGCAGGUACGAAGAUUGAUGUUAAAUCGGGAUUAUUAACUAUGACUGUGCAAGGUAUUACUGUAGAAUUUCAGGUCUUCGAAGCAUUGAAGAAGCCCAUGGAUCUUUAUGACUGCUUUCGUGUUGAGGUAGUGGAUCCAAUUAUAAAAAAAAACAUUCAUUGAAUCAAGCAUCUCAGAUCCUCUGGAAGUUUGUAUCUCUCAACAUGGGAUGAGUUUUGAAAAGGCUACCAUCAUUGAAGCAGAACGAGAUCUCAAUGCCGUAACGUCCUACUCUCUUAGAUGCCAGCCCAAAUUUGAAGCGUUGCCACUCACAAGCCAAAAUUGUACCAUCCAUUAUACAACCUCCAAAGCUUGAAUUGAAGCCUCUUCCAGAGACUUUAAAGUAUGCAUAUUUGGUGAUUCAGAGACUCUUCCUGUGAUUAUAGCUGCUGAUCUUAACCAAACAGAAGAGGAAAAGUUGAUGCAAAUGUUGAGGGAGCAUAAAACAGCAUUGGGAUGGAGUAUUGCAGACAUAAAAGGAAUUAGUCCUCAAUUUGCAUGCAUCGGAUAUAUCUUGAGGACAAGUCAAAGCCUUCUAGAGAGGCACAGCGACGUCUAAAUCCACAUAUGCAAGAAGUGGUUCGGGCAGAAGUUCUUAAAUUACUGAAUGUCGGCAUUAUUUAUCCUAUAUCUAACAGCAAAUGGGUAAGUCCACUGCAGGUUGUACCACAGAGAUCUGGAAUUACAGUUGUCAAGAAUGAAAAUAAUGAGCUUAUACCCCAGAGGACUGUCACGGGUUGGAGAAUGUGUACAGAUUACAGAAAGAUCAAUAAUUCAACUCGAAAAUAUCAUUUUCCACUCCCUUUCCUUGAUCUCAUGCUUGAGAGACUUGCAGGCCAUAGUUAUUAUUGUUUUCUUGAUGGCUAUUCCAGAUAUAAUCAAAUUCCCAUAGCUCCGGAAGAUCAAGAAAAGACUACUUUCACAUGUCCAUUUGGAACUUUUGCCUAUCGACGAAUGCCUUUUGGGUUAUGUAAUGCUCCCGCAACAUUCCAAAGAUGCAUGAUGAGCAUUUUCUCAAACUUGGUGGAAAGGUGUAUCGAAGUGUUCGUGGAUGAUUUUUCCGUGUUUGGGUCAUCGUUUGAUCAAUGUCUUCAUCAUCUUUCAUUGGUGCUCUAACGGUGUCAAGAAACCAACUUGAUUUUAAAUUGGGAAAAAUGUCAGUUUAUGGUGAAAAGUGGUAUUGUUCUUGGUCAUGUAAUUUUAGCUGACGGAAUUGAAGUUGAUAAAGCUAAGGUGGAGCUGAUUUCGAAGCUUCCUCCUCCCACUUCUGUAAAAGAAGUUCGAUCCUUUCUCGAGCAUCCAAGUUUUUAUCGCCGAUUUAUUAAAGAUUUCUCGAAAAUCACCAAGCCACUUUGUGAUCUGCUUGCUAAAGAUUCUGUGUUUAAUUUAAAUGGUGAGUGCUUACAAGCUUUUGAGACCCUCAAGAAAGAAUUAACACAAGCCCCAAUCAUAAAAGCUCCAGAGUGGUCUCUUCCUUUUGAAAUCAUGUGUGACGCCUCUGAGUAUGCAAUAGGUGUUGUGUUAGGGCAGCGAGUUAACAAACUUCCUCAUGUUAUAUUUUAUGCUAGCCGAAUUCUCACUUAACAACUUUCAUAUCCCUUAGUUUCCAAAAUUUAAUAUACAAAUUUAGUCUCCCAAGCAUUGCUAUAUUACUUAAGUAUUGAUUAAUAGACUUAUUUCUUAUGGUGACACAUUAUUUAGUUUACAAAUUUAGUCUAUCUAACAUUACUCUUUUGACAUUGUCUUGUCCACUGAUAUAAUUCUAUUUUUCUUGUGAUCAAAACUUCAAAUGUUAGCAAGUCGCACGUAAAGUCGCUUCUGAGAGAAUGUGCUCACAUUGUAGUUGAAAGAUUAUGUGGCUAGCAACAUUACAAAUUUAAUUUGGUAUAAUUUUAAAAUAUAGAUUGAGGAAAAAAAGGAUCACAUUAACUAGAAACUGAAAAGGUUUCGGCGCAAUAUGUUCAAGCAAGAAACUCAAUUUUGAUGCUACCGAUCUUAACAGCCUGAGCGCCGUACCUGGGCACUAAAGUCACCACCACACUCUCAUCAUCUUCAGCACCCAAAUCCUCCAACAGGUCCGUUAACCCCAACCUUAAACAACUCUUGCUCUUUUCCUUCUGCUUAUGUGGCACACUCACAAAACUCCCAGCAAACUCGCUCUUGUCGGGUCCACUCGGUGCCGCAUCCUCAUCAUCCACGUCAUUCACAUACACAUCAAACUUCACAGCCACAUCUUUGUCAAGCUCAAUCCCCCGAAUCACCAAUAUCUCCUCCUCAUCCUCUUUCUCCUUCUUGCUCCUCUUCUUCGGCUUCGGCCUUGACACCACCGUAGUUAUCUUCGUCUCCAAAUUUAUUGGAAAAUCUUUACCCGCCACCACCUUCCCCGAUGACGUCGUCUCAGCGGCCUUCGCCACUCCAGCCGCCUUUGCCUUUCUCGCAAGCUUUGUCCGACGUGGCGUCGGUCUAGAGUUGAGCCAUGGAAUCUCAACAUCUUCAUACGUAUACCCUAGCUUUUUAUUAUCAAGAGUGUCCCUCACCGUGACCCUAACAAGCUCAGCAUUCUCGUCAUAAAACAAAAACCCCGUAUCCAACCAAUCCUUAUCGUUAAUAUCUUUAUUUUUAGUCCCUAUACUUUUCCAAAUAUUCCACAUUCGAUCCAGAUUCAAAUGGUGCGCAAAAAAUAUCGGAUCCCUUGCAGUGGAGUAAAAAUUCCCCAUGUCUUCAUAAUUAGGUUGCGUGUUAUCUCCGGUCCAUGUAUGAACCGGACCAUGUGGGGUCUGUUCGAUUGCACCGGCCCCUGGAUCUGGUUCAGUGCCAGCCCUGUAGGGCGAACCAAAGAACAACAGCGGUUUCUUGGAGUUGGAAACCAUCUGCCUAUACAUGAUUUUGAGGUUGGCUUCGAUUUGAGCAUCCUUGGACAUUGUUUCAUCCGUGCCGUUGAAGUCAAGAUCGAUGAGAGUUGGCGGCUGAUGGCUGGCAGCGCGGAGCUCGUCGUAAAGCGGAGAGUCAGGGUUAGCGUACAAGGCAGGGAGUUGCAUGCCAGCUGGCGCGUCCCAGUUCCAAAACGGCAACGCGAAGGUCGGAUCGUCUAUGAGUUUGGCCAAGAUUCUUUCGUGGAAAUAUAGGUAGUAACGAUGGAAGGGGAAGAAAAGCCAGGAUUGAUGGAUUUGGAGCUCGAGGUUGGGGAAGCCGACUUGGUCGUACGCACCGUUACAAUAGGCACAGUGGACAUCGGCUUGCUGGGUGAAGCUACGCGGAUCGUCGUCCGGGAGGGCUUUCAUGAGCUCGAUGGCUUUUGAGUAUUUUUCGAUGUAGGCUUUAUCCACGGC